GAAAGAAAAAACUUCCCUUUCUUUCUCUUCUUUAUUUUGGUUUUAUCCCUUCGACGAAUUUCGGCUAUGACCAAUGCCCCACUAGCUAAAUAGGCGUAAGAAAAAGCUACCUGAAAAAAAAGCAAGGUGCACCUUGAAUUGAACUCGACGAAUUGCGUUUUGCCAGAGAGAUUUUUUUAGAAAGAUUCUCCUAAUUCAAAAAUAGAAAGAAUAUAAAUAAAGGCGCAUACGCGGGAAGGGGCCCCCCUCUUUCUUAGAAUUCAACAUUUAUGAUAUGUUUUGCAUCUUGUUCGCCCACUCUUCAUUCAGGGUGAUUCGAACCAGGGGAGGAUCUUCCACCUUUAAGGUCAUAGCACCAGUACUUGAACGCUUACUCUUACUGCUCUUCUCAGGUUCACCUCUUUUGGAUGCCCUGAGGUUUGAAGUCAUUUGUUUAUCACAGAACAAGUCCCCCUCAGUCACUGCCAUAGUUGACCCUCUCUUCCAGAUCCUCGCUUCUAUGAGCCAAAUCACUCUCCUCGGGAGUUCUCUCCUUGACUACACCCUCCUCGGCUUUGUUACCCAAACACUCAUCCUGAGCAAUCUCUUCCGGUUCAGCAGUGUCCAGAUCUGGCAUCUUUGCCUCUUCUUGUUCAGGGUCCUCUAGAACCGCAAAACGGUUCGGGCUGACUAGGUCCAGUUGGGUCAUUCCACUCGCACAACUAGUGUCCAGCCCCCCUUUACUAUUGUAACUACUGGUACCUGACCCCGUCGGCUCGACAUUUUUGCAAGCACCGACCCUGACUCAAUAGGGCAAUUCAAAGAGGAGAACGAGGACAGCUGACUACCGCUAAAAGUCAGACUAAGAACAUUGUAUGAUUGAAAACUGCCGCUGCAUACUACCCGGUGCUUGCAGGUCUGACUGGUGCCUUCUCUCCAACAGCUGCUUCAAUCAAUGUUAAGUCUGACUACGCCCGCAGCUGACUACUUAUUGAAAGACCGAACAGGAAAUGAAAAGUCGUACUACAACAACUGUAAAUAAACAUUCCCUCCCCGCUCUGACUUUGAUCGACUUGCCCGCACAGCGUCUUUUUUGAGAAAAGAGGUCAAGGGGCUAAGUGACUCUCGAAAGUCGUCUUUUGUAUCGCGUCAAGAGAAAUGACAUAGAUAAGAUCAUUGCUUAAAGAGUUUCAUUGUCGAAUUGAUCUCGAAAUUGGAUCCCAAUAGUAGCUGCUGCCCAAAGGUGCUUUAUGAAAGCCGGUCCACAGCAGUGAAAGUACGAUUGAUUCCGUCGAUCGAACGAAAACCGCUUCUUGCUUUUUUGGCUUGACUACUCUGCUUGCUUAACACAAGUCUUAUUUAACCUUCACGGACCACUUCACUACCCAGCAAGCUCCGGCUCGAAAGCAAGAAGCAAGGGCGCAGCUGCUGCGCGAACGCCGUUGCGCCUUAGCGCAUCCCCUUUCUUGCUCGUUAGCGCUGUUUUUUGAUUGCAGCUAGCGCGCUUGACUAAUAAGAUAGAAAGGGCCUUUCUCGCUUGUUUGAAGCCAUAUAAGGCUUUCCUCAAUCGGCAAACAAGGGGGAAGUCUGCCACACCAACCCUUUAAGAGAUAGGGACUCCAGCGCAGCGGUAAGAAAAAGUCACUCAGUGAAUCGGUGGAUCACACUUGGAGACAGGGACAGGGGCAUGCCUGACUCUUUAGAAAGUAUACAAGUGUUGAAAGAGUGAAGUCUGGGGACAACGGUAAACGUGAGGAAUGGCACCUCCGCCCUACUAAAGAAGUUCGCAAGCAAGGGACAUGCCGAACACCUACCUUUCCAACUAAGUCCAAGGCGAGGACCUUUUAAUUGACGAUGCGUUCCGUCGUCAGCAAGCGGUGGCCGACAAGGCCCCUUUCCUUAGAGUCAAGUGGCUGAACGCCCCUUUCCCUAAAUAUCUUGGGAAGCGAAGAGGACAGGUUUGAAACUCAUUCGGUAAUCUUCUCCUGAAGGUAGGCAUUUCCCCAAGGCACUGAUAUGAUGACUCUCUCAAUUACACGUGUUUUAGGGAGUUGAACGUCUUAUUCUUAUGAGUGGCCUAUGUGAAUAUAAGCCAGGAGCAAGGAUUCCGGAAAGUCAAAUUCUAUAUUGCAAGUGCAAGUCGACGUUCCUGAUAUGAAAGUGAAAGCCGGCCCUAAGCAGGAUCCAAAGACGUUUAAGUCCAGUUCCAAUCUGGAUAUAAAAGUAAAGUUCAAUCGUCGAAAGUGAGAUCUCUUUUAGUCCGGUCUUCUUUUCUCUUUUGAGUCAGGUUCUUAAGACAGGAAAUCGGGUUUUCUGAAUAUCUCUCUUCCGGCCGCCGGCCUGGCCUAUUAAGUANNNNNNNNNNNNNNNNNNNNNNNNNNNNNNNNNNNNNNNNNNNNNNNNNNNNNNNNNNNNNNNNNNNNNNNNNNNNNNNNNNNNNNNNNNNNNNNNNNNNCUUGGUUGAAUUUCUUCACUUUGACAUUCAGAGCACUGUGCAGAAAUCACAUUGCGUAAACAUCCGUUGGGACCAUCGCAAUGCUUUGUUUAAAUUAAACAGUCGGAUUCCCUUGUCCGUACCAUUUCUAAUUGGUUGUUCGACGCCCGAGGAAGCCCCCGAAGGAACCGCUCCCAGUCCUUCCCCCGUCCGGCGCGCGGCGACAUGCUCUCGUCGCGGGAGCAGCUCGAGCAGUCCACCGACAACUGAUGGGUUCGGGACUUGGACCCCCGUGCACAGCCCUCAGAGCCAAUCCUUUUCCCAAAGUUACGGAUCCAUUUUGCCAACUUCCCUUGCCUACAUUGUUCCAUCGACCAGAGGUUGUUCACCUUGGAGACUUGAUGCGGUUAUGAGUACGACUAGGCAUGGACGACAUUCGGUCCUCCGGAUUUUCAAGGGCCGCCGGGAGAGCACCGGACCCACGCGAUGUGCGGUGCUCUUCGAGCCGCUGGAACCUACCUCAGGCUGAGCCGAUUCCAGGGUGGCAGGCUGUUAAACAGAAAAGAUAACUCUUCUCGAGGCUCCCGCCGACAUCUCCGGACAGCCCCUAUCCAUACAUGGCCUUACGUGCGCUGUGCAUGUGGCGCCUAGAGUUAGACGUAACAGGAGCUCAAGAACUCGCCACUAGCCGAAAGCACUGCCGUUUCCACACCAAACACCAUUAUAAACUGAUCUAGAGAAGUUCCCUCGGCGGCGCACGAUCGCCCCGCAGAUGUCGCUGGCAUGUUUUUGUAAGCGCCCAAAGGCAUAGCACGGACGAGCCAUGCAUGUCGUCAAGCGCCCAUGCAGCACGCCUACUAACCUCACAGGACGCCCGUGACGUCCACCUUGUAACGCCUCAGUCGCCCCGCAGACAUCGUCGGCAUGUGUUUGCAAGCGCCCAACAGCGUAGCACGGAAAAGCCAUGCAUGCAAUCAAGCCCCACGCAACACGCCUACUAAGCCUACAUGACGCCCUUGAUGUCUACCUCCAUUCGCCUCAGUUGCCCCGCAGACGUCGCUGUCAUGUUUUUGUUGAAGCCCAACGGCGUAGCAUGGACAAACCAUGCAUGCCGUCAAGCGCCCGCGCAACACACUACUAAGCCCACAGGACGCCCAUGACGUCCGCCUGCCACCGCCUCAAAUGCCCCACAGACGUCGCGGGCUUGUUUUUGUAAACGCCGAACGGCGUAGCACAGACGAGCCAUGCAUUCCAUCUAGCGCCCACGCAGCGCGCCUACUAAGCCCGUAGGACACCCUUGACGUUCGCCAUCCUUCGCCUCAGCCGCCCCGCAAACGUCGCUAGCACAUUUUUGUAGACGCCCAACGGCGUAGCAUGGACGAGCCAUGCAUUGCAUCAAGUGCCCACGCAGCACGCCUACUAAGCCCAUAGGACGCCCUUGACGUCCGCCUGCCUUUGCCUCACUCGACCCGUCGACAUCGCCGACGUGUUUUUUGUAAAUGCCCAACACUAUAGCAUGAACAAGCCAUGCAUGCCAUCAAGCGUGCAUGCAGCAUGCCUACUAAGCCCAAAGGACGUCUAUGUCGUCUGCCUGCCUGCGCCUCAGUCUACCUCCAACACCUCUACCCCCCUUAUAUAUGCUUAAAAAAGUUUUACCCAUGCGACAGGAGUAGGCAUGGAUUUUCAAGAGAAUCAUAAUGGAAAUGUACAACCCAAAUAUGCACGUUCAAAGGUACAAACACACAUUAGCUUUCAUAAAUGACUUCAAUAUAUAUAAAAAAUAUUUUUCAACAUUUUUUUAAUUUUUAUUUUUUUUGGAAAUUCUGAAAAAUUAGUAAUAAAUUAAUAAAAAAUGGGGAAAAUAUCAGAAAAAAUAUGAAAUCAACUCCGAAAAUUCACAAAUAAAUAUGGGAACCUUAAAAUAAAAAAUUUAAUAAAUUUUAAUUUUUAAAAGGAGACGUAAAAAAUUAAAAAGCGUAAAAAUAAAUUAUAAAAAUAAUGAUUAAAAGUCGGAAAAAUACAGAAAUGCUCGAAAACACUUCUAAACAUGUCAAAUAAAUGAUAAAAUAUAUAUUUGCACAAAUAAAAGAUGUUUCAAUAUCGUACGAACUGUAAAAGUAAUAAAAAUGAUGCGAAAGAGCCACGUUUUGUGGAAACGUUAGAGAAUAGAUAAUGGAAAGUCGAUGAAUAUGUUUGUUAUGCAUGGAGGUUGUUUCAAAAUCCUUUGAUUUAUGUACGACAUGAAAAUCCGCAUCUAUCAUCUAGACUCAAACAAUGUCGCGCAAGCCAAGACCGAUGCGGGCAGGCCACGACUGACCACUGUGUGCAGGCACGCCGACGACGGCCGACCGUUCGUGCUUUCCAAGGGCUAUGAUGGCAUACCCACGCCCGACGACGGCCGACCAUUUGUGCUGUCCAAGGACGAUGAUGGCAUGCCACGCCCGACGCCGUUUACCGUCUGUGUUGCCCAAGGGCGAAAAUGGCAUGCCACGCCCGACGUCGCCCUACCGUGUCAGCUAGUCCAAAGGCGAUGAUGUCAUGCGACGCUCGAUGUCGUCCGACCGUGUCAUCUAGUCCAAAGGCGAUGAUGGCAUGCCACGCCCGACGUCGUCUGACCGUGUGUGCUUUCCAAGGGCUGUGAUGGCAUGCCACGCCGACGACGGCUGACCCGCUGCACCCUCCUACUCAUCGGGGCCAGGCACUUGCCCUGACGAUCGGGUGUAGAUCGCGCGCUUAAGCUCCAUCCAUUUUCGGGGCUAGUUGAUUCGGCAGACGAGUUGUUACACACUCCUUAGCGGAUUUUGACUUCCAUGACCACCGUCCUCCUGUCUUAAUUGACCAACACCCUUUGUGGUAUCUAGGUUAGCGCAGUUUGGCACUGUAACCUGGCUUCCGAUUCAUCCUGCAUCGCCAGUUCUGCUUACCAAAAAUGGCCCACUUGGAGCUCUUGAUUCCGUGGCGCGGCUCAACAAAGCAGUCGCACCGUCCUACCUAUUUAAUGUUUGAGAAUAGGUUGAGGGCAUUGCGCCUCCGAGGCCUCUAAUCAUUGACUUUACCCGAUAGAACUCGCACGCGAGCUCCACCUAUACUCAGGGAAACUUCGGACGGAACCAGCUACUAGACGGUUCGAUUAGUCUUUCGCCCCAAUACCCAAGUCAGACGAUCGAUUUGCACGUCAGUAUCGCUGCGGGCCUCCACCAGAGUUUCCUCUGGCUUCACCCUGCUCAGGCAUAGUUCACCAUCUUUCGGGUCCCGACAGGUAUGCUCACACUCGAACCCUUCUGAGAAGAUCAAGGUCAGUCGGCGGUGCACCCCUCAGGGGGAUCCCACCAAUCAGCUUCCUUACGCCUUACGGGUUUACUCGACCGUUGACUCGCACAUAUGUCAGAUUCCUUGGUCCGUGUUUCAAGACGGGUCGAAUGGGGAGCCCACAAUCGGGGAGAUGCCGAAGCACGCCGGAGGCGCGCGCUACCUUCCACAAUCGGGGAGAUGGGGUUCCAUGGUCGUAUCGAGAGCCCAGGAUUUGGCCUCCCUACCAAUCCACGUUGUCCACGCCCCGAGUCGAUCGGCGGACCGGCUCGUCACCUUUCCACAUCUGAUCAGGGCACAUCGUCGGCCCCCAUCCUCUUCCCUCCCGAUAAUUUAAAGCACUCUUUGACUCUCUUUUAAAUUCCUUUUCAUCUUUCCCUUGCGGUAGUUGUUCGCUGUCGUUCUCUCACAAGUAUUUAGCCUUGGACGGAAUUUACCCCCCGUUUUGGGCUGCAUUUCCAAACAACCCAACUCGUAGACAGAGCCUCGUGGUGCGAUAGGGUCCUGUCACGACAGGGAUCUCACCCUGUUCGGCGCCCCCUUCUAGGGGACUUGGGCCCGAUCCGCCGCUGAGAACGCUUCUCCAAACUACAAUUCAGACGACAGAGACGACCGAUUCUAAGGCUGGGUUGUUCCCGGUUUGCUCGCCGUUAUUAGGGGAAUCCUAGUAAGUUUCUUUUCCUCCGCUUAUUGAUAUGCUUAAAAUCAGCGGGUAAUGCCGCCUGACCUGGGGUCAUGGUCGGAGCGCCUAGUGAGGCGCAGUGAGGGUCGGGGAGUCCAGACGCGUGACGGGCUGUAGUCGCAACAACAAGAGAGAAUUGAGUUUCAAUAACCCCUUGCAGAGACGUCCGUCGACGUGGUCACAUUUAGGCCGAGCGCACGGGAGGCCAGCUUUCGCCCACGCGUUCAGCCUUGCGACGUGCAAGGAGGACAACGCGAUGCGUGACGCGCAGGCAAACGUGCCCUCGGCCAAAUGGCUUGGGGCGCAACUUGCCUUUAAAGACUCGAUGGUUCACAGAUUCUGCAAUUCACACCAAGCAUCGCAUUUCGCUACCUUCUUUAUCGAUGCGAGAGCCGAGAUAUUCGUUGUCGAGAGUCGUUUGUGUUAUCAGAGCAGCGCGCAUCCCCCAUGAUCCGUGAACAGGGAGCGAGGGGAGGGCUGUCUAUUGUAGUAUUCCUUGGCGCUUUCCGCGCCGGGGUUCGGUUGUCGCCCGAAGAGCUUGCACGCGUCGGGCUACAGGAGGGAGGCGCAAAACUAGCAAGCGCCGCCCCCAGGUGUUUAAAAUGAGCUCGUAGGUCAUUCUACAGUACAGGUUUUGACAAUGAUCCUUCCGUAGGAUCACCUAUGGAAACCUUGUUACGACUUCUCCUUCCUCUAAAUGAUAAGGUUCAAUGGACUUCUCACGACUUCGCGGGCAGCGAACCGCCCAUGUCGCCGCGAUUCAAACAUUUCACUAAAUCAGACAAUCGGUAGGAGCUACGGGCGGUGUGUACAAAGGGCAGGGACGUAGUCAAUGCGAGUUGAUGACUCGCGCUUACUAGGAAUUCCUCGUUAACAACCAAUAAAUGCAAUGAUAUAUCCCUAUCACGAUGAAAUUUCAAACAUUACUUGGGCUUAUUUGCCAAGGCUAUAAGCUCGCUGAAUAAUCAGUGUAGCCCGCGUGCGGCCCAUAACAUCUAAGGGCAUCACAGACCUGUUAUUGCCUUAAACAUCCGUGGCCUAAAAGGCCGUAGUCCCUCUAAGAAGCUGGCCGCGAAGGGAUACCUCCACAAAGCUAGUUAGCAGGAUAAGGUCUCAUUCGUUAACGAAAUUAACCAGACAAAUCGCUUCACCAACUAAGAACGACCAUGCACCACCACCAGUAGAAUCAAGAAAGAGCUCUCAGUCUCUCAAUCCUUACUAUGUUUGACCUUGUAAGUUUCCCCGUGUUGAGUCAAAUAAAGCCGCAGGCUGCCCUCAUGGUGGUGCCCUUCCAUCAAUCCUUUAAGUUUCAGCCUUGCGACCAUACUCCCCCAGAACCCAAAAACUUUGAUUUCUCAUAAGGUGGCGGCAGAGUCCUAAAAGAAACAUCCGUCGAUCCCUUGUCAGCAUCGUUUAUGGUUGAGACUAGGACGGUAUCUAAUCAUCUUCGAGCCCCCAAAUUUCAUUCUUGGUUAAUGAAAAUAUUCUUGGCAAAUGCUUUUGCAGUUGUUCAUCUUUCAUAAAUCCAAGAAUUUCACCUCUGAUUAUGAAAUACGAAUGCCCCCGACUGUCCUUGUUAAUCAUUACUCCGAUCCUGAAGGCCAACGUAAUAUGACCGAAAUCCUAUAAUGUUAUCCCAUUCUAAUGUAUACAAAGUGUAGGCUUUCUUUGAGCACUCUAAUUCUUCAAAGUAACAGCGUCUGAGGCACGACCCGACCAUUAAACGCCAUGAGUGCAUCGCCCGACAAAAGGGACGAGACGACCGGUGCACAUCUAGGGCGGACCGGCCGGCCCUUCCCAAAGUCCAACUACGAGCUUUUUAAUUGCAACAACUUAAAUAUACACUAUUGGAGCUGGAAUUACCGCGACUGCUGGCACCAGACUUGCCCUCCAAUAGAUCCUAGUUAAGGGAUUUAGAUUGUACUCAUUCCAAUUAGCAGACUCAUGGAGCCCAGUAUUGUUAUUUAUUGUCACUACCUCCCCGUGUCAGGAUUGGGUAAUUUGCACGCCUGCUGCUUUCCUUGGAUGUGGAAGCCGUUUACAGGCUCCCUCUCCGGAAUUGAACCCUAAUUCUCCGUCACCUGGCAACACCAUGGUAGGCCACUGUCCUACCAUCAAAAGUUCAUAGGACAGAAAUUUUAAUGAUGCAUCACCGGCACGAUGGCCGUGCGAUCCGUCAAGUUAUCAUGAAUCAUCGAAGCAACUGGCAGAGCCCGCAUCGACCUUUUAUAUAAUAAAUGCAUCCCUUCCAGAAGUCGGGGUUCGUUGCACGUAUUAGCUCUAGAAUUAGUACGGUUAUGCGAGUAGUAGAUACCAUCAAAAAAAGUAUACCUGAUUUAAUGAGCCAUUCAUAGUUUCACAGUCUGAAUUUGUUCAUACAUACACAUGCAUGGCUUAAUCUUUGAUACAAGCAUAUGAAUACUGGCAGGAUCAACCAGGUAGCACUCCUCAAAAACGUCGCGCGCCGCAUGUGAUCGGCGUGCCCUUUCGGUCACGGUCGGGUCUAAGGAGAGCGCGAUAGUCAUUCGCAAGGAGCAUUUGUUUUGGGCAGAUAGAAGCCGAUGAAGGCCCCAUGCCCACUAUAUCUAUAGUAUUGAGAAUUUGAGGCGCCGCUCACGGAUUACGCCAUUGUACGACGAAGCGAGGGAAGGCGUGGGACGCGAAAUCGUCUUUUGGGUUCACCCCGCACAUGGGACUCGAAGGGAGAAAGGCGACCAUUUGCACGUGCACAAUGCCUAGGCAUUAGGUAUCCAGCACAAGAUUUCGACGUCCGACCAUCUUAGAUUGCGCUUCAUCCGCCACCGAAUUGGCAUGCGAGUUAAGACGUCGCUUCUUAAAAUAGGGAUCCAACCUACCAACAAAUGCCCAAUACCACUCAUGCGCCAUAGCUGAAUAGCUCUGUCAAUGCCCGCUCGACAUCCACCCCGAUGCCCGACAUGAGAUGUCGUGCAAAGACGCCGAUGCCUUCUUUGUAAGGCCAAUGCUACAUCCGCUGUUGCACUCCUGCCCAAGGGAGUUGAGAAUUUAAUCACUGCAAAGAUUGUUGGAGGAAAACCAAGGUUCACACAAGGGAACCGCCCACGACGUCGUUCGACUGUGUACGCUGUCCGAAUGCGGUGAUGGCAUGCCACGCCCGACGUCGUUUGCCCGUGUUUGCCAUUCAAGGGAUAUGAUGGCAUGCCUAGCCCAAAGUUGUUCGAACGUCCGUGCUGCCCAAAGGCGAUGAUGGCAUGCAACGCUCGAAGUCGUUCGACCGCGUGUGCUGUCAAUAGGCGGUGAUGUCAUGCCACGCCCGACGUCUUCAACCAUGUCUGCUGCCCAAAGGCGAUGAUGGCAUGCCACGCCCGACGUCCUUCGACCGUGUUUUCCGUCCAAGGGCGAUGAUUGCAUGCCAAGCUCGAUACCGUCAAACUGUGUGAGCUAGUCCAAAGGCGAUGACGGCAUGCCAUGCCCGACGUCGUUCGACCGUUUGUGCUGCCCAAAGGCGAUGAUGGCAUGCCACGCUCGACGUUGUUCGACCGUGUGUGCUGUCCAAAGGCGGUGAUGGCAUCUCACGCUUGACGUUGUUCGACCGUGUGUGCUGUCCAAAGGUGGUGAUGUCAUGCCACGCCUGAUGUCAUUCGACCGUAUGUGCUGCCCAAAGGCGAUGAUGGCAUGCAACGCUCGACGUCAUUCGACCGCGUGUGCUGUCAACAGGCGGUGAUGUCAUCCCAUGCCUGACGUUGUUCGACCAUGUCUGCUGCCUAAAGGCGAUGAUGGCAUGCCACGCCCAACGUCGUUCGACCGUGUUUUCCGUCCAAGGGCGAUGAUGGCAUGCCAAGCUCGAUACCGUCAGACUGUGUGAGCUAGUCCAAAGGCGACGACGGCAUGCCACGCCCGACGACGUUUGACCGUUUGUGCUGCCCAAAGGUGAUGAUGGCAUGCCAUGCCCGACGUCAUUCGACCGUGUGUGCUGCCCAAAGGCGAUGAUGGCAUGCUACGCCCGACGUCGUUCGACCGUGUGUGCUGUCCAAAGGCGGUGAUGGCAUCUCACGCCCGACGUUUUUCGACCGUGUGUGCUGUCCAAAGGUUGUUAUGUCAUGCCAUGCCUGACGUCGUUCGACCGUGUGUGCUUCCUAAAGGUGAUGAUGGCAUGCCAAGCCCGAUAUCGUUCGACCGUGUGUGCUUUCCAAAGGCAGUGAUGGCAUGUCACGCCUGACGUCGUACGACCGUGUUUGUCAUCCAAGGGCUAAGAUGGCAUGCCACGCGCGACGUCAAUUUACCGUGUGUUCUGCCCAAAGGAGAUGAUGGCAUGCCACGCCUGACGUCUUUCGAGCGAGUGUGUUGUCCAAAGGCGGUGAUGUCAUGCCAUGGUCGAUGCACUCCGACCGUGUGUGCUACCCAAGGGAGGUGAUGUCAUGCCUCGCCCGACAUCGUUCGACCGUGUGUCAAGGGUGCUGAUGUCAUGCCACGCUCGACGUUGCUAACCGUGUGUGCUGUCCAAGGGUGGUAUUAUCAUGUCACGCCUGACGUUGCCGACCGUGUGUGUUGUCCAAGGGUGGUGAUGUGUUGCCACACCCGACGUCGUCUAACCGUGCAUGUAGUCCAAGCAGUGGUGUAAUGCCACGCCCGACAUCGUUCAACCUUGUGUGUUGUCCAAGGGCGGUGAUGUCAUGCCACGCCCGACACCGCCCGACCUUGCGUGUAGUCCAAGGGUGGUGAUGUCAUGUCAUGCCUGAUGUUUUCCUGCCGUGUGUGCUGUCCAAGGGCGGUGAUGGCAUGCCAUGCCUGACGUUGUUCGACCGUGUGUGCUGUCCAAGGGCGGUGAUGGCAUGCCACGCCCGACAUCGUCUAACCAUGUGUGCUAUCUAAGGGUGGUGAUGGCAUGCCACGCCCGACGUCGUCCUACCAUGUGUGCUGUCCAAGGGCAGUGAUGGCAUGCCACGCCCAACGUCACCCGGCUAUGUGUGCUGUCCAAGGGCGAUGAUGGCAUGCCACGGUCGACGUCAUAUGACCGUUUGUGAUGCGAAAAGGCGAUGAUGUCAUGCCACGCCCGACGUCGUUUGACCGUGUGUGCUGUCCCAAGACGAUGAUGGCAUGCCACGCUCUACGUUGUUCGAUCGUGUUUCCCUUCCAAGGGUGAUGAUGGCAUGCCACGCCUUACGCCGUCCAACUGUGUCAGCUAGUCCAAAGGCGAUAAUGUAUGCCACGCACGACGUCGUUCAACCUUGUUUGCCGUUCAAGGAAUAUGAUGACAUGCCACGCCCGAGGUCGUUCGACCGUGUGUGCUAUCAAAAAGCCAUGAUGGCAUGCCACGCCUGACGUCGUUCGACCGUGUAUGCUGCUCAAAGAUGAUGAUGCAUGCCACACCCGACGUCGUUCGACCGUGUUCGCCGUACAAGGGCGAUGCUGGCAUGCCACGCCCGACGCCAUUCGACUGUUUGUGCUGCCCAAAGGUGAUGAUGGCAUGCCAUGCCCGACGUCGUUUGACCGUGUGUGCUUUCCAAAGGCGGUGAUGGCAUGUUGCGCUCGAAGCCGUUCGACCAUGUGCGCUGUCCAAAGGAGGUGAUGUCAUGCCACGCUCGACGUCUUUCGACUGUGUGUGUUGCCCAAAGGCGAUGCUGGCAUGCUACGCCCGACGUCGUUCGACCGUGUGUGCUGCCCAAAGGUAAUGUUGGCAUGCCACGCCCGACGUGGUUCGACCGUUUGUGCUUCCCAAAGGCGAUGAUGGCAUGCCACGCCCGACGUAGUUCAACCGUGUGUGCUUCCCUAAGGCGAUGAUGGCAUGCCACGCCCGACGUCAUUCGACCUUGUGUGCUGUCCAAAGGCGGUGAUGGCAUGUCACGCCCGACGUCGUUUGACCGUGUGUGCUGUCCUUAGGAGGUGAUGUCAUGCCACGCCUGACGUCAUUCGAUCGUGUGUGCUGCCCAAAGGCGAUGCUGGCAUGACACAGCCAACGACGUUCGACCGUGUGUGACGUCCAAUGGUGGUGAUGUCAUUCCACUCCCGACGUUGUUCGACCGUGCGUGCUGUCCAAGGGUGGUGAUGUCAUGCCAGGCUCGACGUCGUUCGACCGUGUGUGCUGUCCUAGGGCAGUGAUGUCAUGCCAUGCUUGACGUCGUCCUAUCGUGCGUACAGUCCUAGGGCGGUGAUGUCAUGCCACGCUCGACGUCGUUCGACCGUUUGUGCUGCCUAAAGGCAAUAAUGGCAUGCCACGCCAGACGUCGUUCGACCAUGUAUGCUGCCCAAGGGCGAUAAUGAAAUGCCAUGCUCGACGUCGUUCGACCGUGUGGGCUGUCCAAAGGCGGUGAUGGCAUGUCACGCCUGACGUCGUUCGACUGUGUUUGCCGUCCAAGGGAUAUGAUGGCAUGCCACACCGGAAGUCAUUCGAUCGUGUGUGCUGCCCAAAGGCGGUGAUGGCAUGUGACGCCUGAUGCCGUUCGACCGUGUUUGCCCUCCAAGGGAUAUGAUAUCAUGCCACGCCCGAUGUCGUCUGACCGUGCGUGCAGUUCAAGGGCGAUAAUGUCAUGCCAUGCCACGCGUCGUUCUACUGUGUGUGCUGUCAAAAGGGUGAUGUCAUGCCACGCCCGCCGUAGUCUGACCAUGCGUGCAGUCCAAGAGCGUUGAUCUCAUACCACACCCGACGUCGUCCUACCGUGUGUGCUGUUCAAGGGCGGUUAUGGCAUGUCAUGCUCGACGCCAUCCGACCAUGUGUGCUGUCCAAGGGCGGUGAUGGCAUGCCAUGCCCGACGUCGUCUGACCAUCUGUGCUACCCAAAGGAGAUGAUAGUAUGCCACGCCCGACGUCGUCCUUCCUUGUAUGCUGUCCUUAGGCGUUGAUGUCAUGCCACGAUCUACAUCGUUCGACCGUGUUUCCCGUCCAAGGGCGAUGAUGGCAUGCCACGCCCGACGCCGUCUGAGUGUGUCAGCUAGUCCAAAGGCGAUGAUGGCAUGUCAUGCCCGAUGACGUUUGACCGUGUGUGAUGCCCAAAGGCGGUGAUGUCAUACCACGCCCGACGUAUUUCGACCGUGUGUGCUUCCCAAAGGCAAGAUGGCAUGCCACGCCCGACGUCGCUCGACCGUGUGUGCUGUCCAAAGAUGGUGAUGGCAUGUCACGCUUGACGUCGUUCAAUUAUGUUUGCCGUCCAAGGGAUAUGAUGGUAUGCCACGCCGGACGUCAUUCGAUCGUGUGUGCUGCCCAAAGGCGGUGAUGGCAUGUCACGCCUGACGUCGUUCGACCGUGUUUGCCCUCCAAGGGAUAUGAUAUCAUGCCACGCCCGAUGUCGUCUGACCGUGCGUGUAGUUCAAGGGCGAUGAUUUCAUGCCAUGCCACGCGUUGUUCUACUGUGUGUGCUGUCCAAAGGUGGUGAUGUCAUGCCAUGCCUGCCGUAGUCUGACCAUGCGUGCAGUCCAAGAGCGUUGAUCUCAUACCACACCCGACGUCGUCCUACCGUGUGUGCUGUCCAAGGGCGGUUAUGGCAUGCCAUGCUCGACGUCAUCCGACCAUUUGUGCUGUCCAAGGGCAGUGAUGGCAUGCCACGCCCGAUGUCGUCUGACCGUCUGUGCUACUCAAAGACGAUGAUAGCAUGCCACGCCCGAUGAUGUUCGACCGUGUGUGCUGUCCAAAGGCGGUGAUGCCAUGUCACGCCUGACGUCAAUCGACUGUGUUUGCCGUCCAAGCGAUAUGAUGGCAUGCCACGCCGGACGUCAUUCGAUCAUGUGUGCUGCCCAAAGGCGGUGAUGGCAUGUCACGCCUGACGUCGUUCGACCAUGUUUGCCCUCCAAGGGAUAUGAUAUCAUGCCACGCCCGAUGUCGUCUGACCGUGCGUGCAGUUCAAGGGCGAUGAUGUCAUGCCAUGCCACACAUCGUUCUACUGUGUGUGCUGUCCAAAGGUUGUGAUGUCAUGCCACGCCCGCCGUAGUCUGGCCAUGUGUGCAGUCCAAGAGGGUUGAUCUCAUACCACACCCGACGUCGUCCUACCGUGUGUGCUGCAAGGGCGGUUAUGGCAUGCCAUGCUCGACGUCAUCCGACCAUGUGUGCUGUCCAAGGGCGGUGAUGGCAUGCCACGCCCGACGUCGUCUGACCGUCUGUGCUGCCCAAAUGAGAUGAUAGCAUGCCACGCCCGACGUCGUCCUUCCUUGUAUGCUGUCCUUAGGCAUUGAUGGCAUGCCACAAUCUACAUCGUUCGACCGUGUUUCCCGUCCAAGGGCGAUGAUGGCAUGCCACGCCCGACGCCGUCCGACUGUGUCAGCUAGUCCAAAGGCGAUGAUGGCAUGUCAUGCCCGAUGACGUUUGACCGUGUGUGAUGCCCAAAGGCGGUGAUGUCAUACCACGCCUGACGUAGUUCGACCGUGUGUGCUUCCCAAAGGCAAGAUGGCAUGCCACGCCUCACGUCGCUCGACCGUGUGUGUGCUUCCCAAAGACGGUGAUGGCAUGUCACGCUUGAUGUCGUUCAACCGUGUUUGCCGUCCAAGGGCUAUUAUGGCAUGCCCCGCAAGACGUCAUUCGAUCGUCUAUGCUACCCAAAGGCGAUGAUGGCAUGCCACGCCUGACAUCGUUCAACCGUGUGUGCUGUACAAAGGCAGUGAUGUCAUGCCACGCCUGACCUAGUCCAACCGUGUGUGCUGCCCACGGGCGGUGAUGUCAUGCCAUGCCCGACAUCGUCCGAUCGUGUUCUGUCCUAUGGCGGUGAUCUCAUGCCAUGCCCCACGUCGUCCUACCGUGGGUGCAGUCCAAGGGCGGCGAUUACAUGCCACGCCAGACGUUAUUCGACCUUGUGUGCUAUCUAAUGGCGGUGAUUGCAUGCCACACCCGAUGUCGUCAGACUGUUUGUGCUGCCCAAAGGCGAUGAUAGCAUGCCACGCCCGACUUCGUCUGACCGUGUGUGCUGUCCCAAGACGGUGAUGGUAUGCCAUGCUCUACGUCGUUCGAUCGUGUUUCCUAUCCAAGGGUGAUAAUGGCAUGCCACGCCUUACGCCGGCCAACUGUGUUAGCUAGUCCAAAGGCGAUAAUGAAUGCCACGCCCGACGUCGUUCAACCUUGUUGCCGGUCUAACAGUUUGUGCUACCCAAAGGUGAUGAUCGCAUGCCACACCCGACGUCGUUCGACCGUGUGUGCUUUCCAAAGGAGGUAAUGGCAUGUCGUGCCCGACGUUGUUCGACCGUGACCGCUGUCUAAAGGAGGUGAUGUCCUGCCACGCGCAACGUCUUUCGACCGUGUGUUCUUCCCAAAGGCAUUGCUUGAAUGCCACGCCCGACGUCGUUCAACCGUGUGUGCUGCCCAAAGGUGAUGUUUGCAUGCCACGUCGGCAUCGUUCGACCAUUUGUGCUUCCCAAAGAAGAUAAUGGCAUGCCACGCCCGACGUCAUCUGACCAUGUGUGCUGUCCAAGGGAGGUGAUGGCAUGCCACGCCCGACGUUGUCUAACCGUCUGUGCUGCCCAAAGGAGAUGAUAGCAAGCCACGCCCGACGUCGUCCUUCCGAGUGUGCUAUCCCAAGGCGUUGAUGGCAUGUCACGCUCUAUGUCGUUCUACCGUGUUUCCCAUCCAAAGGCGAUGAUGGCAUGCCACGCCUGAUGCCGUCCGAUAGUGUCAGCUAGUCCAAAGGCGAUGAUGGCAUGCCACGCCUGACAUCGUUCAACCUUGUUUGCCGUUCAAGGGCUAUGAUGGCACGCCACGCCCGACUUCGAUUGACCCUGUGUGCUGUCUAAAGGCGAUGAUGGCAUGUCACGCCCGACGACGUUUGACCGUGUGUGAUGCCCAAAGGUGGUGAUGUCAUACCACGAUCGACGUCUUUCGACCGUGUGUGCUUCCCAAAGGCAAGAUGGCAUGCCACGCCCGACGUCGUUCGACCGUGUGUGCUGUCCAAAGGCGGUGAUGGCAUGUCACGCCAGACAUUGUUCGACCGUGUUUGCCGUCCAUGGGCUAUUAUGGCAUACCCCGCCCGACGUCAUUCGAUCGUGUGUGCUGCCUAAAGGCGAUAAUGGCAUGCAACGCCCGACGUCGUUCGACCGGGUGUGCUGUACAAAGGCAGUGAUAUCAUGCCACGCCUGACGUAGUUCGACCGUGUGUGCUGCCCAAGGGCGGUGAUGUCAUGCCAUGCCCGACGUCGUCCGAUCGUGUGCUGUCCUAUGGCAGUGAUGUCAUGCCAUGGCCGACCAUGCGUGCAGUCCAAGAGCGGUGAUCUCAUGCCAUGCCCGACCAUGCGUGCAGUCCAAGAGCGGUGAUCUCAUGCCAUGCCCCACAUCCUCCCACCGUGGGUGCAGUCCAAGGGCGGCGAUGGCAUGCCACGCCAGACGUCAUCCGACCUUGUGUGCUAUCCAACGGCGGUGAUGACAUGCUACACCCGAUGUCGUCCGACUGUUUGUGCUGCCAAAAGGAGAUGAUAGCAUGCCACGCCCGACGUCGUCUGACCGUCUGUGAUGUCCCAAGGUGGUGAUGGCAUGCCACGCUCUACGUUGUUCGACCGUAUGCGUUGUCCAAAGGCGGUGAUGUCAUGCCACGCUCGACAUCUUUCGACCGUGUGUGCUGCCCAAAGGCGAUGCUGGCAUGCCACGCCUAACGUCGUUCGACGGUGUGUGCUGCCCAAAGGUGAUGUUGGCAUGCCACGCCCGACGUCGUUCUACCGUUUGUGCUUCCCAAAGGAGAUAAUGGCAUGCCACACCGACGUAGUUCGACCAUGGUGCUGCCCAAAGGGGAUGAUGGCAUGCGACGCCCGACGUUAUUUAACCGUGUGUGCUGUCCAAAGGCGGUGAUGACAUGUCACGCCUGACGUUGUUUGACCGUGUGUGCUGCCUAAAUGCAGUGAUGUCAUGCCACGCCCGACGUCAUUCGAUCGUGUGUGCUGCCCAAAGGCGAUGAUGGUAUGCCACGCCCAACGACGUUCAACCGUGUGUGACGUCCAAGGGUGGUGAUGUCAUUCCACGCCUGACGUCGUUCGACCAUGCGUGCCGUCCAAGGGCAAUGAUGUCAUGCCAGGCCCGACGUCGUUCGACCGUGUGCUGUCAAAGGGCGGUGAUGUCAUGCGACGCCCGACGUCGUCCAACCGUGCAUGCAGUCCUAGGACGGUGAUUUUUAUGCCACGGCUAACGUCGUUCGACUGUUUGUGCUGCCCAAAGGCAAUAAUGGCAUGCCACGCCAGACGUCGUUCUACCGUGUGUGCUGCCCAAAGGCGAUAAUGGAAUGUCACGCUCGACGUCGAUCGACCGUGUGUGCUAUCCAAAGGCGGUGUUGGCAUGUCACGCUCGACGUUAUUCGACCGUGUGUUUUGUCCAAAGGCGGUGAUGUCAUGCCACGCCCAACGUCGUUCGACCGUGAGAGCUGCCCAAUGGCGAUGAUGGCAUGCCACACUCAACAACGUUCGACCGCGUGUGCUGUCCAAAGGCGGUGAUGGCAUGUCACGCCUGACGUCGUUCGACCGUGUUGGCCGUCCAAGGGAUAUGAUGGCAUACCACGCCCGACGUCGUUCGACCGUGUGGGCUGUCCAAUGGCGGUGUUGGCAUGUCACGCCCGACGUCAUUCAACCGUGUGUGCUGUCCAAAGGCGGUGAUGUAAUGCCACGCCCAUCGUCGUUCGACCAUGUGUGCUGCCCAAAGGCGAUGAUAGCAUGCCACGCCCGACGACGUUCGACCGUGUGUGCUGUCCAAAGGCGGUGAUGGCAUGUCACGCCUGACGUCGCUUGACCGUGUUUGCCAUCUAAGGGAUAUUAUGGCAUGCCACACCCGACGUCAUUCAAUCCUGUGUGCUGCCCAAAGGCGGUGAUGGCAUGUCACGCCUAACGUCGUUUGACCGUGUUUGCCCUCCAAGGGAUAUGAUAUCAUGCCACGCGCGAUGUCAUCUGACUGUGCGUGCAGUUUAAUGGCGCUGAUGUCAUGCCAUGCCACGCGUAGUUCUACCGUGUGUGCUGUCCAAAGGUAGUGAUGUCAUGCCACGCCCCCAUAGUCUGACCAUGCGUGCAGUCCAAGAGCGGUGAUCUCAUACCACGCCCGACGUUGUCCUACCGUGUGUGCUGUCCAAGGCGGUUAUGGCAUGCCACGCUCGACGUCAUCCGACCAUGUGUGCUGUCCAAGGGCGGUGAUGGCAUGCCACGCCCGACGUUGUCUUACCGUCUGUGCUGCCCAAAGGAGAUGAUGGCAUGCCACGCCUGACGUCGUUCGACCGUGUGUGCUUUCCAAAGGCGGUGAUGUCAUGCCACGCCCAAUGUCGUUCGACCGUGUAUGCUGUCCAAAGGAGGUGAUGUCAUGCCACGCCCGAUGUUGUCCGACCAUGCGUGGUGUCCAAGAGCGGCGAUGUCAUGCCCCGCCCGACGUUGCCGACCGUGUGUGCUGUCCAAAGGUGGUGAUGUCAUGCCACGCCCGACGUAGUCCGACAAAGCGUGCAGUCCAAGAGCGGUGAUCUCAUGCCACGCCCGUCGUCGUCCUACCGUGUGUGCUGUCCAAGGGCAGUGAUGGCAUGCCACGCCCGACGUCAUUCAAUCCUGUGUGCUGCCCAAAGGCGGUGAUGUAAUGCCACGCCCAUCGUCGUUCGACCAUGUGUGCUGCCCAAAGGCGAUGAUAGCAUGCCACGCCCGACGACGUUCGACCGUGUGUGCUGUCCAAAGGCGGUGAUGGCAUGUCACGCCUGACGUCGCUUGACCGUGUUUGCCAUCUAAGGGAUAUUAUGGCAUGCCACACCCGACGUCAUUCAAUCCUGUGUGCUGCCCAAAGGCGGUGAUGGCAUGUCACGCCUAACGUCGUUUGACCGUGUUUGCCCUCCAAGGGAUAUGAUAUCAUGCCACGCGCGAUGUCAUCUGACUGUGCGUGCAGUUUAAUGGCGCUGAUGUCAUGCCAUGCCACGCGUAGUUCUACCGUGUGUGCUGUCCAAAGGUAGUGAUGUCAUGCCACGCCCCCCAUAGUCUGACCAUGCGUGCAGUCCAAGAGCGGUGAUCUCAUACCACGCCCGACGUUGUCCUACCGUGUGUGCUGUCCAAGGGCGGUUAUGGCAUGCCACGCUCGACGUCAUCCGACCAUGUAUGCUGUCCAAGGGCGGUGAUGGCAUGCCACGCCCGACGUUGUCUUACCGUCUGUGCUGCCCAAAGGAGAUGAUGGCAUGCCACGCCUGACGUCGUUCGACCGUGUGUGCUUUCCAAAGGCGGUGAUGUCAUGCCACGCCCAAUGUCGUUCGACCGUGUAUGCUGUCCAAAGGAGGUGAUGUCAUGCCACGCCCGAUGUUGUCCGACAUGCGUGGUGUCCAAGAGCGGCGAUGUCAUGCCCCGCCCGACGUUGCCGACCGUGUGUGCUGUCCAAAGGUGGUGAUGUCAUGCCACGCCCGACGUAGUCCGACAAAGCGUGCAGUCCAAGAGCGGUGAUCUCAUGCCACGCCUGUCGUCGUCCUACCGUGUGUGCUGUCCAAGGGCAGUGAUGGCAUGCCACGCCCGAUGUCAUCCGACCAUGUGUACUGUCCAAGGGCGGUGAUGGCAUGCCACACCUGACAUUGUCCUUCCGUGUGUGCUGUCCCAAGGCGUUGAUGGCAUUCCACGCUCUACGUCAUUCGACCAUGUGUCCUGUCGAAGGGCGAUGCUGGCAUGCCACGCCUGACGCCGUCCGAUGGUGUCAGCUAGUCCAAAGGCGAUGAUGACAUGCCACGCCCGAUGUCAUUCAACCUUGUUUGCCGUUCAAUGGCUAUAAUGGCAUGCCACGACCGAGUUCGUUCGAUCGUGUGUGGUGUCCAAGGGCCAUGAUGGCAUACCAUGCCCGACGAUGUCGACCGUGCAUACUGCCCAAAGGAGAUGAUGGCAUUCCACACCCGACAUCAUUCGACCGCGUUUGCCGUCCAAGGUCAAUGAUGGCAUGCAACGCCUGAUGUCGUCCGACCGUUUGUGCUUCCCAAAGGUGAUGAUGGCAUGCCAUGCCCAGCGUUGUUCGACCGUGUGUGCUGUCCAAAGGUGGGGAUGGCAUGUCACGCCUGACGUCGUUCGACCGUGUGUGCUGUCAAAAAGCGGUGAUGUCAAGCCACGCUCGACGUCUUUCGACUGUGUGUGCUGCGUUAAGGCGAUGCUGGCAUGCCACGCCCGACGUCGUUCGAUCGUGUGUGUUGCCCAAAGGUGAUGAUGGAAUGCCACGCCCGACGUCGUUCGACCGUUUGUGCUGCCUAAAGGUGAUGAUGGAAUGCCAUGCCCAGCAUCGUUCGACCGUGUGUGCUGUCCAAAGGCGGUGAUGUCAUGUCACGCCUGAUGUCGUUCGACCGUGUUUGCCGUCCAUGGGCUAUGAUGGCAUGCCACGCCCGACGUCGUUCGACCGUGUGUGCAGCCCAAAGGAGAUGAUGGCAUGCCACGCCCGACGUCGUUCAACCGUUGGUGCUGCCCAAAGGCGAUGAUUGCAUGCCACGCCCGACGUAGUUAGACAGUGUGUGCUGCCCAAAGGUGAUGAUUGCAUGCCACGCCCGACGUUGUUCGUCCGUGUGCGCUGUCCAAAGGCGGUGAUGAUAUUUCACGCCAAACGUCGUUUGACCGUGUGUGCUGUCCAAAGGCGGUGAUGUCAUGCCACGCCUGACGUCUUUCGACUGUGUGCGGCCCAAAGGCGAUGAUAGCAUGCCCUACCUGACGUCGUUCGACCGUGUCUGCUGUCCAAAGGCGGUGAUGGCAUGUCACGCCUAACGUCGUUCGACCAUGUUUGCCGUCCAUAGUGUGACGUCCCGCCAUUCAUUCAGGCUGAACGCCACCAAAUUGGGCAGCCAGCAGGCGCAGCAGGCGCAAGGGUGCAGGCUGAUCAAGCAGGUCAGCAGCCAAGGGGGCCAGCAUCAGGUGAAGAGACAGCCGUUACAACAGUUUCAGCUGUUACGGCAGUUACAACCGUUACAGCUGUUACACAUGGUAGUGGGACGGCAGUUUCGUCAGUUUCAAGCUUUUGGGAGGCUUGUGCAGAUAAUGGGGCAGACUAGGAGCAUCUAGGAGUCCUUUUUGGAAGACUUAGAUGCUUGUCUUGUAGGCAUAGUCUUACAAACUUGUAUAGUUUAUUUACUAACUCUUAGGCAGCAUUAGAGUAGUAUAAAUAGUAGAUUAUUUUACUUGUAAAGCAUCCAAUCAUUUUUCAAGUAAUAGAAGUUCCUUCUUCCAAAGUUCUGUCUUACUUCUUAUUUUCUUAGCGAUCCGAGUUUUAGGCUUACUUGAGUUUGCAAGAACGUGCAAGAAUCGUGAGUAAACCGUCAAGUGCCUCACGGAAAAUUGUCCGAAUCAAAAAGUCCGUGACAGUUGGUAUCAGAGCAGGAUCAUCGUAAGAGAAUUACGAGCAAGAAGGGAAAGAACAAGAAGGGCAACGAACCCAGUCUGCCCAACCCUCCACCAGGCGACUUGCCAACAGGCAGUCUCACACCAGGCGGUCUGCCAUCAGGCAGUAUCCCACCAGGCGGUCUGCCAUCAGGCAGUCUACCAUCAAGCGAUCUGCCACCAAAUGAUCCUCCACCAGGCGACGGACAAACAUCUUUCCAGGAGAAUAUAGAUGAGGAAAGUGAAGACGAUGUCAGCGAAGACGUUGUAGACGUCACUGUUGGACAUGAAUGGAUUGCCAGCGUUGAGAGGGCAAGGCUUGCUGUUGAGAUUUUGGGGUAGCGCUUGAAUGGGUUGAGCAGCGAUGUCAAAAAUCUUGAAGAAAAUUCCCUUGAAGAAGUUAACACCAUCCGGAAGGAGUUGGAUCUACGCAAGCGGACUGAAUUGGAGUUGAAGGAAUCCAUUACAUCCUUGGAGUUCAGGUUGUGGACGCCACUACGACGAUCCAGACACUGAAGAACAAGGUAGUAGCCCUCGAAGAAGAGAGGGAGAUUGGAGCAUCAACAUCAUUUGGCCAGGAAAGGGAGUCCAGAGUCGAGGUUCCCAAGCCACCAACAUUCAAGGGUGUCCAAGACGCCCUAGAGGUAGGCAAUUUCUUAUGGCACUUGGAAAAUUAUUUCAGGUGUAAUCAGGUCAGGAGCGAUGCAAACAAGAUCAACACUGCCGGGUUGUAUAUUUCCGACGUAGCCAUGUUGGGGUGGAAAUGCAAAGAUGCCGAUAUCAAGAGGGGCACACGCACCAUCGACACAUGGGAACAAUUCCUUGAGGAAUUCAAGAAAGCUUUCUUCCCCAACAAUGCUGUUUAUGAAAUUGAACGCAAGCUCCGGGAGUUGAAGCAGACGGGAUGUUUUAGGGCCUAUGUGAAAGAGUUCACAAUCUUGAACCUCCAGAUUCCCCAACUCACGGAGGAUGACAUGUUGUUCACCUUCAUGGACGGGCUGCAGAAUUGGGCGAGGACCGAGUUAGAGCGGCGUCAUGUAAAAACCAUCGAUGAGGCCAUCACUCAGGCCGAGACCUUGACAGAUUUCAAACAUGAUCGUUUGGACAAGGCGAAGGGCAAGGAGGCAAAGGGCAAUCAAGCUAAAGGCGGGGGAGACCGUGGCCGAGGCAGAGAACAGUCGGCACAACCCAAGCAGCAAGACACACCCAAGUCCGAUGGCAGACGGUUUGAACGUCGGAAAUUCUCGGAGAAGCGGACGCAGUCCAGCAGAGGAGACGGGUGCUAUAUAUGUGGCAGACCACACAGUUACGCCAGGUGCCCAGAGAUGAAGAGUCUUAGUGCCAUCGUCCGUGAGCGGAAGGAAAAGGAGGCACAAGACAAGGCGAAACCGGUAGACACCACUCAGUUGGGCAUGGUUGGAAUCUGUGGUGCCAUAGCAAAGCAGGCUGACAACCCGGGGGAUUUCAGCACACAAUAUGUGGAUAUCUCCAUCAAUGGGCAAGCAUUUCGAGCCAUGGUAGAUUCCGGGGCUGAGUCUAACAUCAUGACCAAGGCGGCGACAGAGAAGUUGGGACUGAAAAUUGUUCCAAGCAACAAUCGCCUCAAAAUGGUCAACGCCCCACCAACUCCCGUGUGUGGAAUUGCUCAAGGGGUCAGCAUCACUUUGGGACGGUGGAAAGGUAAGACAAACUUUACCGUAGCUCCUUUGUAUAUAUCCGAUGUCAUUCUUGGGCAGGAAUUCUUUCAACGUUGCCACACGAUGAUUGAUCCCUACCUUCAACAACUCAUGGUGAUGGAGGGGGAAGGGUCUUGUAUGGUGCCUCUUAUUAGGGUGCCGAAGAAAGACGGAUAUGCCCAACUGUCGGCCAUGCAAAUUUUGAAGGGCCUGAUGAAAGGAGCGCCAACCUUUUUAGCCACCAUCGCAAGUUCGAGUGAAGACCAUGGUGCUAUGCAGCCACUGCCACCUAUCAUAGAAUCUGUUUUGCAGGAAAACAGCGAUGUGAUGCCGGAGGAGCUGCCGAAGACACUACCUCCGAGGCGCGAGGUAGAUCAUAUGAUUGAGUUGGAGGCGGGAGCCAAGUCACCUGCGCUUUCACCUUAUCACAUGGCUCCGCCUGAAUUAGAAGAAUUAAGGAAGCAAUUGAAAGAGCUCCUCGAAGCAGGUCAUAUUCGUCCAUCCAAGGCACCCUAUGGAGUGCCGGUGCUGUUUCAGAAGAAGAAAGAUGGGUCGAUGCGUCUAUGCAUUGAUUACAGGAUGCUCAACAAGAUCACAAUUCGGAACAAGUAUCCAAUCCCGCUGAUCGCAGAUUUGUUUGAUCGUCUUGGAGAAGCCAAAUACUUCACCAAAAUGGAUCUCCGGAAAGGCUACUGUCAAGUGCGCAUUGCAGAGGGGGAUGAGCCAAAGAGAGCAUGCGUGACAAGGUAUGGAGCAUUCGAAUGGUUGGUGAUGCCCUUCGGCUUAACCAACAAACCUCCCACAUUUUGCACGCUGAUGAACGAGAUUUUGCAUCCUUACUUGGACCAUUUCGUAGUGGUGUACUUAGAUGACAUAGUCGUCUAUAGUAGCACUUUGCAGGAGCAUGUAGAGCACUUGAAGAAGGUCUUCAAAGUCUUGCGGGAAAAUCAGCUCUAUGUCAAGCGGGAGAAGUGCGAGUUCGCCCAACCAAAGAUACAUUUCUUGGGCCAUGUGAUCAGCCAAGGUGAGGUUCGUAUGGACGAGGCAGAGGUAAAGGAGAUCCAAGAUUGGGAAGCGCCUACGAAAAUGACCGAGCUACGUUCUUUUGUUGGACUUGCUAAAUAUUAUCGCAGGUUCAUCAGCGGGUACUCCACUAUUGCUACACCACUGACCGAGCUGCUGAAGAAGAACAGGCCUUGGUUGUGGAGUGAGGAAUGCGAGGAAGCGUUCGAGGGUCUCAAGUCUGCGGUUACUCAAGAGCCAGUCUUGAUGCUGCCUAACUUCACCAAGACCUUCGAAAUCUAUAUGGAUGCUUCUGAUUUUGCCAUUGGGGGAGUCUUGAUGCAGGAGAAGCACCCCAUAGCAUUCGAAAGCCGGAAGCUGAAUGAAGCGGAACGAUGGUACACUGUGCAGGAGAAGGAGAUGACGGCCAUUGUGAUUGUCUACGCACAUGAAGGCAUUAUCUACUAGGCUCCAAAUUUGUAGUAAAAACUGACAAUGUUGCCACUAGUUAUUUUCAGUCGCAGAAGAAGAUCACACCAAAGCAGGCUCGUUGGCACGAUUUCUUAGCGGAAUUUGACUACAACUUGGAGUACAAACCAGGAAUGGGCAAUGUGGUAGCCGAUGCAUUGAGCAGAAAGAUUGAAUUAGCGGCCAUCUCCUCAGUCCGUAGUGAGUUUCAAGGCGCAAUCAAAGAUGGUAUGCAACGCGAUCCGGAAGCCAAGAAGAUUAUGGAGCUGGCUGCUCAAGGACAAACCAAACGGUUUUAGGUAGAAGACGGAUUCUUGCUUACCACUGGCCGGAGGAUCUAUGUACCAAAGUUAGGGUUCAUCAGGCGGUGUAUUAUCAAGGAAAGCCACGACACUUCGUGGGCUGGGCAUCCGGGACAGAAGAGAACGAGGGCGUUAGUGGAGGCCUUCUAUUUCUGGCCACGUAUGCGGGAAGAGAUCGAGAAGUAUGUGUAGACUUGUCUAGUGUGCCAGCAAGACAAGGUAGAGCAAAGGCAACCAGGAGGGCUGUUGGAGCCAUUACCCAUAGCUUAUCGUCCAUGGGAGAGCAUAUCUAUGGAUUUCAUUACUUCUUUGCCAAAGUCAAACGGGUUUGGCACUAUUAUGGUCGUAGUAGAUAGAUUUUCCAAAUAUGCUACAUUCAUGCCUGCCACAGCCGGUUGUACUGCUAAGGAAGCUGCACAAUUGUUCUUUAAAAAUGUUGUGAAGUAUUGGGGGCUGCCGAGGUUCAUCAUUAGUGAUCGGGAUCCUCGUUUCACAGGGAACUUAUGGAGUGAACUCUUCGAGAUUCUUGGUUCAAAACUUCAUUUCUCCACUAGUUUCCACCCCCAAACUGAUGGCCAAACUGAAGGCGUCAAUGCCUUGUUGGAAUGCUAUCUUAGGCACUAUGUUAGUGCACAUCAGAAAGAUUGGGCUAAGCUCCUAGACAUGGCGCAGUUUUCUUACAAUUUGCAUAGGAGUGAAUCUACAGGGCGCACACCGUUCGAGUUAGCAACAGGCCAGCAACCCCAAACUCCGCACUCAUUGCCAACUUUGUUCGAGGGGAAGAGUUUGGGCACUUACAACCUUGCCAAGGGUUGAGAAGAGCAACUCGAUCUUGCCAAAUCUUAUUUGAGCAAGGCGGCAAGGAGGAUGAAGAAGUUCGCCGACCUCAAGCGUCGUCCCACAAACUACAAAGAAGGUGAUAUGGUUUUGGUGAAGUUUAAUCCGAGGCAGUUUAAGGCAUUUAGGGGCAUGCAUCACAAUCUGGUGCGGAAAUAUGAGGGUCCGUUCAAAAUUAUUGCAAGGUGGGUAAAAUUUCAUACAGGUUGGAGUUACCUCCACACUUCAAGAUCCACCCGGUCUUUCAUGCAAGCGUCCUUAAGCCUUAUCAUGAGGAUAAGGACGAUCCUAGCUGGAACAAGUCACAACAGCCCCCUAUCACCGUUACUGCCUCGAAUGAUUGAGAAAGUGAAGCUAUCAUAGAUUACCAAGCCAAGCGGAAACGAGGACAGCAGGCUAGUGCCAUGUUUCUCGUACAUUGGAAGGGAUAAACUCCGGAGGAAGCCACAUGGGAGAAGUACGAAGACUUGUGGCAGUUCAAAGACAAAAUUUAGGAGUUCUUGCAGCAAUGCGUCGCGAUCAUCGCAUCAUGGGGUGGGGGAGAUUGUGACGUCCCGCCAUCCAUUCAGGCUGAACGCCACCCAACUGGGCAGCCACCAGGCGCAGCAGGCGCAAGGGUGCAGGCUGACCAAGCAGGUCAGCAGCCAAGGGGGCCAGCAGUAGGUGAAGAGACAGCCGUUACAACAGUUUUACCUGUUACGGCAGUUACAACCGUUACAGCUGUUACACAUGGUAGUGGGGCGGCAUUUUCAUCAGUUUCAAGCCUUUGGGAGGCUUGUGCAGAUCAUGGGGCAGACUAGGAGCAUCUAGGAGUCCUUUUUGGAAGACUUAGAAGCUUGUCUUGUAGGCAUAGUCUUACGAACUUGUAUAGUUUAUUUACUAACUCUUAGGAAGCAUUAGAGUAGUAUAAAUAGUAGAUUAUUUUACUUGUAAAGCAUCCAAUCAUUUUUCAAGUAAUAGAAGUUCCUUCUUCCAAAGUUUUGUCUUACUUCUUAUUUUCUUAGCGAUCUGAGUUUUAGGCUUACUUGAGUUUGCAAGAACGUGCAAGAAUCGUGAGUAAACCGUCAAGUGCCUCACGGAAUAUUGUCCGAAUCAAAAAGUCUGUGACAAUAGGCUAUGAUGGCAUGCCACGCCCGAUGUCGUUCGACCGUGUGUGCUGCCCAAAGGCGAUGAUGGCAUGCCACGCCUGAAGUCGUUCGACCGUGUGUGCUGUCCAAAGGUGGUGAUAUCAUGCCACGCCCGACUUAGUCCUAUCGUGUGUGCUGUCCAUGGGCGGUGAUGGCAUGCCACGCCCAACAUCAUCCGACCAUGUGUGCUGUCCAAGGGCGGUGAUGGCAUGCCACGCCCAACGUCGUCUGACCUUCUAUGCUGCCCAAAGGCGAUGAUAGCAUGACACACCCGACGUCGUCCUUCCGUGUGUGCUGUCCCUAGGAUUUGAUGGCAUGCCACGCUCUACGUCGAUCGAUCGUGUUUCUCAUCCAAGGGCGAUGAUGGCAUGCCACGCUCGACACCAUUCGACUGUGUCAGCUAGUCCAAAGGCGAUGAUGGCAUGCCACGCCCGACGUCGUUCCACCAUGUGUGUUGUCUAAAGGCGUGAUGUCAUGUCAUGCCUGACGUCGUUCUACCGUGUGUGCUAUCCAAAGGCGGUGAUGUCAUGCCACGCCCGACGUUGCCGACCAUGUGAGCAGUCCAAGGGCGGUGAUGUUAUGCCACGCCCGACAUCGUUUGACCGUUUGUUCUGCCUUAAGGUGAUGAUGACAUGCCACGCUCGACGUCGUUCAACCGUUUGUGCCUACCCCAAGGCGGUGAUUUGAUGCCACGCCUGGCAUCGUUAGACCGUGUGUGCUGUCCAAAGGCGGUGAUGUCCUGCCACGCCUAACGUCUUUUGACCUUUUGUAAUUCCUUAAGGCGAUGAUGGCAUGCCACGCCCGACAUCGUUCGACUGUGUGUGCUGUCCAAAGGCGGUGAUUGCAUGUCACGCUUGAUGUCGUUCCUAAGUGUGUGCUGUCCAAAGGCGGUGAUGUCAUGCCACGCCCUAUGUCGUUCGACUGUGUGUGCUGCCCAAAGGCGAUGAUGUCAUGCCACGCCCGACGUAGAUCGACCUUGUGUGUUGUCCAAAGGCGGUGAUGUCAUGCAACGCCCGACGAAGUCCGACCGUGUGUGUUGUCCAAGGGCAGUGAUGUCAUGCCACGCCUGACAUAGUCUGAUCAUACGUGCAGUUCAAGGGCGGUGAUGUCAUGCCACGCCCGCCAUUGUUUGACCAUGUGUUAUGUCCAAGGGCGGUGAUGUCAAGCCACGCCCGACGUCGUCCGACUGUGUGUGCUGUCCAAGGGCGGUGAUGUCAUGCCACGCUUGACCUUAACGACCGUGUGUGUUUUCUAAGGGCGGUGAUGUCAUGCCACGCUCAACGUUGUCGGCUGUGUGCUUUCCAAGGGCGGUGAUGUCAUGCCACGCCUGAAUUCGUCUGAUCGUGCGUGCAGUCCAAGGGCGGUGAUGUCAUGCCAUGGUAUACGUCGUUCGACCGUAUGUGCUGUCCAAGGGCGGUGAUGUAAUGCCACGCCCGACGACGAUCGAUAGUUUGUGCUUUCCAAGGGCGAUGAUGGCAUGCCACACCCGAAGCCGUCCGACCGUCUGUGCUGCCCAAAGGAGAUGAUGGCAUGCCACGCCUGACAUCGUCCGACUGUGUGUGCUGUCCAAUGGCGGUGAUGGCAUGCCACGCUUGAUGUCGUCUGACCGUGCGUGCAGUUAAAGGGCGAUGAUGUCAUGCCAUGCCACGCGUCGUUCUACCGUAUGUGCUGUCCAAAGGUGGUGAUGUCAUGCUACGCCCAACGUAGUCUGACCAUGCGUGCAGUCCAAGAGCGGUGACCUCAUACCACGCCCGAUGUCCUCCUACCGUGUGUGCUGUCCAAGGGCAGUGAUGGCAUGCCACGCCCGACGUCAUCCAUCCAUGUGUGCUGUCUGAAGGAGAUGAUAGCAUGCCACGCCCGACGUCGUCCUUCCUUGUGUGUUGUCCUUAGGCGUUGAUGGCAUGCCACGCUCUACGUCGUUUGACCGUGUUUCCCAUUCAAGGGCGAAGAUGGCAUGCCACGCCCGACGCCGUCCGACUGUGUCAGCUAGUCCAAAGGCGAUGAUGGCAUGCCACGCCUGACGUCAUUCAACCUUGUUUGCCGUUUAAGGGCGAUGAUGGCAUGCCACGCCCGACUUCGUUCGACCAUGUGUUGUCUAAAGGCGGUGAUGGCAUGUCACGCUUGACGUCGUUUGACCGUGUAUGCUGCCCAAAGGCGGUGAUGUCAUACCACGCCCGACAUCUUUCGACCGUGUGUGCUUCCCAAAGUCAAGAUGGCAUGCCACGCCCAACGUCUAUCGACCGUGUGUGUUGUCCAAAGGCGGUGAUGGCAUGUCACGCCUGACGUCGUUUGACCGUGUUUUCCAUCCAUGGGCUAUUAUGGCAUGCCCCGCCAGACGUCAUUCGACCGUGUGUGCUGCCCAAAGGCGAUGAUGGCAUGCCACGCUCGACGUCGUUCGACCGUGUGUGUUGUACAAAGGCGGUGAUGUCAUGCCACGCCUGACGUAGUCCAACCAUGUGUGUUGCCCAAGGGCAGUGAUGUUAUGCCAUGCCCGACAUCCUCCGACCGUGUGCUGUCCUAUGGCGGUGAUGUCAUGCCACGCCCUACGUUGCUGAUUGUCUGUGCAAUCCAAGAGUGGUGAUGUCAUGCCACGCCCGACGUCGUUUGACUGUGCGUGCCGUCCAAGGGCGGUGAUGUCAUGCCACGCCCGAUGUCGUUCAACCGUGUGUGCUUCCUCAAGGCAAGAUGGCAUGCCACGCCCGACGUCGUUCGACCUAUUGUGCUGUCCAAAGGUGAUGAUGGCAAGCCACGCCUGAUGUCAUUCGACCGUGGGUGCUUUCCAAAGGCGGUGAUGUCAUGUCGCACUCGACGUCAUUCGACCGUGUGCGCUGUCCAAAGGAAGUGAUGUCAUGCCAUGCCCGACGUCUAUCAUCCGUGUGCUGCCCAAAGGCGAUGCUGGCAUGCCACGCCUUAUGAUGUUUGACCGUGUGUGCUGCCCAAAGGUGAUGUUGGCAUGCCACGCCUGACGUCAAUCAACUGUUUAGUGCUUCCCAAAGGCGUUGAUGGCAUGCCACGCCUGACGUAGUUCGACCGUGUGUGCUACCCAAAGGCGAUAAUGGAAUGCCACGCUUGACGUCGUUUGACCGUGUGUGCUGUCCAAAGCGUUGAUGGCAUGCCAUGCCCGACGUUGUUCGCUCGUGUGUGCUGUACAAAGGCGGUGAUAUCAUGCCACGCCUGACGUAGUCCAACCGUGUGUGUUGCCCAAGGGCAGUGAUGAUAUGUCAUGCCCGACAUCCUCCGACCGUGUGCUGUCCUAUGGCAGUGAUGUCAUGCCACGCCCUACGUUGCUGAUUGUCUGUGCAAUCCAAGGGUGGUAAUGUCAUGCCAUGCUCGAUGUCGUUUGACUGUGCGUGCCGUCCAAGGGCGGUGAUGUCAUGCCACGCCCGACGUCAUUCAAGCGUGUGUGCUUCCUCAAGGCAAGAUGGCAUGCCACGCCCGACGUCGUUCGACCUGUUGUGCUGCCCAAAGGUGAUGAUGGCAUGCCACGCCCGACGUGAUUCGACCGUGGGUGCUUUCCAAAGGAGGUGAUGUCAUGUCGCGGUCGACGUCGUUCGACCGUGUGCGCUGUCCAAAGGAGGUGAUGUCAUGCCAUGCCCGAUGUCUAUCAUCCGUGUGCUGCCCAAAGCCGAUGCUAGCAUGCCAUGCCUGACGUCGUUCAACUGUUUGUGCUUCCCAAAGGCGUUGAUGGCAUGCCACGCCCGAAGUAGUUCGACCGUGUGUGCUUUCCAAAGGCGAUAAUGGAAUGCCACGCUCGACGUCGUUUGACCGUGUGUGCUGUCCAAAGCGUUGAUUGCAUGCCAUGCCCGACGUUGUUCGCUCGUGUGUGCUGUACAAAGGCGGUGAUGUCAGGCCACGCCAGACGUAGUCUGACCGUGUGUGCUACCCAGGGCAGUGAUGUCAUGCCAUUCCCGACGUCGUCCGAUCGUGUGUUAUCCUAUGGCGGUGAUGGCAUGUCACACUAGACGUCGUUCGACCGUGUGUGCUGUCUAAGGGCGGUGAUUUCAUGCCACGCCCGACAUCUUUCGACUGUGUGUGCUGCCUUAAGGCGAUUAUGGCAUGCCACGCCCGACGUCGUUCGACCGUGUAUGCUGCCCAAAGGUGAUGAUCGCAUUCCACGCCCGACGUCGUUCGACUGUUUGUGCUGCCCAAAGGCGAUGAUGGCAUGCCACGCCCGACGUAGUUCAACUGUGUGUGCUGCCCAAAGGUGAUGAUGUCAUGCCACGUCCGACGUCGUUCUACCGUGUGUGCUGUCCCAAGGCGUUGAUGGUAUGCCACGCACUACGUCGUUCGACCAUGUUUCCCGUCCAAGGGUAAUGAUGGCAUGCCACACCCGACGCCGCCUGAGUGUGUCAGCUAGUCCAAAGGCGAUGAUGGCAUGCCACGCCUGACGUCUUUCAACCUUGUUUGCCGUUCAAGGGCUAUGAUGGAAUGCCACGCCCAUCUUCGUUCGACUGUGUGUGGUGUCCAAGGGCCAUGAUGGCAUGCCACGCCCGACGUCGUUCAACCGUGUGUGCCGCCCAAAGGCGAUGAUGGCAUUUCACGCCCGACGUCGUUGGACCGUGUUUGCCAUCUAUGGGCGAUGAUGGUAUGCCACGCCCGAUGUCAUUCGACCGUGUGUGCUUCCCAAAGGAGAUGAUGGCAUGCCACGCACGACGUCGUUCGACCGUGUGUGCUGUCCAAAGGAGGUGAUGUCAUGCCACGCCCGACGUAGUCCGACCGUGUGUGCUGCCCAAUGGCGGUGAUGUCAUGCCAUGUCUGAUGUCGUCCGACCAUGCGUGCUGUCCCAGAGCGGAGAUGUAAUGCCACGCCCGACGUUGCCGACCGUGUGCGCUGUCCAAAGGCGGUGAUGUCAAGCCACGCCCGAUGUCGUCAGACCGUGCGUGCAGUUCAAGGGCGGUGAUGUCAUGCCAUUCCACAUCGACCGUGUGUGCUGUCCAAAGGUGGUGAUGUCAUGCCACGCCCGACGUAGUCCGACCAUGCGUGCAGUCCAAGAGCGGUGAUCUUAUGCCACGUCCAACGUCGUCCCACCGUGUGUGCUGUCCAAGGGCAGUGAUGGCAUGCCACGCCCGACGUUAUCUGACCACGUGUGCUGUCCAAGGGCGGUGAUGGCAUGCGACGCUCGAUGUCGUCCUUUCGUUUGUGCUGUCCCAACGCGUUGAUGGCAUUCCACGGUCUACGUCAUUCUACCGUGUUUCCCGUCCAAGGGCGAUGAUGGCAUGCCACGCCCGACACAGUCUGAUAGAGUCAACUAGUCCAAAGGCGAUGAUGGCAUGCCACACCCGACGUCAUUCAACCUUGUUUGCCGUUCAAGGGCUAUGAUGGCAUGCGACGACCGACUUCGGUCGAUCGUGUGUGGUGUCCAAAGCCCAUGAUGGCAUGCCACGCCCGACGAUGUCGACAGUGCAUACUGCCCAAAGGAGAUGAUGGCAUUCCACGCCCGACGUCGUUCGAUCGUGUAUGCCAUCAAAGAACGACGAUGGAAUGCCACGCCCGACGCCGUCCGAUCAUGUGUGUUGUCCAAAGGUGGUAAUUGCAUGUCACGCCCAACGUCGUUCGACCGUGUGUGCUGUCCAAAGGCGGUGAUGUCAUGCAACGCCCGAUGUCUUUCGACUGUGGGUGCUGCCUUAAGGCGAUGCUGGCAUGCCACGUCCAACGUCGUUCGACCGUGUGUGCUGCCCAAAGGUGAUGAUGACAUGCCACCCCGACGUCGUUCGACCGUUUGUGCUGCUCAAAGGCAAUGAUGGCAUGCCACGCCCGACGUAGUUCGACCGUGUGUGCUGCCCAAAAUAGAUGAUGGCAUUACAUGCCCGACGUCGUUCGACCGUGUGUGCUGUCCAAAGGCGGUGAUGGCAUGUAACACCCGACGUCGUUUGACCGUGUGUGCUGUCAAAAGGCGGUGAUUUCUUGCCACGCCCGACAUUUUUCGACCAUGUGUACGGCCCAAAGGCGAUGAUGGCAUGCCCUACCUGACGUCGUUCGACCGUGUGUGCUAUCCAAAGGCAGUGAUGGCAUGUCACACUUGACGUCGUUCGACCGUGUUUGCUGUCCAUAGGCUAUGAUUCAUGCCACGCCCGACGUCGUUCGACCGUGUGUGCUACCCAAAGGCGAUGAUGGCAUGCCACGCUCGACGUAGUCCUACCGUGUGUGCUGUCCAAGGGCGGUGAUGGCAUACCACGCCAAACGUCAUCCCACCAUGUGUGCUGUCCAAGGGCGGUAAUGGCAUGUCACGCCUGACAUCGUCUGACCAUCUGUGCUGCCGAAAGGCUAUGAUAGCAUGACACGCCCAACAUCGUCCUUCCGUGUGUGUUGUCCCUAGGCGUUGAUGGCAUGCCACGCUCUACGUUGUCGACCGUAUUUCCCGUCGAAGGGCGAUGAUGGAAUGCCAUGCCCGACGCCAUCCGACUGUGUCAGCUAGUCCAAAGGCAAUGAUGGCAUGCCACGCCCGACGUCGUUCCACCGUGUGUGUUUUCUAAAGGCGGUGAUGUCAUGUCACGCCUGACGUCGUUCUACUGUGUGUGUUGUCCAAUGGCGGUGAUGUCAUGCCACGCCCGACGUUGCCGACCAUGCAAGCAGUCCAAGGGCGGUGAUGUCAUGCCACGUGCGACGUUGUUUGAACAUUUGUUCUUCCUCAAGGCGAUGAUGGCAUGCCACACUCAACAUCGUUCAACCGUGUGUGCCUACCCCAAGGCGGUGAUGUCAUGCCACGCCUAACGUCGUUAGACCGUGUUUGCUGUCCAAAGGUGGUGAUGUCCCACCACGCCUGACGUGGUUUGACCAUUUGUACUGCCUUAAGGCGAUAAUGGCAUGCCACGCCCAACAUAGUUUGACCGUGUGUGCUGUCCAAAGGCAGUGAUAGCAUGUCACGCUCGACGUCGUUCCACUGUGUGUGUUAUCCAAAGGCGGUGAUGUCAUGCCACGCUCGACGUCGUUCGACUGUGUGUGCUGUCCAAAGGCGAUGAUGGAAUGCAACGCCUGACGUCGUUCGACCAUGUGUGCUUCCCAAACGCGAUGAUAGCAUGCCACGCCCCACGUCAUUCGACCGUGUGUGCUGCCCAACGUGAUGAUGGCAUGCCACGCCCGACGUAGUCCAACCGUGUGUGCUGCCCAAGGGUAGUGCGGUAAUGCCACGCCCGACGUCGUUUGACCAUAUGUGCUGUCCAAGGGCGGUGAUGUCAUGCCACGCGCGACGUUGUAAGACCGUGCGUGCAGUCCAUGGGCGGUGAUGUCAUGCCACGCCCGACGUAGUCCUGUCGUGUGUGCUAUCUAAGGGCUAUGAUGUCAUACCACGCCCGACGUCGUCCGACCGUGUGUGCUGUCCAAGGGCGGUGAUGUUAUGCCACGACCGACGUUGCCGGUUGUGUGCUGUCAAAGGGCGGUGAUGUCAUGCCACGUCCGACGUCAUCCAAUCGUGUGUGCAGUCAAAGGGCAGUGAUGUCAUGCCAUGCCAGACGUCGUUCGACCGUGUGUGCUGUCCAAGGGCGGUGAUGUCCUCUCUUACUAGGUUGAAUUACUAUUGCGACACUGUCAUCAGUAGGGUAAAACUCACAUGUCUCACGACGGUCUAAACCAAGCUCACGUUCCCUAUUGGUGAGUGAAUAAUCCAACACUUGGUGAAUUCUGUUUCACAAUGAUAGGAAGAGCCGACAUUGAAGGAUCAAAAAGCAAUGUCGCUAUGAACGCUUUGCUGCCACAAGACAGUUAUCCAGUGGUAACUUUUCUGACACUUCUAGCUUUGAAUUCCGAAGGUCCAAAGGAUCGUUAGGCUUUUCACGGUUCGUAUUCGUAAUUGAAAUCACAAUCAAACGAGCUUUUACCAUUCUUUACGCCACGAGAUUUCUAUUCUCAUUGAGCUCAUCUUAGGACACCUGCGUUAUCUUUUAAAAGAUGUGCCACCCAAGUGAAACUCCCCCCCUGACAAUGUCUUCCUCCCGGAUCGGCCCGCGAAGUGAGCCUUUGGUCCAAAAAGAGGGGCAGUGCCCCACUUCCAAUUCACAGAAUAAGUAAAAUAACAUUAAAAGUAGUGGUAUUUCUUUUUCGCCUUUCGACUCCCACUUAUAUUACACCUCUCAAGUCAUUUGAUAAAGUUGGACUAGAGUCAAGCUCAACAGGGUCUUCUUUCCCCGCUGAUUCUGCCAAGCCCGUUCCCUUGGCUGUGGUUUCAAUGGAUAGUAGACAGGGACAGUGGGAAUCUCGUUAAUCCAUUCAUGCGCGUCACUAAUUAGAUUAUGAGGCAUUUGGAUACCUUAAGAGAGUCAUAGUUACUCCCGCCGUUUACCCGCGCUUGGUUGAAUUUCUUCACUUUGACAUUCAGAGCACUAUGCAGAAAUCACAUUGCGUAAACAUCCGUUGGGACCAUAGCAAUGCUUUGUUUAAAUUAAACAGUCGGAUUCCCCUUGUCCGUACCAUUUCUGAGUUGGUUGUUCGACGCCCAAGAAAGGCCCCCGAAGGAACCGCUCCCAGUCCUUCCCCCGUCCGGCGCGCGGCGACAUGCUCUCGUCGCGGAAGCAGCUCGAGCAGUCCACCGACAGCCGAUGGGUUCGGGACUUGGACCCCCGUGCACAGCCCUCAGAGCCAAUCCUUUUCCCAAAGUUACAGAUCCAUUUUGCCAACUUCCCUUGCCUACAUUGUUCCAUCGACCAGAGGUUGUUCACCUUGGAGACUUGAUGCGGUUAUGAGUACGACUAGGCAUGGACGACAUUCGAUCCUCUGGAUUUUCAAGGGCCGGCGGGAGAGCACCGGACACCACGCGAUGUGCGGUGCUCUUCGAGCCGCUGGAACCUACCUCAGGCUGAGCCGAUUCCAGGGUGUGCAGGCUGUUAAACAGAAAAGAUAACUCUUCUCGAGGCUCCCGCCGACAUCUCCGGACAGGCCCCUAUCCAUACAUGGCCUUACGUGCGCUGUGCAUGUGGCGCCUAGAGUUCGACGUAACAGGAGCUCAAGAACUCGCCACUAGCCGAAAGCACUGCCGUUUCCACACCAAACACCAUUAUAAACUGAUCUAGAGAAGUUCCCUCGGCGGCGCACGAUCGCCCCGCAGAUGUCGCUGGCAUGUUUUUGUAAGCGCCCAAAGGCAUUGCACGGACGAGCCAUGCAUGUCGUCAAGCGCCCAUGCAGCACGCCUACUCACCUCACAGGACGCCCGUGACGUCCACCUUGUAAUGCCUCAGUCGCCCCGCAGACGUCGUCGGCAUGUGUUUGCAAGCGCCCAACAGCGUAGCACGGACGAGCCAUGCAUGCAAUCAAGCACCCACGCAACACGCCUACUAAGCCCACAUGACGCCCUUGAUGUCUACCUCAUUUCGCCUCAGUUGCCCCACAGACGUCGCUGUCAUGUUUUUGUUGAAGCCCAACGGCGUAGCAUGGACAAACCAUGCAUGCCGUCAAGAGCCCGCGCAGCACACCUACUAAGCCCACAGGACGCCCAUGACGUCUGCCUGCCACCGCCUCAAAUGCCCCGCAGACGUCACGGGCUUGUUUUUGUAAACGCCGAACGGCGUAGCACAGACGAGCCAUGCAUUCCAUCUAGCGCCCACGCAGCGCGCCUACUAAGCCCAUAGGACACCCUUGACGUUCGCCAUCCUUCGCCUCAGCCGCCCCGCAAACGUCGCUAGCACAUUUUUGUAGACGCCCAACGGCGUAGCAUGGACGAGCCAUGCAUUGCAUCAAGCGCCCACGCAGCACGCCUACUAAGCCCACAGGAUGCCCUUGACGUCCGCCUGCCUUUGCCUCACUCGACCCGUCGUCAUCGCCGACGUGUUUUUGUAAAUGCCCAACACUAUAGCAUGAACAAGCCAUGCAUGCCAUCAAGCGCCCACGCAGCAUGCCUACUAAGCCCAAAGGACGUCUAUGUCGUCUUCCUGCCUGCGCCUCAGUCUACCUCCAACACCUCUACCCCCCUUAUAUAUGCUUAAAAAAGUUUUACCCAUGCGACAGGAGUAGACAUGGAUUUUCCAGAGAAUCAUAAUGGAAAUGUACAACCCAAAUAUGCACGUUCAAAGGUACAAACACACAUGUCUGAUGUCGUCCGACCAUGCGUGCUGUCCCAGAGCGGAGAUGUAAUGCCACGCCCGACGUUGCCGACCGUGUGCGCUGUCCAAAGGCGGUGAUGUCAAGCCACGCCCGAUGUCGUCAGACCGUGCGUGCAGUUCAAGGGCGGUGAUGUCAUGCCAUUCCACAUCGACCGUGUGUGCUGUCCAAAGGUGGUGAUGUCAUGCCACGCCCGACGUAGUCCGACCAUGCGUGCAGUCCAAGAGCGGUGAUCUUAUGCCACGUCCAACGUCGUCCCACCGUGUGUGCUGUCCAAGGGCAGUGAUGGCAUGCCACGCCCGACGUUAUCUGACCACGUGUGCUGUCAAAGGGCGGUGAUGGCAUGCGACGCUCGAUGUCGUCCUUUCGUUUGUGCUGUCCCAACGCGUUGAUGGCAUUCCACGGUCUACGUCAUUCUACCGUGUUUCCCGUCCAAGGGCGAUGAUGGCAUGCCACGCCCGACACAGUCUGAUAGAGUCAACUAGUUCAAAGGCGAUGAUGGCAUGCCACACCCGACGUCAUUCAACCUUGUUUGCCGUUCAAGGGCUAUGAUGGCAUGCGACGACCGACUUCGGUCGAUCGUGUGUGGUGUCCAAAGCCCAUGAUGGCAUGCCACGCCCGACGAUGUCGACAGUGCAUACUGCCCAAAGGAGAUGAUGGCAUUCCACGCCCGACGUCGUUCGAUCGUGUAUGCCAUCAAAGAACGACGAUGGAAUGCCACGCCCGACGCCGUCCGAUCAUGUGUGUUGUCCAAAGGUGGUAAUUGCAUGUCACGCCCAACGUCGUUCGACCGUGUGUGCUGUCCAAAGGCGGUGAUGUCAUGCAACGCCCGAUGUCUUUCGACUGUGGGUGCUGCCUUAAGGCGAUGCUGGCAUGCCACGUCCAACGUCGUUCGACCGUGUGUGCUGCCCAAAGGUGAUGAUGACAUGCCACCCCGACGUCGUUCGACCGUUUGUGCUGCUCAAAGGCAAUGAUGGCAUGCCACGCCCGACGUAGUUCGACCGUGUGUGCUGCCCAAAAUAGAUGAUGGCAUUACAUGCCCGACGUCGUUCGACCGUGUGUGCUGUCCAAAGGCGGUGAUGGCAUGUAACACCCGACGUCGUUUGACCGUGUGUGCUGUCAAAAGGCGGUGAUUUCUUGCCACGCCCGACAUUUUUCGACCAUGUGUACGGCCCAAAGGCGAUGAUGGCAUGCCCUACCUGACGUCGUUCGACCGUGUGUGCUAUCCAAAGGCAGUGAUGGCAUGUCACACUUGACGUCGUUCGACCGUGUUUGCUGUCCAUAGGCUAUGAUUCAUGCCACGCCCGACGUCGUUCGACCGUGUGUGCUACCCAAAGGCGAUGAUGGCAUGCCACGCUCGACGUAGUCCUACCGUGUGUGCUGUCCAAGGGCGGUGAUGGCAUACCACGCCCAACGUCAUCCCACCAUGUGUGCUGUCCAAGGGCGGUAAUGGCAUGUCACGCCUGACAUCGUCUGACCAUCUGUGCUGCCGAAAGGCUAUGAUAGCAUGACACGCCCAACAUCGUCCUUCCGUGUGUGUUGUCCCUAGGCGUUGAUGGCAUGCCACGCUCUACGUUGUCGACCGUAUUUCCCGUCGAAGGGCGAUGAUGGAAUGCCAUGCCCGACGCCAUCCGACUGUGUCAGCUAGUCCAAAGGCAAUGAUGGCAUGCCACGCCCGACGUCGUUCCACCGUGUGUGUUUUCUAAAGGCGGUGAUGUCAUGUCACGCCUGACGUCGUUCUACUGUGUGUGUUGUCCAAUGGCGGUGAUGUCAUGCCACGUCCGACGUUGCCGACCAUGCAAGCAGUCCAAGGGCGGUGAUGUCAUGCCACGUGCGACGUUGUUUGAACAUUUGUUCUUCCUCAAGGCGAUGAUGGCAUGCCACACUCAACAUCGUUCAACCGUGUGUGCCUACCCCAAGGCGGUGAUGUCAUGCCACGCCUAACGUCGUUAGACCGUGUUUGCUGUCCAAAGGUGGUGAUGUCCCACCACGCCUGACGUGGUUUGACCAUUUGUACUGCCUUAAGGCGAUAAUGGCAUGCCACGCCCAACAUAGUUUGACCGUGUGUGCUGUCCAAAGGCAGUGAUAGCAUGUCACGCUCGACGUCGUUCCACUGUGUGUGUUAUCCAAAGGCGGUGAUGUCAUGCCACGCUCGACGUCGUUCGACUGUGUGUGCUGUCCAAAGGCGAUGAUGGAAUGCAACGCCUGACGUCGUUCGACCAUGUGUGCUUCCCAAACGCGAUGAUAGCAUGCCACGCCCCACGUCAUUCGACCGUGUGUGCUGCCCAACGUGAUGAUGGCAUGCCACGCCCGACGUAGUCCAACCGUGUGUGCUGCCCAAGGGUAGUGCGGUAAUGCCACGCCCGACGUCGUUUGACCAUAUGUGCUGUCCAAGGGCGGUGAUGUCAUGCCACGCGCGACGUUGUAAGACCGUGCGUGCAGUCCAUGGGCGGUGAUGUCAUGCCACGCCCGACGUAGUCCUGUCGUGUGUGCUAUCUAAGGGCUAUGAUGUCAUACCACGCCCGACGUCGUCCGACCGUGUGUGCUGUCCAAGGGCGGUGAUGUUAUGCCACGACCGACGUUGCCGGUUGUGUGCUGUCAAAGGGCGGUGAUGUCAUGCCACGUCCGACGUCAUCCAAUCGUGUGUGCAGUCAAAGGGCAGUGAUGUCAUGCCAUGCCAGACGUCGUUCGACCGUGUGUGCUGUCCAAGGGCGGUGAUGUCCUCUCUUACUAGGUUGAAUUACUAUUGCGACACUGUCAUCAGUAGGGUAAAACUCACAUGUCUCACGACGGUCUAAACCAAGCUCACGUUCCCUAUUGGUGAGUGAAUAAUCCAACACUUGGUGAAUUCUGUUUCACAAUGAUAGGAAGAGCCGACAUUGAAGGAUCAAAAAGCAAUGUCGCUAUGAACGCUUUGCUGCCACAAGACAGUUAUCCAGUGGUAACUUUUCUGACACUUCUAGCUUUGAAUUCCGAAGGUCCAAAGGAUCGUUAGGCUUUUCACGGUUCGUAUUCGUAAUUGAAAUCACAAUCAAACGAGCUUUUACCAUUCUUUACGCCACGAGAUUUCUAUUCUCAUUGAGCUCAUCUUAGGACACCUGCGUUAUCUUUUAAAAGAUGUGCCACCCAAGUGAAACUCCCCCCCUGACAAUGUCUUCCUCCCGGAUCGGCCCGCGAAGUGAGCCUUUGGUCCAAAAAGAGGGGCAGUGCCCCACUUCCAAUUCACAGAAUAAGUAAAAUAACAUUAAAAGUAGUGGUAUUUCUUUUUCGCCUUUCGACUCCCACUUAUAUUACACCUCUCAAGUCAUUUGAUAAAGUUGGACUAGAGUCAAGCUCAACAGGGUCUUCUUUCCCCGCUGAUUCUGCCAAGCCCGUUCCCUUGGCUGUGGUUUCAAUGGAUAGUAGACAGGGACAGUGGGAAUCUCGUUAAUCCAUUCAUGCGCGUCACUAAUUAGAUUAUGAGGCAUUUGGAUACCUUAAGAGAGUCAUAGUUACUCCCGCCGUUUACCCGCGCUUGGUUGAAUUUCUUCACUUUGACAUUCAGAGCACUAUGCAGAAAUCACAUUGCGUAAACAUCCGUUGGGACCAUAGCAAUGCUUUGUUUAAAUUAAACAGUCGGAUUCCCCUUGUCCGUACCAUUUCUGAGUUGGUUGUUCGACGCCCAAGAAAGGCCCCCGAAGGAACCGCUCCCAGUCCUUCCAACGUCCGGCGCGCGGCGACAUGCUCUCGUCGCGGAAGCAGCUCGAGCAGUCCACCGACAGCCGAUGGGUUCGGGACUUAGACCCCCGUGCACAGCCCUCAGAGCCAAUCCUUUUCCCAAAGUUACAGAUCCAUUUUGCCAACUUCCCUUGCCUACAUUGUUCCAUCGACCAGAGGUUGUUCACCUUGGAGACUUGAUGCGGUUAUGAGUACGACUAGGCAUGGACGACAUUCGAUCCUCUGGAUUUUCAAGGGCCGGCGGGAGAGCACCGGACACCACGCGAUGUGCGGUGCUCUUCGAGCCGCUGGAACCUACCUCAGGCUGAGCCGAUUCCAGGGUGUGCAGGCUGUUAAACAGAAAAGAUAACUCUUCUCGAGGCUCCCGCCGACAUCUCCGGACAGGCCCCUAUCCAUACAUGGCCUUACGUGCGCUGUGCAUGUGGCGCCUAGAGUUCGACGUAACAGGAGCUCAAGAACUCGCCACUAGCCGAAAGCACUGCCGUUUCCACACCAAACACCAUUAUAAACUGAUCUAGAGAAGUUCCCUCGGCGGCGCACGAUCGCCCCGCAGAUGUCGCUGGCAUGUUUUUGUAAGCGCCCAAAGGCAUAGCACGGACGAGCCAUGCAUAUCGUCAAGCGCCCAUGCAGCACGCCUACUCACCUCACAGGACGCCCGUGACGUCCACCUUGUAAUGCCUCAGUCGCCCCGCAGACGUCGUCGGCAUGUGUUUGCAAGCGCCCAACAGCGUAGCACGGACGAGCCAUGCAUGCAAUCAAGCACCCACGCAACACGCCUACUAAGCCCACAUGACGCCCUUGAUGUCUACCUCCUUUCGCCUCAGUUGCCCCACAGACGUCGCUGUCAUGUUUUUGUUGAAGCCCAACGGCGUAGCAUGGACAAACCAUGCAUGCCGUCAAGAGCCCGCGCAGCACACCUACUAAGCCCACAGGACGCCCAUGACGUCUGCCUGCCACCGCCUCAAAUGCCCCGCAGACGUCACGGGCUUGUUUUUGUAAACGCCGAACGGCGUAGCACAGACGAGCCAUGCAUUCCAUCUAGCGCCCACGCAGCGCGCCUACUAAGCCCAUAGGACACCCUUGACGUUCGCCAUCCUUCGCCUCAGCCGCCCCGCAAACGUCGCUAGCACAUUUUUGUAGACGCCCAACGGCGUAGCAUGGACGAGCCAUGCAUUGCAUCAAGCGCCCACGCAGCACGCCUACUAAGCCCACAGGAUGCCCUUGACGUCCGCCUGCCUUUGCCUCACUCGACCCGUCGACAUCGCCGACGUGUUUUUGUAAAUGCCCAACACUAUAGCAUGAACAAGCCAUGCAUGCCAUCAAGCGCCCACGCAGCAUGCCUACUAAGCCCAAAGGACGUCUAUGUCGUCUUCCUGCCUGCGCCUCAGUCUACCUCCAACACCUCUACCCCCCUUAUAUAUGCUUAAAAAGUUUUACCCAUGCGACAGGAGUAGACAUGGAUUUUCCAGAGAAUCAUAAUGGAAAUGUACAACCCAAAUAUGCACGUUCAAAGGUACAAACACACAUUAGCUUUCAUAAAUGACUUCAAUAUAUAUAAAAAAAAUAUUUUUCAACAUUUUUUUUUUUUUAUUUUUUUUUGAAAAUUCCGAAAAAUUAGUAAUAAAUUAAUAAAAAUUGGGGAAAAUAUCAGAAAAAAUAUGAAAUCAACUCCGAAAAUUCACAAAUAAAUAUGGGAACCUUAAAAUAAAAAAUUUAAUAAAUUUUAAUUUUUAAAAGGAGACGUAAAAAAUUAAAAAGCGUAAAAAUAAAUUAUAAAAUAAUGAUUAAAAGUCGGAAAAAUACAGAAAUGCUCGAAAACACUUCUAAACAUGUCAAAUUAAUGAUAAAAUAUAUAUUUGCACAAAUAAAAGAUGUUUCAAUAUCGUGCGAACUGUAAAAGUAAUAAAAAUGAUGCGAAAGAGCCACGUUUGGUGGAAACGUUAGAGGAUAGAUAAUGGAAAGUUGAUGAAUAUGUUUGUUAUGCAUGGAGGUUGUUUCAAAAUCCUUUGAUUUAUGUACGACAUGAACAUCUGCAUCUAUCAUCUAGACUCGAACAAUGUCGCGCAAGCCAAGACCGAUGCGGGCAGGCCACGACUGACCACUGUGUGCAGGCACGUCUGACGACGGCCGACCGUUCGUGCUUUCCAAGGGCUAUGAUGGCAUACCACGCCCGACGACGGCCGACCGUUUGUGCUGUCCAAGGACGAUGAUGGCAUGCCACGCCCGACGCCGUCUUACCGUCUGUGUUGCCCAAGGGCAAAAAUGGCAUGCCACGCCCGACGUCGCCCGACCGUGUCAGCUAGUCCAAAGGCGAUGAUGGCAUGCGACGCUCGAUGUCGUCCGACCGUGUCAGCUAGUCCAAAGGCGAUGAUGGCAUGCCACGCCCGAUGUCAUUUGACCGUGUGUGCUUUCCAAGGGCUAUGAUGGCAUGCCACGCCCGACAACGGCUGACCCACCGCGCCCUCCUACUCAUCGGGGCCAGGCACUUGCCCUGACGACCGGGUGUAGAUCGCGCGCUUAAGCUCCAUCCAUUUUCGGGGCUAGUUGAUUCGGCAGGCGAGUUGUUACACACUCCUUAGCGGAUUUUGACUUCCAUGACCACCGUCCUCCUGUCUUAAUUGACCAACACCCUUUGUGGGAUCUAGGUUAGCGCGCAGUUUGGCACUGUAACCUGGCUUCCGAUUCAUCCUGCAUCGCCAGUUCUGCUUACCAAAAAUGGCCCACUUGGAGCUCUUGAUUCCGUGGCGCGGCUCAACAAAGUAGUCGCACCGUCCUACCUAUUUAAUGUUUGAGAAUGGUUGAGGGCAUUGCGCCUCCGAGGCCUCUAAUCAUUGGCUUUACCUGAUAGAACUCGCACGCGAGCUCCACCUAUACUCAGGGAAACUUCGGACGGAACCAGCUACUAGACGGUUCGAUUAGUCUUUCGCCCCAAUACCCAAGUCAGACGAUCGAUUUGCACGUCAGUAUCGCUGCGGGCCUCCACCAGAGUUUCCUCUGGCUUCACCCCGCUCAGGCAUAGUUCACCAUCUUUUGGGUCCCGACAGGUAUGCUCACACUCGAACCCUUCUGAGAAGAUCAAGGUCAGUCGGCGGUGCACCCCUCAGGGGGAUCCCACCAAUCAGCUUCCUUACGCCUUACGAGUUUACUCGACCGUUGACUUGCACAUAUGUAAGAUUCCUUGGUCCGUGUUUCAAGACGGGUCGAAUGGGGAGCCCACAAUCGGGGAGAUGCCGAAGCACGCCGGAGGCGCGCGCUGCCUUCCACAAUCGGGGAGAUGGGGUUCCAUGGUCGUAUCGAGAGCCCGGGAUUUGGCCUCCCCACCAAUCCACGUUGGUCCACGCCCCGAGUCGAUCGGUGGACCGGCUCUUCACCUUUCCACAUCUGAUCGGGGCACAUCGCCGGCCCCCAUCCUCUUCUCUCCCGAUAAUUUCAAGCACUCUUUGACUCUCUUUUAAAUUUCUUUUCAUCUUUCCCUUGCGGUAGUUGUUCGCUGUCGUUCUCUCACAAGUAUUUAGCCUUGGACGGAAUUUACCCCCCGUUUUGGGCUAUAUUUCCAAACAACCCAACUCGUAGACAGAGCCUCAUGGUGCGAUAGGGUCCUGUCACGACAAGGAUCUCACCCUAUUCGGCGCACCCUUCCAGGGGACUUGGGCCCGAUCCGCUGCUGAGAACGCUUCUCCAAACUACAAUUCAGACGACAGAGACACCCGAUUCUAAGGCUGGGUUGUUCCCGGUUUGCUCGCCGUUAUUAGGGGAAUCCUUGUAAGUUUCUUUUCCUCCGCUUAUUGAUAUGCUUAAACUCAGCGGGUAAUGCCGCCUGACUUGGGGUCGCGGUCGGAGUGCCUGGUGAGGCGCAGUGAGGGUCGGGGAGUUCGGACGCGUGACGGGCUGUAGUCGCGACAACAAAGAGAAUUGGAUUUCAACAACCCCUUGCAGAGACGUCCGUCGACGUGGUCACAUUUAGGCCGGGCGCACGGGAGGCCAAAUUUCACCCACGCGUUCAGCCUUGUGACGUGCACGGGAGGACAACGCGAUGCGUGACGUGCAGGCAAACGUGCCCUCGGCCAAAUGGCUUCGGGCGCAACUUGCGUUCAAAGACUCAAUGGUUCACGGGAUUCUGUAAUUCACACCAAGCAUCGCAUUUCGCUACCUUCUUUAUCGAUGCGAGAGCCGAGAUAUUCCUUGUCAAGAGUCGUUUGUGUUAUCAGAGCAGCGCGCAUCCCCCCAUGAUCCGUGAACAGGGGAGCGAAGGGAGCGUUGUCUAUUGUAGUAUUCCUUGGCGCUUUCCGCGCCGGGGUUCGGUUGUCGCUCGAAGAGCUUGCGCGCGUCGGGUGACAGGAGGGAGGCGCAUAACUAGCAAGCACCGCCCCCAGGUGUUUAAAAUGAGCUCGUAGGUCAUUCUACUGUACAGGUUUCGACAAUGAUCCUUCCGCAGGUUCACCUAUGGAAACCUUGUUACGACUUCUCCUUCCUCUAAAUGAUAAGGUUCAAUGGACUUCUCACAACUUCGCGGGCAGCAAACCGCUCAUGUCACCGCGAUUCAAACAUUUCACUAAAUCAGACAAUCGGUAGGAGCGACGGGCGGUGUGUACAAAGGGCAGGGACGUAGUCAAUGCGAGUUGAUGACUCGCGCUUACUAGGAAUUCCUCGUUGAAAACCAAUAAAUGCAAUGAUAUAUCCCUAUCACGAUUAAAUUUCAAACAUUACUUGGGCCUAUUUUCCAAGGCUUUAAGCUCGCUGAAUAAUCAGUGUAGCCCGCGUGCGGCCCAUAACAUCUAAGGGCAUCACAGACCUGUUAUUGCCUAAAACAUCCGUGGCCUAAAAGGCCGUAGUCCCUCUAAGAAGCUGGCCGCGAAAGGAUACCUCCGCAAAGCUAGUUAGCAGGAUGAGGUCUUAUUCGUUAACGGAAUUAACCUGACAAAUCGCUUCACCAACUAAGAACGGACCAUGCACCACCACCAGUAGAAUCAAGAAAGAGCUCUCAGUCUCUCAAUCCUUACUAUGUUUGGACCUUGUAAGUUUCCCCGUGUUGAGUCAAAUAAAGCCGCAGGCUGCACUCAUGGUGGUGCCCUUCCAUCAAUACCUUUAAGUUUCAGCCUUGCGACCAUACUCCCCCAGAACCCAAAAACUUUGAUUUCUCAUAAGGUGGCGGCAGAGUCCUAAAAGAAACAUCCGUCGAUCCCUGGUCAGCAUCGUUUAUGGUUGAGACUAGGACGGUAUCUAAUCAUCUUCGAGCCCCCAAAUUUCAUUCUUGGUUAAUGAAAAUAUUCUUGGCAAAUGCUUUUGCAGUUGUUCAUCUUUCAUAAAUCCAAGAAUUUCACCUCUGACUAUGAAAUACGAAUGCCCCCGACUGUCCUUGUUAAUCAUUACUCCGAUCCUGAAGGCCAACGUAAUAUGACCGAAAUCCUAUAAUGUUAUCCCAUUCUAAUGUAUACAGAGUGUAGGCUUUCUUUGAGCACUCUAAUUCUUCAAAGUAACAGCGUCUGAGGCACGACCCGGCCAUUAAACGCCAUGAGCGCAUCGCCCGACAGAAGGGACGAGACGACCGAUGCACAUCUAGGGCGGACCGGCCGGCCCUUCCCAAAGUCCAACUACGAGCUUUUUAAUUGCAACAACUUAAAUAUACACUAUUGGAGCUGGAAUUACCGCGACUGCUGGCACCAGACUUGCCCUCCAAUAGAUCCUCGUUAAGGGAUUUAGAUUGUACUCAUUCCAAUUAGAAGACUCAUGGAGCCCAGUAUUGUUAUUUAUUGUCACUACUUCCCCGUGUCAGGAUUGGUAAUUUGCACGCCUGCGGCUUUCCUUGGAUGUGGUAGCCGUUUCGCAGGCUCCCUCUCCGGAAUUGGACCCUAAUUCUCCGUCACCCGGCAACACCAUGGUAGGCCACUGUCCUACCAUCAAAAGUUCAUAGGGCAAAAAUUUGAAUGAUGCAUCGCCGGCACAAUGGCCGAGCGAUCCGUCAAGUUAUAAUGAAUCAUCGAAGCAACUGGUAGAGCCCGCAUUGACCUUUUAUAUAAUAAAUGCAUCCCUUCCAGAAGUCGGGGUUUGUUGCACGUAUUAGCUCUAGAAUUAGUACGGUUAUGCGAGUAGUAGAUACCAUCAAACAAAGUAUACCUGAUUUAAUGAGCCAUUCAUAGUUUCACAGUCUGAAUUUGUUCAUACAUACACAUGCAUGGCUUAAUCUUUGAUACAAGCAUAUGAAUAAUGGCAGGAAAACCAGUGGUAGCACUUCUCAAAAACGUCGCGCGCCGCAUGAGACCGGUGUGCCCUUUCGGUCACGGUCGGGUCUAAGGAGAGCGCGAUAGUCAUUCGCAGGGAGCAUUUGUUUUGGGCAGAUAGAAGCCGAUGAAGGCCCCAUGCCCACUAUAUCUACAGUAUCUGAGAAUUUGAGGCGCCGCUCACGAAUUACGCCAUUGUAUGAUGAAGCGAGGGAAGGCAUGGGAUGCGAAAGCGUCUUUUGGGUUCACCCGCACAUGGGACUCGAAGGGAGAAAGGCGACCAUUUGCACGUGCACAAUGCCUAGGCAUUAGGUAUCCAGCACAAGAUUUCGACGUCCGACCAUCUUAGAUUGCGCUUCAUCCGCCACCGAAUUGGCAUGCGAGUUAAGAUGUCACUUCUCAAAAUAGGGAUCCAACCUACCAACAAAUCCCCAAUACCACUCAUGCGCCAUAGCUGAAUAGCUCCGUCAAUGCGCCGCUCGACAUCCACCCCGAUGCCCGACAUGAGAUGUCGUGCAAAGACGCCGAUGCCUUCUUUGUAAGGCCAAUGCUACACCCGCUGUUGCACUCCUACCCAAGGGAGUUGAGAAUUUAAUCACUGCAAAGAUUGUUGGAGGAAGACUAAGGUUCACACAAGGGAACUGCCCACGACGUCGUUCGACCGUGUACGCUGUCCGAAUGCGGUGAUGGCAUGCCACGCCCGACGUUGUUUGCCGGUGUUUUGCCAUUCAAGGGCUAUGAUGGCAUGCCUUGCCCGAAGUUGUUCGAACGUCCGUGCUGCCCUAAGGCGAUGAUGGCAUGCAACGCUCGAAGUCGUUUGACCGCGUGUGCUGUCAACAGGCGGUGAUGUCAUGCCACGCCCGACGUCGUUCGACCAUGUCUGCUGCCCAAAGGCGAUGAUGGCAUGCCAUGCCCGACGUCGUUCGACCGUGUUUUCCGUACAAGGGAGAUGAUGGCAUGCCAAGCUCGAUACCGUCAGACUGUAUGAGAUAGUCCAAAGGCGAUGACAGCAUGCCACGCCCGACGUCGUUCGACCGUUUGUGCUGCCCAAAGGCGAUGAUGGCAUGCCACGCCUGAUGUUGUUCGACCGUGUGUGCUGUCCAAAGGCGGUGAUGGCAUCUCACGCCCGACGUUGUUCGAUCGUGUGUGCUGUCCAAAGGUGGUGAUGUCAUGCCACGCCUGAUGUCGUUCGACCGUGUGUGCUGCCCAAAGGCGAUGAUGGCAUGCCACGCUCGACGUCGUUCGACCGCGUGUGCUGUGAAUAGGCGGUGAUGUCAUCCCAUGCCUGACGUUGUUCGACCAUGUCUGCUGCCUAAAGGCGAUGAUGGCAUGCCACGCCCCACGUCGUUCAACCGUGUUUUCCGUCCAAGGGCGAUGGGCAUGCCAAGCUCGAUACCGUCAGACUGUGUGAGCUAGUCCAAAGGCGACGACGGCAUGCCACGCACGAUGACGUUCGACCAUUUGGUGCUGCCCAAAGACGAUGAUGAUGGCAUGCCAUGCCCGACGUCAUUCGCCCGUGUGUGUGUGCUGCCCAAAGGCGAUGAUGGCAUGCUACGCCCGACGUCGUUCGACCGUGUGUGCUGUCCAAAGGCGGUUGAUGGCAUCUCACGCCCGACGUUUUUUUUUGACCGUGUGUGCUGUCCAAAGGUGGUUAUGUCAUGCCAUGCCUGACGUCGUUCGGACCGUGGGUGCUUCCCAAAUGCGAUGCUGGCAUGCCAAGCCCGAUGUUGUUCUACCGUGUGUGCUUUCCAAAGGCAGUAGUGAUGGCAUGUCACGCCUGACGUCGUACGACCGUUGUUUGUCGUCCAAGGUCUAUGAUGGCAUGCCACGGCCGACGUCGUUUUACCGUGUGUUCUACCCAAAGGAGAUGAUGGCAUGCCACGCCUGAUGUCUUUUGAGCGAGUGUGCUGUCCAAAGGCGGUGAUGUCAUGCCAUGGUCGAUGCACUCCGACCGUGUGUGCUACCCAAGGGAGGUGAUGUCAUGCCAUGCCCGACAUCGUCCGACCGUGUGUCCAAGGGUGCUGAUGUCAUGCCACGCUCGACGUUGCUGACCGUUUGUGUGCUGUCCAAGGGCGGUCAUGUCAUGUCACGCCUGACGUUGCCGACCGUGUGUGUUGUCCAAGGGCGGUGUGAUGUGUUGCCAUACCCGACGUCGUCUGACCGUGCAUGUAGUCCAAGCAGUGGUGUCAUGCCACGCCCGACGUCGUUCAACUGUUGUGUGUUGUCCAAGGGCGGUGAUGUCAUGCCACGCCCGACACCGCCCCGACCUUGCGUGUAGUCCAAGGGUGGUGAUGUCAUGUCAUGCCUGACGUUGUCUGACCGUGUGUGCUGUCCAAGGGCGGUGAUGGCAUGCCCAUGCCUGACGUUGUUCGACCGUGUGUGUGCUGUUUAAGGGGGGGGUGAUGGCAUGCCCCGCCCGACAUCGUCUGACCAUGUGUGCUAUCUAAGGGUGGUGGUGAUGGCAUGCCACGCCCGACGUCGUCCUACCAUUGUGUGCUGUCCACGGGCCGUGAUGGCAUGCCACGCCCGACGUCACCCGGCUAUGUGUGCUGUCCAAGGGUGGUGAUGGCAUGCACGGUCGACGUCGUAAGACCGUUUGUGCUACCAAAAGGCGAUGAUGUCAUGCCACGCCCGACAUCGUCUGACCGUGUGUGCUGUCCCAAGACGGUGAUGGCAUGCCACGCUCUACGUCGUUCGACCGUGUUUCCCUUCCAAGGGCGAUGAUGGCAUGCCACGCCUUACGCCGCCCAACUGUGUCAGCUAGUCCAAAGGCGAUAAUGUAUGCCACGCACGACGUCGUUCAACCUUGUUUGCCGUUCAAGGAAUAUGAUGACAUCCCACGCCCGACGUCGUUCGACCGUGUGUGCUAUCAAAAGGCCAUGAUGGCAUGCCAGGCCUGACGUCGUUCGACCGUGUAUGCUGCCAAAGGUGAUGAUGCAUGCCACACCCGACGUCGUUCGACCGUGUUUUCGUACAAGGGUGAUGAUGGCAUGUCACGCCCGAGCCAUUCGACUGUUUGUGCUGCCCAAAGGUGAUGAUGGCAUGCCAUGCCCGAAGCCGUUCGAGCGUGUGCGCUGUCAAAAGGAGGUGAUGUCAUGCCAUGCUCGACGUCUUUCGACUGUGUGUGUUUCCCAAAGGCGAUGCUGGCAUGCUACGCCUGACGUUUUUCGACCGUGUGUGUGCUGCCCAAAGGUAAUGUUGGCAUGCCACGCCCGACGUGGUUCGACCAUUUUGUGCUUCCCAAAGGCGAUGAUGGCAUGCCACGCCCGACGUAGUUCGACCGUGUGUUGCUGCCCUAAGGUGAUGAUGGCAUGCCACGCCCGACGUCAUUCGACCUUGUGUGAUGUCCAAAGGCGGUUAUGGCAUGUCACGCCCGACGUCGUUUGACCGUGUGUGCUGCCCUUAGGCGGUGAUGUCAUGCCACGCCUGACGUCAUUCGAUCGUGUGUGCUGCCCAAAGGCGAUGCUGGCAUGCCACCCCAACGACGUUCGACCGUGUGUGACGUCCAAGGGUGGUGNNNNNNNNNNNNNNNNNNNNNNNNNNNNNNNNNNNNNNNNNNNNNNNNNNNNNNNNNNNNNNNNNNNNNNNNNNNNNNNNNNNNNNNNNNNNNNNNNNNNUAUAGCAACACCAUUUUUUGGUGAUCAGGAUUCCGACGUCAAAAAUGCCAAAUUUUUCGGGUGACGUCCGUCAAGACCUUGUCUAUGCAUACGGUUGGUUGAUUGUCCGGGCCAUUUGGAGGGUCAAACAGCCCCGAAGCGAGCAUACGCCUCAUUUCGACGAUUUUCGUGUGCUAUAGCACACCAAUUUUUUGGGUGAUCCGGAUUCCGACGUCAAAAAUGCCAAAAUUUUUGUGGACGUCCGUCAAGACCUUUUCUAUGCAUACGGUUGGCCAUCACGGAUUGUCCGGGCCAUUUGGAGGGUCAAACGAGCCCCGAAGCGAGCAUACGCCUCAUUUCGACGAUUUUCGUGUGCUAUAAGCACACCAUUUUUUGGGUGAUCCGGAUUCCGACGUCAAAAAUGCCAAAAAUUUUUCAUGGACGUCCGUCAAGACCUUGUCUAUGCAUACUGUUGGCAAUCACGGAUUGUCCGGGCCAUUUGAGGUCAAACGAGCCCCGAAGCGAGCAUACGCCUCAUUUCGACGAUUUUCGUGUGCUAUAGCACACCAUUUUUUGGGUGAUCCGGAUUCCGACGUCAAAAAAUGCCAAAUGUUUUCGUGGACGUCCGUCAAGACCUUGUCUAUGCAUACGGUUGGCCAUCACGGAUUGUCCGGGCAUUUGAGGGUCAAACGAGCCCCGAAGCGAGAUACGCCUCAUUUCGACGAUUUUCGUGUGCUAUAGCACACCAUUUUUUGGGUGAUCCGGAUUCCGACGUCAAAAAUGCCAUUUUUUUGUGGACGUCCGUCAAGACUUGUCUAUGCAUACGGUUGGCAAUCACGGAUUGUCCGGGCCAUUUGAGGGUCAAACGAGCCCCGAAGCGAGCAUACGCCUCAUUUCGACGAUUUUCGUGUGCUAUAGCACACCAUUUUUUGGGUGAUCCGGAUUCCGACGUCAAAAAUGCCAAUUUUUUGUGGACGUCCGUCAAGACCUUGUCUAUGCAUACGGUUGGCAUCACGGAUUGUCCGGGCCAUUUGGAGGGUCAAACGAGCCCCGAAGCGAGCAUACGCCUCAUUUCGACGAUUUUCGUGUGCUAUAGCACACCAUUUUUUGGGUGAUCCGGAUUCCGACGUCAAAAAUGCCAAAUUUUUUCUGGACGUCCAUCAAGACCUUGUCUAUGCAUACGGUUGGCAAUCACGGAUUGUCCGGGCCAUUUGGAGGGUCAAACGCCCCGAAGCGAGCAUACGCCUCAUUUCGACGAUUUUCGUGUGCUAUAGCACACCAUUUUUGGGUGAUCCGGAUUCCGACGUCAAAAUGCCAAAUUUUUCGUGGACGUCCGUCAAGACCUUGUCUAUGCAUACGGUUUGCCAUCACGGAUUGUCCGGCCAUUUGGAGGGUCAAACGAGCCCCGAAGCGAGCAUACGCCUCAUUUCGACGAUUUUUGUGUGCUAUAGCACACCAUUUUUGGGUGACCGGAUUCCGACGUCAAAAAUGCCAAAUUUUUUCGUGGACGUCCGUCAAGACCUUGUCUAUGCAUACGGUUGGCCAUCACGGAUUGUCCGGCCAUUUGGAGGGUCAAACGAGCCCCGAAGCGAGCAUACGCUCAUUUCGACGAUUUCGUGUGCUAUAGCACACCAUUUUUUGGGUGAUCCAGAUUCCGACGUCAAAAAUGCCAAAAUUUUUCGUGGACGUCCGUCAAGACCUUGUCUAUGCAUACGGUUGGCCAUCACGGAUUGUCCGGCAAUUUUGAGGGUCAAACGAGCCCCGAAGCGAGCAUACGCCUCAUUUCGACGAUUUUCGUGUGCUAUAGCACACCAUUUUUUGGGUGAUCCGGAUUCCGACGUCAAAAAUGCCAAAUUUUUUUGUGGACGUCCUCAAGACCUUGUCUAUGCAUACGGUUGGCCAUCACGGAUUGUCCGGGCCAUUUGGAGGUCAAACGCCCCGAAGCGAGCAUACGCCUCAUUUCGACGAUUUUCGUAGGCACACCAUUUUUUGGUGAUCCAGAUUCCGACGUCAAAAAUGCCAAAUUUUUCGUGGACGUCCGUCAAGACCUUGUCUAUGCAUACGAUUGGCCAUCACGGAUUGUCCGGGCCAUUGGGAGGGUCAAACGAGCCCCGAAGCGAGCAUACGCCUCAUUUCGACGAUUUUCGUGUGCUAUAGCACACCAUUUUUUGGGUGAUUCGGAUUCUGACGUCAAAAAAUGCCAAUUUUUUCGUGGACGUCCGUCAAGACCUUGUCUAUGCAUACGGUUGGCCAUCACGGAUUGCCGGGCCAUUUGGAGGUCAAACGAGCCCCGAAGCGAGCAUACGCCUCAUUUCGACGAUUUUCGUGUGCUAUAGCACACCCAUUUUUUGGGUGAUCCGGAUUCCGACAUCAAAAAUGCCAAAUUUUUUCGUGGACGUCCGUCAAGACCUUGUCUAUGCAUACGGUUGGCCAUCACGAUUGUCCGAGCCAUUUGGAGGGUCAAACGAGCCCCGAAGCGAGCAUACGCCUCAUUUCGACGAUUUUCGUGUGCUAUAGCACACCAUUUUUUAGGAUGAUCCGGAUUCCGACGUCAAAAAUGCCAAAUUUUUUCGUGGACGUCCGUCAAGACCUUGUCUAUGCAUACGGUUGGCCAUCACGGAUUGUCUGGGCCAUUUGGAGGGUCAAACGAGCCCCGAAGCGAGCAUACGCCUCAUUUCGACGAUUUUCGUGUGCUAUAGCACACCAUUUUUUGGGUGAUCCAGAUUGCGACGUCAAAAAUGCCAAAUUUUUUGUGGACGUCCGUCAAGACCUUGUCUAUGCAUACUGUUGGCAAUCACGGAUUGUCCGGGCCAUUUGGAGGGUCAAACGAGCCCGAAGCGAGCAUACGCCUCAUUUCGACGAUUUUCGUGUGCUAUAGCACACCAUUUUUUGGGUGAUCCGGAUUCCGACGUCAAAAAUGCCAAAUUUUUCCGUUGACGUCCGUCAUGACCUUGUCUAUGCAUACGGUUGGCCAUCACGGAUUUUCCGAGCCAUUUGGAGGGUCAAACGAGCCCCGAAGCGAGCAUACGCCUCAUUUCGACGAUUUUCGUGUGCUAUAGCACACCAUUUUAUGGGUGAUCCGGAUUCCGACGUCAAAAAUGCCAAAUUUUUUCGUGGACGUUCGUCAAGACCUUGUCUAUGCAUACGGUUGACAUCACGGAUUGUCCGGCCAUUUGGAUGGUCAAACGAGCCCCGAAGCGAGCAUACGCCUCAUUUCGACGAUUUUCGUGUGCUAUAGCACACACCAUUUUUUGGGUGAUCCGGAUUCCGACGUCAAAAAUGCCAAAUUUUUUCGUGGACGUCUGUCAAGACCUUGUCUAUGCAUACGGUUUGGCCAUCACGGAUGUCCGGGCCAUUUGGAGGGUCAAACGAGCCCCGAAGCGAGCAUACGCCUCAUUUCGACGAUUUUCGUGUGCUAUAGCACACCAUUUUUUGGGUGAUCCGGAUUCCGACGUCAAAAAUGCCAAAUUUUUUCGUGGACGUCCGUCAAGACCUUGUCUAUGCAUACGGUUGGCCAUCACGGAUUGUCCGGGCCAUUUGGGGUCAAACGAGCCCCGAAGCGAGCAUACGCCUCAUUUCGACGAUUUUCGUAGCACACCAUUUUUUGGGUGAUCCGGAUUCCGACGUCAAAAAUGCCAAAUUUUUUCGUGGACGUCCGUCAAGACCUUGUCUAUGCAUACGGUUGGCCAUCACGGAUUGUCCGGGCCAUUUGGAGGGUCAAACGAGCCCCGAAGCGAGCAUACGCCUCAUUUCGACGAUUUUCGUGUGCUAUAGCACACCAUUUUUUGGGUGAUCCGGAUUCCGACGUCAAAAAUGCCAAAUUUUUCGUGGACGUCCGUCAAGACCUUGUCUAUGCAUACGGUUGGCCAUCACGGAUUGUCCGGGCCAUUUGGAGGGUCAAACGAGCCCCGAAGCGAGCAUACGCCUCAUUUCGACGAUUUUUCGUGUGCUAUAGCACACCAUUUUUUGGGUGAUCCGGAUUCCGACGUCAAAAAUGCCAAAUUUUUUCGUGGACGUCCGUCAAGACCUUGUCUAUGCAUACGGUUGGCCAUCACGGAUUGUCCGGGCCAUUUGGAGGGUCAAACGAGCCCCGAAGCGAGCAUACGCCUCAUUUCGACGAUUUUCGUGUGCUAUAGCACACCAUUUUUGGGUGAUCCGGAUUCCGACGUCAAAAAUGCCAAAUUUUUUCGUGGACGUCCGUCAAGACCUUGUCUAUGCAUACGGUUGGCCAUCACGGAUUGUCCGGCCCAUUUGGAGGGUCAAACGAGCCCCGAAGCGAGCAUACGCCUCAUUUCGACGAUUUUCGUGUGCUAUAGCACACCAUUUUUUGGGUGAUCCGGAUUCCGACGUCAAAAAUGCCAAAUUUUUUCGUGGACGUCCGUCAAGACCUUGUCUAUGCAUACGGUUGGCCAUCACGGAUUGUCCGGGCCAUUUGGAGGGUCAAACGAGCCCCGAAGCGAGCAUACGCCUCAUUUCGACGAUUUUCGUGUGCUAUAGCACACCAUUUUUUGGGUGAUCCGGAUUCCGACGUCAAAAAUGCCAAAUUUUUUCGUGGACGUCCGUCAAGACCUUGUCUAUGCAUACGGUUGGCCAUCACGGAUUGUCCGGGCCAUUUGGAGGGUCAAACGAGCCCCGAAGCGAGCAUACGCCUCAUUUCGACGAUUUUCGUGUGCUAUAGCACACCAUUUUUUGGGUGAUCCGGAUUCCGACGUCAAAAAUGCCAAAUUUUUUCGUGGACGUCCGUCAAGACCUUGUCUAUGCAUACGGUUGGCCAUCACGGAUUGUCCGGCCAUUUGGAGGGUCAAACGAGCCCCGAAGCGAGCAUACGCCUCAUUUCGACGAUUUUCGUGUGCUAUAGCACACCAUUUUUUGGGUGAUCCGGAUUCCGACGUCAAAAAUGCCAAAUUUUUUCGUGGACGUCCGUCAAGACCUUGUCUAUGCAUACGGUUGGCCAUCACGGAUUGUCCGGCCAUUUGGAGGGUCAAACGAGCCCCGAAGCGAGCAUACGCCUCAUUUCGACGAUUUUCGUGUGCUAUAGCACACCAUUUUUUUGGUGAUCCGGAUUCCGACGUCAAAAAUGCCAAAUUUUUUCGUGGACGUCCGUCAAGACCUUGUCUAUGCAUACGGUUGGCCAUCACGGAUUGUCCGGCCCAUUUGGAGGGUCAAACGAGCCCCGAAGCGAGCAUACGCCUCAUUUCGACGAUUUUCGUGUGCUAUAGCACACCAUUUUUUGGGUGAUCCGGAUUCCGACGUCAAAAAUGCCAAAUUUUUUCGUGGACGUCCGUCAAGACCUUGUCUAUGCAUACGGUUGGCCAUCACGGAUUGUCCGGGCCAUUUGGAGGGUCAAACGAGCCCCGAAGCGAGCAUACGCCUCAUUUCGACGAUUUUCGUGUGCUAUAGCACACCAUUUUUUGGGUGAUCCGGAUUCCGACGUCAAAAAUGCCAAAUUUUUUCGUGGACGUCCGUCAAGACCUUGUCUAUGCAUACGGUUGGCCAUCACGGAUUGUCCGGGCCAUUUGGAGGGUCAAACGAGCCCCGAAGCGAGCAUACGCCUCAUUUCGACGAUUUUCGUGUGCUAUAGCACACCAUUUUUUGGGUGAUCCGGAUUCCGACGUCAAAAAUGCCAAAUUUUUUCGUGGACGUCCGUCAAGACCUUGUCUAUGCAUACGGUUGGCCAUCACGGAUUGUCCGGGCCAUUUGGAGGGUCAAACGAGCCCCGAAGCGAGCAUACGCCUCAUUUCGACGAUUUUCGUGUGCUAUAGCACACCAUUUUUUGGGUGAUCCGGAUUCCGACGUCAAAAAUGCCAAAUUUUUUCGUGGACGUCCGUCAAGACCUUGUCUAUGCAUACGGUUGGCCAUCACGGAUUGUCCGGCCCAUUUGGAGGGUCAAACGAGCCCCGAAGCGAGCAUACGCCUCAUUUCGACGAUUUUCGUGUGCUAUAGCACACCAUUUUUUGGGUGAUCCGGAUUCCGACGUCAAAAAUGCCAAAUUUUUUCGUGGACGUCCGUCAAGACCUUGUCUAUGCAUACGGUUGGCCAUCACGGAUUGUCCGGGCCAUUUGGAGGGUCAAACGAGCCCCGAAGCGAGCAUACGCCUCAUUUCGACGAUUUUCGUGUGCUAUAGCACACCAUUUUUUGGGUGAUCCGGAUUCCGACGUCAAAAAUGCCAAAUUUUUUCGUGGACGUCCGUCAAGACCUUGUCUAUGCAUACGGUUGGCCAUCACGGAUUGUCCGGGCCAUUUGGAGGGUCAAACGAGCCCCGAAGCGAGCAUACGCCUCAUUUCGACGAUUUUCGUGUGCUAUAGCACACCAUUUUUUGGGUGAUCCGGAUUCCGACGUCAAAAAUGCCAAAUUUUUUCGUGGACGUCCGUCAAGACCUUGUCUAUGCAUACGGUUGGCCAUCACGGAUUGUCCGGCCAUUUGGAGGGUCAAACGAGCCCCGAAGCGAGCAUACGCCUCAUUUCGACGAUUUUCGUGUGCUAUAGCACACCAUUUUUUGGGUGAUCCGGAUUCCGACGUCAAAAAUGCCAAAUUUUUUCGUGGACGUCCGUCAAGACCUUGUCUAUGCAUACGGUUGGCCAUCACGGAUUGUCCGGGCCAUUUGGAGGGUCAAACGAGCCCCGAAGCGAGCAUACGCCUCAUUUCGACGAUUUUCGUGUGCUAUAGCACACCAUUUUUUGGGUGAUCCGGAUUCCGACGUCAAAAAUGCCAAAUUUUUUCGUGGACGUCCGUCAAGACCUUGUCUAUGCAUACGGUUGGCCAUCACGGAUUGUCCGGGCCAUUUGGAGGGUCAAACGAGCCCCGAAGCGAGCAUACGCCUCAUUUCGACGAUUUUCGUGUGCUAUAGCACACCAUUUUUUGGGUGAUCCGGAUUCCGACGUCAAAAAUGCCAAAUUUUUUCGUGGACGUCCGUCAAGACCUUGUCUAUGCAUACGGUUGGCCAUCACGGAUUGUCCGGGCCAUUUGGAGGGUCAAACGAGCCCCGAAGCGAGCAUACGCCUCAUUUCGACGAUUUUCGUGUGCUAUAGCACACCAUUUUUUGGGUGAUCCGGAUUCCGACGUCAAAAAUGCCAAAUUUUUUCGUGGACGUCCGUCAAGACCUUGUCUAUGCAUACGGUUGGCCAUCACGGAUUGUCCGGGCCAUUUGGAGGGUCAAACGAGCCCCGAAGCGAGCAUACGCCUCAUUUCGACGAUUUUCGUGUGCUAUAGCACACCAUUUUUUGGGUGAUCCGGAUUCCGACGUCAAAAAUGCCAAAUUUUUUCGUGGACGUCCGUCAAGACCUUGUCUAUGCAUACGGUUGGCCAUCACGGAUUGUCCGGCCCAUUUGGAGGGUCAAACGAGCCCCGAAGCGAGCAUACGCCUCAUUUCGACGAUUUUCGUGUGCUAUAGCACACCAUUUUUUGGGUGAUCCGGAUUCCGACGUCAAAAAUGCCAAAUUUUUUCGUGGACGUCCGUCAAGACCUUGUCUAUGCAUACGGUUGGCCAUCACGGAUUGUCCGGCCCAUUUGGAGGGUCAAACGAGCCCCGAAGCGAGCAUACGCCUCAUUUCGACGAUUUUCGUGUGCUAUAGCACACCAUUUUUUGGGUGAUCCGGAUUCCGACGUCAAAAAUGCCAAAUUUUUUCGUGGACGUCCGUCAAGACCUUGUCUAUGCAUACGGUUGGCCAUCACGGAUUGUCCGGCCAUUUGGAGGGUCAAACGAGCCCCGAAGCGAGCAUACGCCUCAUUUCGACGAUUUUCGUGUGCUAUAGCACACCAUUUUUUGGGUGAUCCGGAUUCCGACGUCAAAAAUGCCAAAUUUUUUCGUGGACGUCCGUCAAGACCUUGUCUAUGCAUACGGUUGGCCAUCACGGAUUGUCCGGCCAUUUGGAGGGUCAAACGAGCCCCGAAGCGAGCAUACGCCUCAUUUCGACGAUUUUCGUGUGCUAUAGCACACCAUUUUUUGGGUGAUCCGGAUUCCGACGUCAAAAAUGCCAAAUUUUUUCGUGGACGUCCGUCAAGACCUUGUCUAUGCAUACGGUUGGCCAUCACGGAUUGUCCGGGCCAUUUGGAGGGUCAAACGAGCCCCGAAGCGAGCAUACGCCUCAUUUCGACGAUUUUCGUGUGCUAUAGCACACCAUUUUUUGGGUGAUCCGGAUUCCGACGUCAAAAAUGCCAAAUUUUUUCGUGGACGUCCGUCAAGACCUUGUCUAUGCAUACGGUUGGCCAUCACGGAUUGUCCGGCCAUUUGGAGGGUCAAACGAGCCCCGAAGCGAGCAUACGCCUCAUUUCGACGAUUUUCGUGUGCUAUAGCACACCAUUUUUUGGGUGAUCCGGAUUCCGACGUCAAAAAUGCCAAAUUUUUUCGUGGACGUCCGUCAAGACCUUGUCUAUGCAUACGGUUGGCCAUCACGGAUUGUCCGGGCCAUUUGGAGGGUCAAACGAGCCCCGAAGCGAGCAUACGCCUCAUUUCGACGAUUUUCGUGUGCUAUAGCACACCAUUUUUUGGGUGAUCCGGAUUCCGACGUCAAAAAUGCCAAAUUUUUUCGUGGACGUCCGUCAAGACCUUGUCUAUGCAUACGGUUGGCCAUCACGGAUUGUCCGGGCCAUUUGGAGGGUCAAACGAGCCCCGAAGCGAGCAUACGCCUCAUUUCGACGAUUUUCGUGUGCUAUAGCACACCAUUUUUUGGGUGAUCCGGAUUCCGACGUCAAAAAUGCCAAAUUUUUUCGUGGACGUCCGUCAAGACCUUGUCUAUGCAUACGGUUGGCCAUCACGGAUUGUCCGGCCAUUUGGAGGGUCAAACGAGCCCCGAAGCGAGCAUACGCCUCAUUUCGACGAUUUUCGUGUGCUAUAGCACACCAUUUUUUGGGUGAUCCGGAUUCCGACGUCAAAAAUGCCAAAUUUUUUCGUGGACGUCCGUCAAGACCUUGUCUAUGCAUACGGUUGGCCAUCACGGAUUGUCCGGCCAUUUGGAGGGUCAAACGAGCCCCGAAGCGAGCAUACGCCUCAUUUCGACGAUUUUCGUGUGCUAUAGCACACCAUUUUUUGGGUGAUCCGGAUUCCGACGUCAAAAAUGCCAAAUUUUUUCGUGGACGUCCGUCAAGACCUUGUCUAUGCAUACGGUUGGCCAUCACGGAUUGUCCGGGCCAUUUGGAGGGUCAAACGAGCCCCGAAGCGAGCAUACGCCUCAUUUCGACGAUUUUCGUGUGCUAUAGCACACCAUUUUUUGGGUGAUCCGGAUUCCGACGUCAAAAAUGCCAAAUUUUUUCGUGGACGUCCGUCAAGACCUUGUCUAUGCAUACGGUUGGCCAUCACGGAUUGUCCGGCCAUUUGGAGGGUCAAACGAGCCCCGAAGCGAGCAUACGCCUCAUUUCGACGAUUUUCGUGUGCUAUAGCACACCAUUUUUUGGGUGAUCCGGAUUCCGACGUCAAAAAUGCCAAAUUUUUUCGUGGACGUCCGUCAAGACCUUGUCUAUGCAUACGGUUGGCCAUCACGGAUUGUCCGGGCCAUUUGGAGGGUCAAACGAGCCCCGAAGCGAGCAUACGCCUCAUUUCGACGAUUUUCGUGUGCUAUAGCACACCAUUUUUUGGGUGAUCCGGAUUCCGACGUCAAAAAUGCCAAAUUUUUUCGUGGACGUCCGUCAAGACCUUGUCUAUGCAUACGGUUGGCCAUCACGGAUUGUCCGGGCCAUUUGGAGGGUCAAACGAGCCCCGAAGCGAGCAUACGCCUCAUUUCGACGAUUUUCGUGUGCUAUAGCACACCAUUUUUUGGGUGAUCCGGAUUCCGACGUCAAAAAUGCCAAAUUUUUUCGUGGACGUCCGUCAAGACCUUGUCUAUGCAUACGGUUGGCCAUCACGGAUUGUCCGGGCCAUUUGGAGGGUCAAACGAGCCCCGAAGCGAGCAUACGCCUCAUUUCGACGAUUUUCGUGUGCUAUAGCACACCAUUUUUUGGGUGAUCCGGAUUCCGACGUCAAAAAUGCCAAAUUUUUUCGUGGACGUCCGUCAAGACCUUGUCUAUGCAUACGGUUGGCCAUCACGGAUUGUCCGGGCCAUUUGGAGGGUCAAACGAGCCCCGAAGCGAGCAUACGCCUCAUUUCGACGAUUUUCGUGUGCUAUAGCACACCAUUUUUUGGGUGAUCCGGAUUCCGACGUCAAAAAUGCCAAAUUUUUUCGUGGACGUCCGUCAAGACCUUGUCUAUGCAUACGGUUGGCCAUCACGGAUUGUCCGGGCCAUUUGGAGGGUCAAACGAGCCCCGAAGCGAGCAUACGCCUCAUUUCGACGAUUUUCGUGUGCUAUAGCACACCAUUUUUUGGGUGAUCCGGAUUCCGACGUCAAAAAUGCCAAAUUUUUUCGUGGACGUCCGUCAAGACCUUGUCUAUGCAUACGGUUGGCCAUCACGGAUUGUCCGGGCCAUUUGGAGGGUCAAACGAGCCCCGAAGCGAGCAUACGCCUCAUUUCGACGAUUUUCGUGUGCUAUAGCACACCAUUUUUUGGGUGAUCCGGAUUCCGACGUCAAAAAUGCCAAAUUUUUUCGUGGACGUCCGUCAAGACCUUGUCUAUGCAUACGGUUGGCCAUCACGGAUUGUCCGGCCAUUUGGAGGGUCAAACGAGCCCCGAAGCGAGCAUACGCCUCAUUUCGACGAUUUUCGUGUGCUAUAGCACACCAUUUUUUGGGUGAUCCGGAUUCCGACGUCAAAAAUGCCAAAUUUUUUCGUGGACGUCCGUCAAGACCUUGUCUAUGCAUACGGUUGGCCAUCACGGAUUGUCCGGCCAUUUGGAGGGUCAAACGAGCCCCGAAGCGAGCAUACGCCUCAUUUCGACGAUUUUCGUGUGCUAUAGCACACCAUUUUUUGGGUGAUCCGGAUUCCGACGUCAAAAAUGCCAAAUUUUUUCGUGGACGUCCGUCAAGACCUUGUCUAUGCAUACGGUUGGCCAUCACGGAUUGUCCGGGCCAUUUGGAGGGUCAAACGAGCCCCGAAGCGAGCAUACGCCUCAUUUCGACGAUUUUCGUGUGCUAUAGCACACCAUUUUUUGGGUGAUCCGGAUUCCGACGUCAAAAAUGCCAAAUUUUUUCGUGGACGUCCGUCAAGACCUUGUCUAUGCAUACGGUUGGCCAUCACGGAUUGUCCGGCCAUUUGGAGGGUCAAACGAGCCCCGAAGCGAGCAUACGCCUCAUUUCGACGAUUUUCGUGUGCUAUAGCACACCAUUUUUUGGGUGAUCCGGAUUCCGACGUCAAAAAUGCCAAAUUUUUUCGUGGACGUCCGUCAAGACCUUGUCUAUGCAUACGGUUGGCCAUCACGGAUUGUCCGGCCAUUUGGAGGGUCAAACGAGCCCCGAAGCGAGCAUACGCCUCAUUUCGACGAUUUUCGUGUGCUAUAGCACACCAUUUUUUGGGUGAUCCGGAUUCCGACGUCAAAAAUGCCAAAUUUUUUCGUGGACGUCCGUCAAGACCUUGUCUAUGCAUACGGUUGGCCAUCACGGAUUGUCCGGGCCAUUUGGAGGGUCAAACGAGCCCCGAAGCGAGCAUACGCCUCAUUUCGACGAUUUUCGUGUGCUAUAGCACACCAUUUUUUGGGUGAUCCGGAUUCCGACGUCAAAAAUGCCAAAUUUUUUCGUGGACGUCCGUCAAGACCUUGUCUAUGCAUACGGUUGGCCAUCACGGAUUGUCCGGCCAUUUGGAGGGUCAAACGAGCCCCGAAGCGAGCAUACGCCUCAUUUCGACGAUUUUCGUGUGCUAUAGCACACCAUUUUUUGGGUGAUCCGGAUUCCGACGUCAAAAAUGCCAAAUUUUUUCGUGGACGUCCGUCAAGACCUUGUCUAUGCAUACGGUUGGCCAUCACGGAUUGUCCGGGCCAUUUGGAGGGUCAAACGAGCCCCGAAGCGAGCAUACGCCUCAUUUCGACGAUUUUCGUGUGCUAUAGCACACCAUUUUUUGGGUGAUCCGGAUUCCGACGUCAAAAAUGCCAAAUUUUUUCGUGGACGUCCGUCAAGACCUUGUCUAUGCAUACGGUUGGCCAUCACGGAUUGUCCGGGCCAUUUGGAGGGUCAAACGAGCCCCGAAGCGAGCAUACGCCUCAUUUCGACGAUUUUCGUGUGCUAUAGCACACCAUUUUUUGGGUGAUCCGGAUUCCGACGUCAAAAAUGCCAAAUUUUUUCGUGGACGUCCGUCAAGACCUUGUCUAUGCAUACGGUUGGCCAUCACGGAUUGUCCGGGCCAUUUGGAGGGUCAAACGAGCCCCGAAGCGAGCAUACGCCUCAUUUCGACGAUUUUCGUGUGCUAUAGCACACCAUUUUUUGGGUGAUCCGGAUUCCGACGUCAAAAAUGCCAAAUUUUUUCGUGGACGUCCGUCAAGACCUUGUCUAUGCAUACGGUUGGCCAUCACGGAUUGUCCGGGCCAUUUGGAGGGUCAAACGAGCCCCGAAGCGAGCAUACGCCUCAUUUCGACGAUUUUCGUGUGCUAUAGCACACCAUUUUUUGGGUGAUCCGGAUUCCGACGUCAAAAAUGCCAAAUUUUUUCGUGGACGUCCGUCAAGACCUUGUCUAUGCAUACGGUUGGCCAUCACGGAUUGUCCGGCCAUUUGGAGGGUCAAACGAGCCCCGAAGCGAGCAUACGCCUCAUUUCGACGAUUUUCGUGUGCUAUAGCACACCAUUUUUUGGGUGAUCCGGAUUCCGACGUCAAAAAUGCCAAAUUUUUUCGUGGACGUCCGUCAAGACCUUGUCUAUGCAUACGGUUGGCCAUCACGGAUUGUCCGGCCAUUUGGAGGGUCAAACGAGCCCCGAAGCGAGCAUACGCCUCAUUUCGACGAUUUUCGUGUGCUAUAGCACACCAUUUUUUGGGUGAUCCGGAUUCCGACGUCAAAAAUGCCAAAUUUUUUCGUGGACGUCCGUCAAGACCUUGUCUAUGCAUACGGUUGGCCAUCACGGAUUGUCCGGGCCAUUUGGAGGGUCAAACGAGCCCCGAAGCGAGCAUACGCCUCAUUUCGACGAUUUUCGUGUGCUAUAGCACACCAUUUUUUGGGUGAUCCGGAUUCCGACGUCAAAAAUGCCAAAUUUUUUCGUGGACGUCCGUCAAGACCUUGUCUAUGCAUACGGUUGGCCAUCACGGAUUGUCCGGGCCAUUUGGAGGGUCAAACGAGCCCCGAAGCGAGCAUACGCCUCAUUUCGACGAUUUUCGUGUGCUAUAGCACACCAUUUUUUGGGUGAUCCGGAUUCCGACGUCAAAAAUGCCAAAUUUUUUCGUGGACGUCCGUCAAGACCUUGUCUAUGCAUACGGUUGGCCAUCACGGAUUGUCCGGGCCAUUUGGAGGGUCAAACGAGCCCCGAAGCGAGCAUACGCCUCAUUUCGACGAUUUUCGUGUGCUAUAGCACACCAUUUUUUGGGUGAUCCGGAUUCCGACGUCAAAAAUGCCAAAUUUUUUCGUGGACGUCCGUCAAGACCUUGUCUAUGCAUACGGUUGGCCAUCACGGAUUGUCCGGGCCAUUUGGAGGGUCAAACGAGCCCCGAAGCGAGCAUACGCCUCAUUUCGACGAUUUUCGUGUGCUAUAGCACACCAUUUUUUGGGUGAUCCGGAUUCCGACGUCAAAAAUGCCAAAUUUUUUCGUGGACGUCCGUCAAGACCUUGUCUAUGCAUACGGUUGGCCAUCACGGAUUGUCCGGGCCAUUUGGAGGGUCAAACGAGCCCCGAAGCGAGCAUACGCCUCAUUUCGACGAUUUUCGUGUGCUAUAGCACACCAUUUUUUGGGUGAUCCGGAUUCCGACGUCAAAAAUGCCAAAUUUUUUCGUGGACGUCCGUCAAGACCUUGUCUAUGCAUACGGUUGGCCAUCACGGAUUGUCCGGGCCAUUUGGAGGGUCAAACGAGCCCCGAAGCGAGCAUACGCCUCAUUUCGACGAUUUUCGUGUGCUAUAGCACACCAUUUUUUGGGUGAUCCGGAUUCCGACGUCAAAAAUGCCAAAUUUUUUCGUGGACGUCCGUCAAGACCUUGUCUAUGCAUACGGUUGGCCAUCACGGAUUGUCCGGCCAUUUGGAGGGUCAAACGAGCCCCGAAGCGAGCAUACGCCUCAUUUCGACGAUUUUCGUGUGCUAUAGCACACCAUUUUUUGGGUGAUCCGGAUUCCGACGUCAAAAAUGCCAAAUUUUUUCGUGGACGUCCGUCAAGACCUUGUCUAUGCAUACGGUUGGCCAUCACGGAUUGUCCGGGCCAUUUGGAGGGUCAAACGAGCCCCGAAGCGAGCAUACGCCUCAUUUCGACGAUUUUCGUGUGCUAUAGCACACCAUUUUUUGGGUGAUCCGGAUUCCGACGUCAAAAAUGCCAAAUUUUUUCGUGGACGUCCGUCAAGACCUUGUCUAUGCAUACGGUUGGCCAUCACGGAUUGUCCGGGCCAUUUGGAGGGUCAAACGAGCCCCGAAGCGAGCAUACGCCUCAUUUCGACGAUUUUCGUGUGCUAUAGCACACCAUUUUUUGGGUGAUCCGGAUUCCGACGUCAAAAAUGCCAAAUUUUUUCGUGGACGUCCGUCAAGACCUUGUCUAUGCAUACGGUUGGCCAUCACGGAUUGUCCGGCCAUUUGGAGGGUCAAACGAGCCCCGAAGCGAGCAUACGCCUCAUUUCGACGAUUUUCGUGUGCUAUAGCACACCAUUUUUUGGGUGAUCCGGAUUCCGACGUCAAAAAUGCCAAAUUUUUUCGUGGACGUCCGUCAAGACCUUGUCUAUGCAUACGGUUGGCCAUCACGGAUUGUCCGGGCCAUUUGGAGGGUCAAACGAGCCCCGAAGCGAGCAUACGCCUCAUUUCGACGAUUUUCGUGUGCUAUAGCACACCAUUUUUUGGGUGAUCCGGAUUCCGACGUCAAAAAUGCCAAAUUUUUUCGUGGACGUCCGUCAAGACCUUGUCUAUGCAUACGGUUGGCCAUCACGGAUUGUCCGGCCAUUUGGAGGGUCAAACGAGCCCCGAAGCGAGCAUACGCCUCAUUUCGACGAUUUUCGUGUGCUAUAGCACACCAUUUUUUGGGUGAUCCGGAUUCCGACGUCAAAAAUGCCAAAUUUUUUCGUGGACGUCCGUCAAGACCUUGUCUAUGCAUACGGUUGGCCAUCACGGAUUGUCCGGGCCAUUUGGAGGGUCAAACGAGCCCCGAAGCGAGCAUACGCCUCAUUUCGACGAUUUUCGUGUGCUAUAGCACACCAUUUUUUGGGUGAUCCGGAUUCCGACGUCAAAAAUGCCAAAUUUUUUCGUGGACGUCCGUCAAGACCUUGUCUAUGCAUACGGUUGGCCAUCACGGAUUGUCCGGGCCAUUUGGAGGGUCAAACGAGCCCCGAAGCGAGCAUACGCCUCAUUUCGACGAUUUUCGUGUGCUAUAGCACACCAUUUUUUGGGUGAUCCGGAUUCCGACGUCAAAAAUGCCAAAUUUUUUCGUGGACGUCCGUCAAGACCUUGUCUAUGCAUACGGUUGGCCAUCACGGAUUGUCCGGGCCAUUUGGAGGGUCAAACGAGCCCCGAAGCGAGCAUACGCCUCAUUUCGACGAUUUUCGUGUGCUAUAGCACACCAUUUUUUGGGUGAUCCGGAUUCCGACGUCAAAAAUGCCAAAUUUUUUCGUGGACGUCCGUCAAGACCUUGUCUAUGCAUACGGUUGGCCAUCACGGAUUGUCCGGCCAUUUGGAGGGUCAAACGAGCCCCGAAGCGAGCAUACGCCUCAUUUCGACGAUUUUCGUGUGCUAUAGCACACCAUUUUUUGGGUGAUCCGGAUUCCGACGUCAAAAAUGCCAAAUUUUUUCGUGGACGUCCGUCAAGACCUUGUCUAUGCAUACGGUUGGCCAUCACGGAUUGUCCGGGCCAUUUGGAGGGUCAAACGAGCCCCGAAGCGAGCAUACGCCUCAUUUCGACGAUUUUCGUGUGCUAUAGCACACCAUUUUUUGGGUGAUCCGGAUUCCGACGUCAAAAAUGCCAAAUUUUUUCGUGGACGUCCGUCAAGACCUUGUCUAUGCAUACGGUUGGCCAUCACGGAUUGUCCGGCCAUUUGGAGGGUCAAACGAGCCCCGAAGCGAGCAUACGCCUCAUUUCGACGAUUUUCGUGUGCUAUAGCACACCAUUUUUUGGGUGAUCCGGAUUCCGACGUCAAAAAUGCCAAAUUUUUUCGUGGACGUCCGUCAAGACCUUGUCUAUGCAUACGGUUGGCCAUCACGGAUUGUCCGGGCCAUUUGGAGGGUCAAACGAGCCCCGAAGCGAGCAUACGCCUCAUUUCGACGAUUUUCGUGUGCUAUAGCACACCAUUUUUUGGGUGAUCCGGAUUCCGACGUCAAAAAUGCCAAAUUUUUUCGUGGACGUCCGUCAAGACCUUGUCUAUGCAUACGGUUGGCCAUCACGGAUUGUCCGGGCCAUUUGGAGGGUCAAACGAGCCCCGAAGCGAGCAUACGCCUCAUUUCGACGAUUUUCGUGUGCUAUAGCACACCAUUUUUUGGGUGAUCCGGAUUCCGACGUCAAAAAUGCCAAAUUUUUUCGUGGACGUCCGUCAAGACCUUGUCUAUGCAUACGGUUGGCCAUCACGGAUUGUCCGGGCCAUUUGGAGGGUCAAACGAGCCCCGAAGCGAGCAUACGCCUCAUUUCGACGAUUUUCGUGUGCUAUAGCACACCAUUUUUUGGGUGAUCCGGAUUCCGACGUCAAAAAUGCCAAAUUUUUUCGUGGACGUCCGUCAAGACCUUGUCUAUGCAUACGGUUGGCCAUCACGGAUUGUCCGGGCCAUUUGGAGGGUCAAACGAGCCCCGAAGCGAGCAUACGCCUCAUUUCGACGAUUUUCGUGUGCUAUAGCACACCAUUUUUUGGGUGAUCCGGAUUCCGACGUCAAAAAUGCCAAAUUUUUUCGUGGACGUCCGUCAAGACCUUGUCUAUGCAUACGGUUGGCCAUCACGGAUUGUCCGGGCCAUUUGGAGGGUCAAACGAGCCCCGAAGCGAGCAUACGCCUCAUUUCGACGAUUUUCGUGUGCUAUAGCACACCAUUUUUUGGGUGAUCCGGAUUCCGACGUCAAAAAUGCCAAAUUUUUUCGUGGACGUCCGUCAAGACCUUGUCUAUGCAUACGGUUGGCCAUCACGGAUUGUCCGGGCCAUUUGGAGGGUCAAACGAGCCCCGAAGCGAGCAUACGCCUCAUUUCGACGAUUUUCGUGUGCUAUAGCACACCAUUUUUUGGGUGAUCCGGAUUCCGACGUCAAAAAUGCCAAAUUUUUUCGUGGACGUCCGUCAAGACCUUGUCUAUGCAUACGGUUGGCCAUCACGGAUUGUCCGGGCCAUUUGGAGGGUCAAACGAGCCCCGAAGCGAGCAUACGCCUCAUUUCGACGAUUUUCGUGUGCUAUAGCACACCAUUUUUUGGGUGAUCCGGAUUCCGACGUCAAAAAUGCCAAAUUUUUUCGUGGACGUCCGUCAAGACCUUGUCUAUGCAUACGGUUGGCCAUCACGGAUUGUCCGGGCCAUUUGGAGGGUCAAACGAGCCCCGAAGCGAGCAUACGCCUCAUUUCGACGAUUUUCGUGUGCUAUAGCACACCAUUUUUUGGGUGAUCCGGAUUCCGACGUCAAAAAUGCCAAAUUUUUUCGUGGACGUCCGUCAAGACCUUGUCUAUGCAUACGGUUGGCCAUCACGGAUUGUCCGGGCCAUUUGGAGGGUCAAACGAGCCCCGAAGCGAGCAUACGCCUCAUUUCGACGAUUUUCGUGUGCUAUAGCACACCAUUUUUUGGGUGAUCCGGAUUCCGACGUCAAAAAUGCCAAAUUUUUUCGUGGACGUCCGUCAAGACCUUGUCUAUGCAUACGGUUGGCCAUCACGGAUUGUCCGGGCCAUUUGGAGGGUCAAACGAGCCCCGAAGCGAGCAUACGCCUCAUUUCGACGAUUUUCGUGUGCUAUAGCACACCAUUUUUUGGGUGAUCCGGAUUCCGACGUCAAAAAUGCCAAAUUUUUUCGUGGACGUCCGUCAAGACCUUGUCUAUGCAUACGGUUGGCCAUCACGGAUUGUCCGGGCCAUUUGGAGGGUCAAACGAGCCCCGAAGCGAGCAUACGCCUCAUUUCGACGAUUUUCGUGUGCUAUAGCACACCAUUUUUUGGGUGAUCCGGAUUCCGACGUCAAAAAUGCCAAAUUUUUUCGUGGACGUCCGUCAAGACCUUGUCUAUGCAUACGGUUGGCCAUCACGGAUUGUCCGGGCCAUUUGGAGGGUCAAACGAGCCCCGAAGCGAGCAUACGCCUCAUUUCGACGAUUUUCGUGUGCUAUAGCACACCAUUUUUUGGGUGAUCCGGAUUCCGACGUCAAAAAUGCCAAAUUUUUUCGUGGACGUCCGUCAAGACCUUGUCUAUGCAUACGGUUGGCCAUCACGGAUUGUCCGGGCCAUUUGGAGGGUCAAACGAGCCCCGAAGCGAGCAUACGCCUCAUUUCGACGAUUUUCGUGUGCUAUAGCACACCAUUUUUUGGGUGAUCCGGAUUCCGACGUCAAAAAUGCCAAAUUUUUUCGUGGACGUCCGUCAAGACCUUGUCUAUGCAUACGGUUGGCCAUCACGGAUUGUCCGGCCCAUUUGGAGGGUCAAACGAGCCCCGAAGCGAGCAUACGCCUCAUUUCGACGAUUUUCGUGUGCUAUAGCACACCAUUUUUUGGGUGAUCCGGAUUCCGACGUCAAAAAUGCCAAAUUUUUUCGUGGACGUCCGUCAAGACCUUGUCUAUGCAUACGGUUGGCCAUCACGGAUUGUCCGGGCCAUUUGGAGGGUCAAACGAGCCCCGAAGCGAGCAUACGCCUCAUUUCGACGAUUUUCGUGUGCUAUAGCACACCAUUUUUUGGGUGAUCCGGAUUCCGACGUCAAAAAUGCCAAAUUUUUUCGUGGACGUCCGUCAAGACCUUGUCUAUGCAUACGGUUGGCCAUCACGGAUUGUCCGGGCCAUUUGGAGGGUCAAACGAGCCCCGAAGCGAGCAUACGCCUCAUUUCGACGAUUUUCGUGUGCUAUAGCACACCAUUUUUUGGGUGAUCCGGAUUCCGACGUCAAAAAUGCCAAAUUUUUUCGUGGACGUCCGUCAAGACCUUGUCUAUGCAUACGGUUGGCCAUCACGGAUUGUCCGGGCCAUUUGGAGGGUCAAACGAGCCCCGAAGCGAGCAUACGCCUCAUUUCGACGAUUUUCGUGUGCUAUAGCACACCAUUUUUUGGGUGAUCCGGAUUCCGACGUCAAAAAUGCCAAAUUUUUUCGUGGACGUCCGUCAAGACCUUGUCUAUGCAUACGGUUGGCCAUCACGGAUUGUCCGGGCCAUUUGGAGGGUCAAACGAGCCCCGAAGCGAGCAUACGCCUCAUUUCGACGAUUUUCGUGUGCUAUAGCACACCAUUUUUUGGGUGAUCCGGAUUCCGACGUCAAAAAUGCCAAAUUUUUUCGUGGACGUCCGUCAAGACCUUGUCUAUGCAUACGGUUGGCCAUCACGGAUUGUCCGGCCAUUUGGAGGGUCAAACGAGCCCCGAAGCGAGCAUACGCCUCAUUUCGACGAUUUUCGUGUGCUAUAGCACACCAUUUUUUGGGUGAUCCGGAUUCCGACGUCAAAAAUGCCAAAUUUUUUCGUGGACGUCCGUCAAGACCUUGUCUAUGCAUACGGUUGGCCAUCACGGAUUGUCCGGGCCAUUUGGAGGGUCAAACGAGCCCCGAAGCGAGCAUACGCCUCAUUUCGACGAUUUUCGUGUGCUAUAGCACACCAUUUUUUGGGUGAUCCGGAUUCCGACGUCAAAAAUGCCAAAUUUUUUCGUGGACGUCCGUCAAGACCUUGUCUAUGCAUACGGUUGGCCAUCACGGAUUGUCCGGGCCAUUUGGAGGGUCAAACGAGCCCCGAAGCGAGCAUACGCCUCAUUUCGACGAUUUUCGUGUGCUAUAGCACACCAUUUUUUGGGUGAUCCGGAUUCCGACGUCAAAAAUGCCAAAUUUUUUCGUGGACGUCCGUCAAGACCUUGUCUAUGCAUACGGUUGGCCAUCACGGAUUGUCCGGGCCAUUUGGAGGGUCAAACGAGCCCCGAAGCGAGCAUACGCCUCAUUUCGACGAUUUUCGUGUGCUAUAGCACACCAUUUUUUGGGUGAUCCGGAUUCCGACGUCAAAAAUGCCAAAUUUUUUCGUGGACGUCCGUCAAGACCUUGUCUAUGCAUACGGUUGGCCAUCACGGAUUGUCCGGGCCAUUUGGAGGGUCAAACGAGCCCCGAAGCGAGCAUACGCCUCAUUUCGACGAUUUUCGUGUGCUAUAGCACACCAUUUUUUGGGUGAUCCGGAUUCCGACGUCAAAAAUGCCAAAUUUUUUCGUGGACGUCCGUCAAGACCUUGUCUAUGCAUACGGUUGGCCAUCACGGAUUGUCCGGGCCAUUUGGAGGGUCAAACGAGCCCCGAAGCGAGCAUACGCCUCAUUUCGACGAUUUUCGUGUGCUAUAGCACACCAUUUUUUGGGUGAUCCGGAUUCCGACGUCAAAAAUGCCAAAUUUUUUCGUGGACGUCCGUCAAGACCUUGUCUAUGCAUACGGUUGGCCAUCACGGAUUGUCCGGGCCAUUUGGAGGGUCAAACGAGCCCCGAAGCGAGCAUACGCCUCAUUUCGACGAUUUUCGUGUGCUAUAGCACACCAUUUUUUGGGUGAUCCGGAUUCCGACGUCAAAAAUGCCAAAUUUUUUCGUGGACGUCCGUCAAGACCUUGUCUAUGCAUACGGUUGGCCAUCACGGAUUGUCCGGGCCAUUUGGAGGGUCAAACGAGCCCCGAAGCGAGCAUACGCCUCAUUUCGACGAUUUUCGUGUGCUAUAGCACACCAUUUUUUUUCCAAAAUGCCAAAUUUUUCGUGGACGUCCGUCAAGACCUUGUCUAUGCAUACGGUUGGCCAUCACGGAUUGUCCGGGCCAUUUGGAGGGUCAAACGAGCCCCGAAGCGAGCAUACGCCUCAUUUCGACGAUUUUCGUGUGCUAUAGCACACCAUUUUUUGGGUGAUCCGGAUUCCGACGUCAAAAAUGCCAAAUUUUUUCGUGGACGUCCGUCAAGACCUUGUCUAUGCAUACGGUUGGCCAUCACGGAUUGUCCGGGCCAUUUGGAGGGUCAAACGAGCCCCGAAGCGAGCAUACGCCUCAUUUCGACGAUUUUCGUGUGCUAUAGCACACCAUUUUUUGGGUGAUCCGGAUUCCGACGUCAAAAAUGCCAAAUUUUUUCGUGGACGUCCGUCAAGACCUUGUCUAUGCAUACGGUUGGCCAUCACGGAUUGUCCGGGCCAUUUGGAGGGUCAAACGAGCCCCGAAGCGAGCAUACGCCUCAUUUCGACGAUUUUCGUGUGCUAUAGCACACCAUUUUUUGGGUGAUCCGGAUUCCGACGUCAAAAAUGCCAAAUUUUUUCGUGGACGUCCGUCAAGACCUUGUCUAUGCAUACGGUUGGCCAUCACGGAUUGUCCGGGCCAUUUGGAGGGUCAAACGAGCCCCGAAGCGAGCAUACGCCUCAUUUCGACGAUUUUCGUGUGCUAUAGCACACCAUUUUUUGGGUGAUCCGGAUUCCGACGUCAAAAAUGCCAAAUUUUUUCGUGGACGUCCGUCAAGACCUUGUCUAUGCAUACGGUUGGCCAUCACGGAUUGUCCGGGCCAUUUGGAGGGUCAAACGAGCCCCGAAGCGAGCAUACGCCUCAUUUCGACGAUUUUCGUGUGCUAUAGCACACCAUUUUUUGGGUGAUCCGGAUUCCGACGUCAAAAAUGCCAAAUUUUUUCGUGGACGUCCGUCAAGACCUUGUCUAUGCAUACGGUUGGCCAUCACGGAUUGUCCGGGCCAUUUGGAGGGUCAAACGAGCCCCGAAGCGAGCAUACGCCUCAUUUCGACGAUUUUCGUGUGCUAUAGCACACCAUUUUUUGGGUGAUCCGGAUUCCGACGUCAAAAAUGCCAAAUUUUUUCGUGGACGUCCGUCAAGACCUUGUCUAUGCAUACGGUUGGCCAUCACGGAUUGUCCGGGCCAUUUGGAGGGUCAAACGAGCCCCGAAGCGAGCAUACGCCUCAUUUCGACGAUUUUCGUGUGCUAUAGCACACCAUUUUUUGGGUGAUCCGGAUUCCGACGUCAAAAAUGCCAAAUUUUUUCGUGGACGUCCGUCAAGACCUUGUCUAUGCAUACGGUUGGCCAUCACGGAUUGUCCGGGCCAUUUGGAGGGUCAAACGAGCCCCGAAGCGAGCAUACGCCUCAUUUCGACGAUUUUCGUGUGCUAUAGCACACCAUUUUUUGGGUGAUCCGGAUUCCGACGUCAAAAAUGCCAAAUUUUUUCGUGGACGUCCGUCAAGACCUUGUCUAUGCAUACGGUUGGCCAUCACGGAUUGUCCGGGCCAUUUGGAGGGUCAAACGAGCCCCGAAGCGAGCAUACGCCUCAUUUCGACGAUUUUCGUGUGCUAUAGCACACCAUUUUUUGGGUGAUCCGGAUUCCGACGUCAAAAAUGCCAAAUUUUUUCGUGGACGUCCGUCAAGACCUUGUCUAUGCAUACGGUUGGCCAUCACGGAUUGUCCGGGCCAUUUGGAGGGUCAAACGAGCCCCGAAGCGAGCAUACGCCUCAUUUCGACGAUUUUCGUGUGCUAUAGCACACCAUUUUUUGGGUGAUCCGGAUUCCGACGUCAAAAAUGCCAAAUUUUUUCGUGGACGUCCGUCAAGACCUUGUCUAUGCAUACGGUUGGCCAUCACGGAUUGUCCGGGCCAUUUGGAGGGUCAAACGAGCCCCGAAGCGAGCAUACGCCUCAUUUCGACGAUUUUCGUGUGCUAUAGCACACCAUUUUUUGGGUGAUCCGGAUUCCGACGUCAAAAAUGCCAAAUUUUUUCGUGGACGUCCGUCAAGACCUUGUCUAUGCAUACGGUUGGCCAUCACGGAUUGUCCGGGCCAUUUGGAGGGUCAAACGAGCCCCGAAGCGAGCAUACGCCUCAUUUCGACGAUUUUCGUGUGCUAUAGCACACCAUUUUUUGGGUGAUCCGGAUUCCGACGUCAAAAAUGCCAAAUUUUUUCGUGGACGUCCGUCAAGACCUUGUCUAUGCAUACGGUUGGCCAUCACGGAUUGUCCGGGCCAUUUGGAGGGUCAAACGAGCCCCGAAGCGAGCAUACGCCUCAUUUCGACGAUUUUCGUGUGCUAUAGCACACCAUUUUUUGGGUGAUCCGGAUUCCGACGUCAAAAAUGCCAAAUUUUUUCGUGGACGUCCGUCAAGACCUUGUCUAUGCAUACGGUUGGCCAUCACGGAUUGUCCGGGCCAUUUGGAGGGUCAAACGAGCCCCGAAGCGAGCAUACGCCUCAUUUCGACGAUUUUCGUGUGCUAUAGCACACCAUUUUUUGGGUGAUCCGGAUUCCGACGUCAAAAAUGCCAAAUUUUUUCGUGGACGUCCGUCAAGACCUUGUCUAUGCAUACGGUUGGCCAUCACGGAUUGUCCGGGCCAUUUGGAGGGUCAAACGAGCCCCGAAGCGAGCAUACGCCUCAUUUCGACGAUUUUCGUGUGCUAUAGCACACCAUUUUUUGGGUGAUCCGGAUUCCGACGUCAAAAAUGCCAAAUUUUUUCGUGGACGUCCGUCAAGACCUUGUCUAUGCAUACGGUUGGCCAUCACGGAUUGUCCGGGCCAUUUGGAGGGUCAAACGAGCCCCGAAGCGAGCAUACGCCUCAUUUCGACGAUUUUCGUGUGCUAUAGCACACCAUUUUUUGGGUGAUCCGGAUUCCGACGUCAAAAAUGCCAAAUUUUUCGUGGACGUCCGUCAAGACCUUGUCUAUGCAUACGGUUGGCCAUCACGGAUUGUCCGGCCAUUUGGAGGGUCAAACGAGCCCCGAAGCGAGCAUACGCCUCAUUUCGACGAUUUUCGUGUGCUAUAGCACACCAUUUUUUGGGUGAUCCGGAUUCCGACGUCAAAAAUGCCAAAUUUUUUCGUGGACGUCCGUCAAGACCUUGUCUAUGCAUACGGUUGGCCAUCACGGAUUGUCCGGGCCAUUUGGAGGGUCAAACGAGCCCCGAAGCGAGCAUACGCCUCAUUUCGACGAUUUUCGUGUGCUAUAGCACACCAUUUUUUGGGUGAUCCGGAUUCCGACGUCAAAAAUGCCAAAUUUUUUCGUGGACGUCCGUCAAGACCUUGUCUAUGCAUACGGUUGGCCAUCACGGAUUGUCCGGGCCAUUUGGAGGGUCAAACGAGCCCCGAAGCGAGCAUACGCCUCAUUUCGACGAUUUUCGUGUGCUAUAGCACACCAUUUUUUGGGUGAUCCGGAUUCCGACGUCAAAAAUGCCAAAUUUUUUCGUGGACGUCCGUCAAGACCUUGUCUAUGCAUACGGUUGGCCAUCACGGAUUGUCCGGCCAUUUGGAGGGUCAAACGAGCCCCGAAGCGAGCAUACGCCUCAUUUCGACGAUUUUCGUGUGCUAUAGCACACCAUUUUUUGGGUGAUCCGGAUUCCGACGUCAAAAAUGCCAAAUUUUUUCGUGGACGUCCGUCAAGACCUUGUCUAUGCAUACGGUUGGCCAUCACGGAUUGUCCGGGCCAUUUGGAGGGUCAAACGAGCCCCGAAGCGAGCAUACGCCUCAUUUCGACGAUUUUCGUGUGCUAUAGCACACCAUUUUUUGGGUGAUCCGGAUUCCGACGUCAAAAAUGCCAAAUUUUUUCGUGGACGUCCGUCAAGACCUUGUCUAUGCAUACGGUUGGCCAUCACGGAUUGUCCGGGCCAUUUGGAGGGUCAAACGAGCCCCGAAGCGAGCAUACGCCUCAUUUCGACGAUUUUCGUGUGCUAUAGCACACCAUUUUUUGGGUGAUCCGGAUUCCGACGUCAAAAAUGCCAAAUUUUUCGUGGACGUCCGUCAAGACCUUGUCUAUGCAUACGGUUGGCCAUCACGGAUUGUCCGGGCCAUUUGGAGGGUCAAACGAGCCCCGAAGCGAGCAUACGCCUCAUUUCGACGAUUUUCGUGUGCUAUAGCACACCAUUUUUUGGGUGAUCCGGAUUCCGACGUCAAAAAUGCCAAAUUUUUUCGUGGACGUCCGUCAAGACCUUGUCUAUGCAUACGGUUGGCCAUCACGGAUUGUCCGGCCAUUUGGAGGGUCAAACGAGCCCCGAAGCGAGCAUACGCCUCAUUUCGACGAUUUUCGUGUGCUAUAGCACACCAUUUUUUGGGUGAUCCGGAUUCCGACGUCAAAAAUGCCAAAUUUUUUCGUGGACGUCCGUCAAGACCUUGUCUAUGCAUACGGUUGGCCAUCACGGAUUGUCCGGCCAUUUGGAGGGUCAAACGAGCCCCGAAGCGAGCAUACGCCUCAUUUCGACGAUUUUCGUGUGCUAUAGCACACCAUUUUUUGGGUGAUCCGGAUUCCGACGUCAAAAAUGCCAAAUUUUUUCGUGGACGUCCGUCAAGACCUUGUCUAUGCAUACGGUUGGCCAUCACGGAUUGUCCGGGCCAUUUGGAGGGUCAAACGAGCCCCGAAGCGAGCAUACGCCUCAUUUCGACGAUUUUCGUGUGCUAUAGCACACCAUUUUUUGGGUGAUCCGGAUUCCGACGUCAAAAAUGCCAAAUUUUUUCGUGGACGUCCGUCAAGACCUUGUCUAUGCAUACGGUUGGCCAUCACGGAUUGUCCGGGCCAUUUGGAGGGUCAAACGAGCCCCGAAGCGAGCAUACGCCUCAUUUCGACGAUUUUCGUGUGCUAUAGCACACCAUUUUUUGGGUGAUCCGGAUUCCGACGUCAAAAAUGCCAAAUUUUUUCGUGGACGUCCGUCAAGACCUUGUCUAUGCAUACGGUUGGCCAUCACGGAUUGUCCGGGCCAUUUGGAGGGUCAAACGAGCCCCGAAGCGAGCAUACGCCUCAUUUCGACGAUUUUCGUGUGCUAUAGCACACCAUUUUUUGGGUGAUCCGGAUUCCGACGUCAAAAAUGCCAAAUUUUUUCGUGGACGUCCGUCAAGACCUUGUCUAUGCAUACGGUUGGCCAUCACGGAUUGUCCGGGCCAUUUGGAGGGUCAAACGAGCCCCGAAGCGAGCAUACGCCUCAUUUCGACGAUUUUCGUGUGCUAUAGCACACCAUUUUUUGGGUGAUCCGGAUUCCGACGUCAAAAAUGCCAAAUUUUUUCGUGGACGUCCGUCAAGACCUUGUCUAUGCAUACGGUUGGCCAUCACGGAUUGUCCGGGCCAUUUGGAGGGUCAAACGAGCCCCGAAGCGAGCAUACGCCUCAUUUCGACGAUUUUCGUGUGCUAUAGCACACCAUUUUUUGGGUGAUCCGGAUUCCGACGUCAAAAAUGCCAAAUUUUUUCGUGGACGUCCGUCAAGACCUUGUCUAUGCAUACGGUUGGCCAUCACGGAUUGUCCGGGCCAUUUGGAGGGUCAAACGAGCCCCGAAGCGAGCAUACGCCUCAUUUCGACGAUUUUCGUGUGCUAUAGCACACCAUUUUUUGGGUGAUCCGGAUUCCGACGUCAAAAAUGCCAAAUUUUUUCGUGGACGUCCGUCAAGACCUUGUCUAUGCAUACGGUUGGCCAUCACGGAUUGUCCGGGCCAUUUGGAGGGUCAAACGAGCCCCGAAGCGAGCAUACGCCUCAUUUCGACGAUUUUCGUGUGCUAUAGCACACCAUUUUUUGGGUGAUCCGGAUUCCGACGUCAAAAAUGCCAAAUUUUUUCGUGGACGUCCGUCAAGACCUUGUCUAUGCAUACGGUUGGCCAUCACGGAUUGUCCGGGCCAUUUGGAGGGUCAAACGAGCCCCGAAGCGAGCAUACGCCUCAUUUCGACGAUUUUCGUGUGCUAUAGCACACCAUUUUUUGGGUGAUCCGGAUUCCGACGUCAAAAAUGCCAAAUUUUUUCGUGGACGUCCGUCAAGACCUUGUCUAUGCAUACGGUUGGCCAUCACGGAUUGUCCGGGCCAUUUGGAGGGUCAAACGAGCCCCGAAGCGAGCAUACGCCUCAUUUCGACGAUUUUCGUGUGCUAUAGCACACCAUUUUUUGGGUGAUCCGGAUUCCGACGUCAAAAAUGCCAAAUUUUUUCGUGGACGUCCGUCAAGACCUUGUCUAUGCAUACGGUUGGCCAUCACGGAUUGUCCGGGCCAUUUGGAGGGUCAAACGAGCCCCGAAGCGAGCAUACGCCUCAUUUCGACGAUUUUCGUGUGCUAUAGCACACCAUUUUUUGGGUGAUCCGGAUUCCGACGUCAAAAAUGCCAAAUUUUUUCGUGGACGUCCGUCAAGACCUUGUCUAUGCAUACGGUUGGCCAUCACGGAUUGUCCGGGCCAUUUGGAGGGUCAAACGAGCCCCGAAGCGAGCAUACGCCUCAUUUCGACGAUUUUCGUGUGCUAUAGCACACCAUUUUUUGGGUGAUCCGGAUUCCGACGUCAAAAAUGCCAAAUUUUUUCGUGGACGUCCGUCAAGACCUUGUCUAUGCAUACGGUUGGCCAUCACGGAUUGUCCGGGCCAUUUGGAGGGUCAAACGAGCCCCGAAGCGAGCAUACGCCUCAUUUCGACGAUUUUCGUGUGCUAUAGCACACCAUUUUUUGGGUGAUCCGGAUUCCGACGUCAAAAAUGCCAAAUUUUUUCGUGGACGUCCGUCAAGACCUUGUCUAUGCAUACGGUUGGCCAUCACGGAUUGUCCGGGCCAUUUGGAGGGUCAAACGAGCCCCGAAGCGAGCAUACGCCUCAUUUCGACGAUUUUCGUGUGCUAUAGCACACCAUUUUUUGGGUGAUCCGGAUUCCGACGUCAAAAAUGCCAAAUUUUUUCGUGGACGUCCGUCAAGACCUUGUCUAUGCAUACGGUUGGCCAUCACGGAUUGUCCGGCCAUUUGGAGGGUCAAACGAGCCCCGAAGCGAGCAUACGCCUCAUUUCGACGAUUUUCGUGUGCUAUAGCACACCAUUUUUUGGGUGAUCCGGAUUCCGACGUCAAAAAUGCCAAAUUUUUUCGUGGACGUCCGUCAAGACCUUGUCUAUGCAUACGGUUGGCCAUCACGGAUUGUCCGGGCCAUUUGGAGGGUCAAACGAGCCCCGAAGCGAGCAUACGCCUCAUUUCGACGAUUUUCGUGUGCUAUAGCACACCAUUUUUUGGGUGAUCCGGAUUCCGACGUCAAAAAUGCCAAAUUUUUUCGUGGACGUCCGUCAAGACCUUGUCUAUGCAUACGGUUGGCCAUCACGGAUUGUCCGGCCAUUUGGAGGGUCAAACGAGCCCCGAAGCGAGCAUACGCCUCAUUUCGACGAUUUUCGUGUGCUAUAGCACACCAUUUUUUGGGUGAUCCGGAUUCCGACGUCAAAAAUGCCAAAUUUUUUCGUGGACGUCCGUCAAGACCUUGUCUAUGCAUACGGUUGGCCAUCACGGAUUGUCCGGGCCAUUUGGAGGGUCAAACGAGCCCCGAAGCGAGCAUACGCCUCAUUUCGACGAUUUUCGUGUGCUAUAGCACACCAUUUUUUGGGUGAUCCGGAUUCCGACGUCAAAAAUGCCAAAUUUUUUCGUGGACGUCCGUCAAGACCUUGUCUAUGCAUACGGUUGGCCAUCACGGAUUGUCCGGGCCAUUUGGAGGGUCAAACGAGCCCCGAAGCGAGCAUACGCCUCAUUUCGACGAUUUUCGUGUGCUAUAGCACACCAUUUUUUGGGUGAUCCGGAUUCCGACGUCAAAAAUGCCAAAUUUUUUCGUGGACGUCCGUCAAGACCUUGUCUAUGCAUACGGUUGGCCAUCACGGAUUGUCCGGGCCAUUUGGAGGGUCAAACGAGCCCCGAAGCGAGCAUACGCCUCAUUUCGACGAUUUUCGUGUGCUAUAGCACACCAUUUUUUGGGUGAUCCGGAUUCCGACGUCAAAAAUGCCAAAUUUUUUCGUGGACGUCCGUCAAGACCUUGUCUAUGCAUACGGUUGGCCAUCACGGAUUGUCCGGGCCAUUUGGAGGGUCAAACGAGCCCCGAAGCGAGCAUACGCCUCAUUUCGACGAUUUUCGUGUGCUAUAGCACACCAUUUUUUGGGUGAUCCGGAUUCCGACGUCAAAAAUGCCAAAUUUUUUCGUGGACGUCCGUCAAGACCUUGUCUAUGCAUACGGUUGGCCAUCACGGAUUGUCCGGGCCAUUUGGAGGGUCAAACGAGCCCCGAAGCGAGCAUACGCCUCAUUUCGACGAUUUUCGUGUGCUAUAGCACACCAUUUUUUGGGUGAUCCGGAUUCCGACGUCAAAAAUGCCAAAUUUUUUCGUGGACGUCCGUCAAGACCUUGUCUAUGCAUACGGUUGGCCAUCACGGAUUGUCCGGGCCAUUUGGAGGGUCAAACGAGCCCCGAAGCGAGCAUACGCCUCAUUUCGACGAUUUUCGUGUGCUAUAGCACACCAUUUUUUGGGUGAUCCGGAUUCCGACGUCAAAAAUGCCAAAUUUUUUCGUGGACGUCCGUCAAGACCUUGUCUAUGCAUACGGUUGGCCAUCACGGAUUGUCCGGGCCAUUUGGAGGGUCAAACGAGCCCCGAAGCGAGCAUACGCCUCAUUUCGACGAUUUUCGUGUGCUAUAGCACACCAUUUUUUGGGUGAUCCGGAUUCCGACGUCAAAAAUGCCAAAUUUUUUCGUGGACGUCCGUCAAGACCUUGUCUAUGCAUACGGUUGGCCAUCACGGAUUGUCCGGCCAUUUGGAGGGUCAAACGAGCCCCGAAGCGAGCAUACGCCUCAUUUCGACGAUUUUCGUGUGCUAUAGCACACCAUUUUUUGGGUGAUCCGGAUUCCGACGUCAAAAAUGCCAAAUUUUUUCGUGGACGUCCGUCAAGACCUUGUCUAUGCAUACGGUUGGCCAUCACGGAUUGUCCGGGCCAUUUGGAGGGUCAAACGAGCCCCGAAGCGAGCAUACGCCUCAUUUCGACGAUUUUCGUGUGCUAUAGCACACCAUUUUUUGGGUGAUCCGGAUUCCGACGUCAAAAAUGCCAAAUUUUUUCGUGGACGUCCGUCAAGACCUUGUCUAUGCAUACGGUUGGCCAUCACGGAUUGUCCGGGCCAUUUGGAGGGUCAAACGAGCCCCGAAGCGAGCAUACGCCUCAUUUCGACGAUUUUCGUGUGCUAUAGCACACCAUUUUUUGGGUGAUCCGGAUUCCGACGUCAAAAAUGCCAAAUUUUUUCGUGGACGUCCGUCAAGACCUUGUCUAUGCAUACGGUUGGCCAUCACGGAUUGUCCGGGCCAUUUGGAGGGUCAAACGAGCCCCGAAGCGAGCAUACGCCUCAUUUCGACGAUUUUCGUGUGCUAUAGCACACCAUUUUUUGGGUGAUCCGGAUUCCGACGUCAAAAAUGCCAAAUUUUUUCGUGGACGUCCGUCAAGACCUUGUCUAUGCAUACGGUUGGCCAUCACGGAUUGUCCGGGCCAUUUGGAGGGUCAAACGAGCCCCGAAGCGAGCAUACGCCUCAUUUCGACGAUUUUCGUGUGCUAUAGCACACCAUUUUUUGGGUGAUCCGGAUUCCGACGUCAAAAAUGCCAAAUUUUUUCGUGGACGUCCGUCAAGACCUUGUCUAUGCAUACGGUUGGCCAUCACGGAUUGUCCGGGCCAUUUGGAGGGUCAAACGAGCCCCGAAGCGAGCAUACGCCUCAUUUCGACGAUUUUCGUGUGCUAUAGCACACCAUUUUUUGGGUGAUCCGGAUUCCGACGUCAAAAAUGCCAAAUUUUUUCGUGGACGUCCGUCAAGACCUUGUCUAUGCAUACGGUUGGCCAUCACGGAUUGUCCGGCCAUUUGGAGGGUCAAACGAGCCCCGAAGCGAGCAUACGCCUCAUUUCGACGAUUUUCGUGUGCUAUAGCACACCAUUUUUUGGGUGAUCCGGAUUCCGACGUCAAAAAUGCCAAAUUUUUUCGUGGACGUCCGUCAAGACCUUGUCUAUGCAUACGGUUGGCCAUCACGGAUUGUCCGGGCCAUUUGGAGGGUCAAACGAGCCCCGAAGCGAGCAUACGCCUCAUUUCGACGAUUUUCGUGUGCUAUAGCACACCAUUUUUUGGGUGAUCCGGAUUCCGACGUCAAAAAUGCCAAAUUUUUUCGUGGACGUCCGUCAAGACCUUGUCUAUGCAUACGGUUGGCCAUCACGGAUUGUCCGGGCCAUUUGGAGGGUCAAACGAGCCCCGAAGCGAGCAUACGCCUCAUUUCGACGAUUUUCGUGUGCUAUAGCACACCAUUUUUUGGGUGAUCCGGAUUCCGACGUCAAAAAUGCCAAAUUUUUUCGUGGACGUCCGUCAAGACCUUGUCUAUGCAUACGGUUGGCCAUCACGGAUUGUCCGGCCAUUUGGAGGGUCAAACGAGCCCCGAAGCGAGCAUACGCCUCAUUUCGACGAUUUUCGUGUGCUAUAGCACACCAUUUUUUGGGUGAUCCGGAUUCCGACGUCAAAAAUGCCAAAUUUUUUCGUGGACGUCCGUCAAGACCUUGUCUAUGCAUACGGUUGGCCAUCACGGAUUGUCCGGCCAUUUGGAGGGUCAAACGAGCCCCGAAGCGAGCAUACGCCUCAUUUCGACGAUUUUCGUGUGCUAUAGCACACCAUUUUUUGGGUGAUCCGGAUUCCGACGUCAAAAAUGCCAAAUUUUUUCGUGGACGUCCGUCAAGACCUUGUCUAUGCAUACGGUUGGCCAUCACGGAUUGUCCGGGCCAUUUGGAGGGUCAAACGAGCCCCGAAGCGAGCAUACGCCUCAUUUCGACGAUUUUCGUGUGCUAUAGCACACCAUUUUUUGGGUGAUCCGGAUUCCGACGUCAAAAAUGCCAAAUUUUUUCGUGGACGUCCGUCAAGACCUUGUCUAUGCAUACGGUUGGCCAUCACGGAUUGUCCGGGCCAUUUGGAGGGUCAAACGAGCCCCGAAGCGAGCAUACGCCUCAUUUCGACGAUUUUCGUGUGCUAUAGCACACCAUUUUUUGGGUGAUCCGGAUUCCGACGUCAAAAAUGCCAAAUUUUUUCGUGGACGUCCGUCAAGACCUUGUCUAUGCAUACGGUUGGCCAUCACGGAUUGUCCGGCCAUUUGGAGGGUCAAACGAGCCCCGAAGCGAGCAUACGCCUCAUUUCGACGAUUUUCGUGUGCUAUAGCACACCAUUUUUUGGGUGAUCCGGAUUCCGACGUCAAAAAUGCCAAAUUUUUUCGUGGACGUCCGUCAAGACCUUGUCUAUGCAUACGGUUGGCCAUCACGGAUUGUCCGGGCCAUUUGGAGGGUCAAACGAGCCCCGAAGCGAGCAUACGCCUCAUUUCGACGAUUUUCGUGUGCUAUAGCACACCAUUUUUUGGGUGAUCCGGAUUCCGACGUCAAAAAUGCCAAAUUUUUUCGUGGACGUCCGUCAAGACCUUGUCUAUGCAUACGGUUGGCCAUCACGGAUUGUCCGGGCCAUUUGGAGGGUCAAACGAGCCCCGAAGCGAGCAUACGCCUCAUUUCGACGAUUUUCGUGUGCUAUAGCACACCAUUUUUUGGGUGAUCCGGAUUCCGACGUCAAAAAUGCCAAAUUUUUUCGUGGACGUCCGUCAAGACCUUGUCUAUGCAUACGGUUGGCCAUCACGGAUUGUCCGGGCCAUUUGGAGGGUCAAACGAGCCCCGAAGCGAGCAUACGCCUCAUUUCGACGAUUUUCGUGUGCUAUAGCACACCAUUUUUUGGGUGAUCCGGAUUCCGACGUCAAAAAUGCCAAAUUUUUUCGUGGACGUCCGUCAAGACCUUGUCUAUGCAUACGGUUGGCCAUCACGGAUUGUCCGGGCCAUUUGGAGGGUCAAACGAGCCCCGAAGCGAGCAUACGCCUCAUUUCGACGAUUUUCGUGUGCUAUAGCACACCAUUUUUUGGGUGAUCCGGAUUCCGACGUCAAAAAUGCCAAAUUUUUUCGUGGACGUCCGUCAAGACCUUGUCUAUGCAUACGGUUGGCCAUCACGGAUUGUCCGGGCCAUUUGGAGGGUCAAACGAGCCCCGAAGCGAGCAUACGCCUCAUUUCGACGAUUUUCGUGUGCUAUAGCACACCAUUUUUUGGGUGAUCCGGAUUCCGACGUCAAAAAUGCCAAAUUUUUUCGUGGACGUCCGUCAAGACCUUGUCUAUGCAUACGGUUGGCCAUCACGGAUUGUCCGGGCCAUUUGGAGGGUCAAACGAGCCCCGAAGCGAGCAUACGCCUCAUUUCGACGAUUUUCGUGUGCUAUAGCACACCAUUUUUUGGGUGAUCCGGAUUCCGACGUCAAAAAUGCCAAAUUUUUUCGUGGACGUCCGUCAAGACCUUGUCUAUGCAUACGGUUGGCCAUCACGGAUUGUCCGGGCCAUUUGGAGGGUCAAACGAGCCCCGAAGCGAGCAUACGCCUCAUUUCGACGAUUUUCGUGUGCUAUAGCACACCAUUUUUUGGGUGAUCCGGAUUCCGACGUCAAAAAUGCCAAAUUUUUUCGUGGACGUCCGUCAAGACCUUGUCUAUGCAUACGGUUGGCCAUCACGGAUUGUCCGGGCCAUUUGGAGGGUCAAACGAGCCCCGAAGCGAGCAUACGCCUCAUUUCGACGAUUUUCGUGUGCUAUAGCACACCAUUUUUUGGGUGAUCCGGAUUCCGACGUCAAAAAUGCCAAAUUUUUUCGUGGACGUCCGUCAAGACCUUGUCUAUGCAUACGGUUGGCCAUCACGGAUUGUCCGGGCCAUUUGGAGGGUCAAACGAGCCCCGAAGCGAGCAUACGCCUCAUUUCGACGAUUUUCGUGUGCUAUAGCACACCAUUUUUUGGGUGAUCCGGAUUCCGACGUCAAAAAUGCCAAAUUUUUUCGUGGACGUCCGUCAAGACCUUGUCUAUGCAUACGGUUGGCCAUCACGGAUUGUCCGGCCAUUUGGAGGGUCAAACGAGCCCCGAAGCGAGCAUACGCCUCAUUUCGACGAUUUUCGUGUGCUAUAGCACACCAUUUUUUGGGUGAUCCGGAUUCCGACGUCAAAAAUGCCAAAUUUUUUCGUGGACGUCCGUCAAGACCUUGUCUAUGCAUACGGUUGGCCAUCACGGAUUGUCCGGGCCAUUUGGAGGGUCAAACGAGCCCCGAAGCGAGCAUACGCCUCAUUUCGACGAUUUUCGUGUGCUAUAGCACACCAUUUUUUGGGUGAUCCGGAUUCCGACGUCAAAAAUGCCAAAUUUUUUCGUGGACGUCCGUCAAGACCUUGUCUAUGCAUACGGUUGGCCAUCACGGAUUGUCCGGGCCAUUUGGAGGGUCAAACGAGCCCCGAAGCGAGCAUACGCCUCAUUUCGACGAUUUUCGUGUGCUAUAGCACACCAUUUUUUGGGUGAUCCGGAUUCCGACGUCAAAAAUGCCAAAUUUUUUCGUGGACGUCCGUCAAGACCUUGUCUAUGCAUACGGUUGGCCAUCACGGAUUGUCCGGGCCAUUUGGAGGGUCAAACGAGCCCCGAAGCGAGCAUACGCCUCAUUUCGACGAUUUUCGUGUGCUAUAGCACACCAUUUUUUGGGUGAUCCGGAUUCCGACGUCAAAAAUGCCAAAUUUUUUCGUGGACGUCCGUCAAGACCUUGUCUAUGCAUACGGUUGGCCAUCACGGAUUGUCCGGGCCAUUUGGAGGGUCAAACGAGCCCCGAAGCGAGCAUACGCCUCAUUUCGACGAUUUUCGUGUGCUAUAGCACACCAUUUUUUGGGUGAUCCGGAUUCCGACGUCAAAAAUGCCAAAUUUUUUCGUGGACGUCCGUCAAGACCUUGUCUAUGCAUACGGUUGGCCAUCACGGAUUGUCCGGGCCAUUUGGAGGGUCAAACGAGCCCCGAAGCGAGCAUACGCCUCAUUUCGACGAUUUUCGUGUGCUAUAGCACACCAUUUUUUGGGUGAUCCGGAUUCCGACGUCAAAAAUGCCAAAUUUUUUCGUGGACGUCCGUCAAGACCUUGUCUAUGCAUACGGUUGGCCAUCACGGAUUGUCCGGGCCAUUUGGAGGGUCAAACGAGCCCCGAAGCGAGCAUACGCCUCAUUUCGACGAUUUUCGUGUGCUAUAGCACACCAUUUUUUGGGUGAUCCGGAUUCCGACGUCAAAAAUGCCAAAUUUUUUCGUGGACGUCCGUCAAGACCUUGUCUAUGCAUACGGUUGGCCAUCACGGAUUGUCCGGGCCAUUUGGAGGGUCAAACGAGCCCCGAAGCGAGCAUACGCCUCAUUUCGACGAUUUUCGUGUGCUAUAGCACACCAUUUUUUGGGUGAUCCGGAUUCCGACGUCAAAAAUGCCAAAUUUUUUCGUGGACGUCCGUCAAGACCUUGUCUAUGCAUACGGUUGGCCAUCACGGAUUGUCCGGCCAUUUGGAGGGUCAAACGAGCCCCGAAGCGAGCAUACGCCUCAUUUCGACGAUUUUCGUGUGCUAUAGCACACCAUUUUUUGGGUGAUCCGGAUUCCGACGUCAAAAAUGCCAAAUUUUUUCGUGGACGUCCGUCAAGACCUUGUCUAUGCAUACGGUUGGCCAUCACGGAUUGUCCGGGCCAUUUGGAGGGUCAAACGAGCCCCGAAGCGAGCAUACGCCUCAUUUCGACGAUUUUCGUGUGCUAUAGCACACCAUUUUUUGGGUGAUCCGGAUUCCGACGUCAAAAAUGCCAAAUUUUUUCGUGGACGUCCGUCAAGACCUUGUCUAUGCAUACGGUUGGCCAUCACGGAUUGUCCGGCCAUUUGGAGGGUCAAACGAGCCCCGAAGCGAGCAUACGCCUCAUUUCGACGAUUUUCGUGUGCUAUAGCACACCAUUUUUUGGGUGAUCCGGAUUCCGACGUCAAAAAUGCCAAAUUUUUUCGUGGACGUCCGUCAAGACCUUGUCUAUGCAUACGGUUGGCCAUCACGGAUUGUCCGGGCCAUUUGGAGGGUCAAACGAGCCCCGAAGCGAGCAUACGCCUCAUUUCGACGAUUUUCGUGUGCUAUAGCACACCAUUUUUUGGGUGAUCCGGAUUCCGACGUCAAAAAUGCCAAAUUUUUCGUGGACGUCCGUCAAGACCUUGUCUAUGCAUACGGUUGGCCAUCACGGAUUGUCCGGGCCAUUUGGAGGGUCAAACGAGCCCCGAAGCGAGCAUACGCCUCAUUUCGACGAUUUUCGUGUGCUAUAGCACACCAUUUUUUGGGUGAUCCGGAUUCCGACGUCAAAAAUGCCAAAUUUUUUCGUGGACGUCCGUCAAGACCUUGUCUAUGCAUACGGUUGGCCAUCACGGAUUGUCCGGGCCAUUUGGAGGGUCAAACGAGCCCCGAAGCGAGCAUACGCCUCAUUUCGACGAUUUUCGUGUGCUAUAGCACACCAUUUUUUGGGUGAUCCGGAUUCCGACGUCAAAAAUGCCAAAUUUUUUCGUGGACGUCCGUCAAGACCUUGUCUAUGCAUACGGUUGGCCAUCACGGAUUGUCCGGGCCAUUUGGAGGGUCAAACGAGCCCCGAAGCGAGCAUACGCCUCAUUUCGACGAUUUUCGUGUGCUAUAGCACACCAUUUUUUGGGUGAUCCGGAUUCCGACGUCAAAAAUGCCAAAUUUUUUCGUGGACGUCCGUCAAGACCUUGUCUAUGCAUACGGUUGGCCAUCACGGAUUGUCCGGCCAUUUGGAGGGUCAAACGAGCCCCGAAGCGAGCAUACGCCUCAUUUCGACGAUUUUCGUGUGCUAUAGCACACCAUUUUUUGGGUGAUCCGGAUUCCGACGUCAAAAAUGCCAAAUUUUUUCGUGGACGUCCGUCAAGACCUUGUCUAUGCAUACGGUUGGCCAUCACGGAUUGUCCGGGCCAUUUGGAGGGUCAAACGAGCCCCGAAGCGAGCAUACGCCUCAUUUCGACGAUUUUCGUGUGCUAUAGCACACCAUUUUUUGGGUGAUCCGGAUUCCGACGUCAAAAAUGCCAAAUUUUUUCGUGGACGUCCGUCAAGACCUUGUCUAUGCAUACGGUUGGCCAUCACGGAUUGUCCGGGCCAUUUGGAGGGUCAAACGAGCCCCGAAGCGAGCAUACGCCUCAUUUCGACGAUUUUCGUGUGCUAUAGCACACCAUUUUUUGGGUGAUCCGGAUUCCGACGUCAAAAAUGCCAAAUUUUUUCGUGGACGUCCGUCAAGACCUUGUCUAUGCAUACGGUUGGCCAUCACGGAUUGUCCGGGCCAUUUGGAGGGUCAAACGAGCCCCGAAGCGAGCAUACGCCUCAUUUCGACGAUUUUCGUGUGCUAUAGCACACCAUUUUUUGGGUGAUCCGGAUUCCGACGUCAAAAAUGCCAAAUUUUUUCGUGGACGUCCGUCAAGACCUUGUCUAUGCAUACGGUUGGCCAUCACGGAUUGUCCGGGCCAUUUGGAGGGUCAAACGAGCCCCGAAGCGAGCAUACGCCUCAUUUCGACGAUUUUCGUGUGCUAUAGCACACCAUUUUUUGGGUGAUCCGGAUUCCGACGUCAAAAAUGCCAAAUUUUUUCGUGGACGUCCGUCAAGACCUUGUCUAUGCAUACGGUUGGCCAUCACGGAUUGUCCGGGCCAUUUGGAGGGUCAAACGAGCCCCGAAGCGAGCAUACGCCUCAUUUCGACGAUUUUCGUGUGCUAUAGCACACCAUUUUUUGGGUGAUCCGGAUUCCGACGUCAAAAAUGCCAAAUUUUUUCGUGGACGUCCGUCAAGACCUUGUCUAUGCAUACGGUUGGCCAUCACGGAUUGUCCGGGCCAUUUGGAGGGUCAAACGAGCCCCGAAGCGAGCAUACGCCUCAUUUCGACGAUUUUCGUGUGCUAUAGCACACCAUUUUUUGGGUGAUCCGGAUUCCGACGUCAAAAAUGCCAAAUUUUUUCGUGGACGUCCGUCAAGACCUUGUCUAUGCAUACGGUUGGCCAUCACGGAUUGUCCGGGCCAUUUGGAGGGUCAAACGAGCCCCGAAGCGAGCAUACGCCUCAUUUCGACGAUUUUCGUGUGCUAUAGCACACCAUUUUUUGGGUGAUCCGGAUUCCGACGUCAAAAAUGCCAAAUUUUUUCGUGGACGUCCGUCAAGACCUUGUCUAUGCAUACGGUUGGCCAUCACGGAUUGUCCGGGCCAUUUGGAGGGUCAAACGAGCCCCGAAGCGAGCAUACGCCUCAUUUCGACGAUUUUCGUGUGCUAUAGCACACCAUUUUUUGGGUGAUCCGGAUUCCGACGUCAAAAAUGCCAAAUUUUUUCGUGGACGUCCGUCAAGACCUUGUCUAUGCAUACGGUUGGCCAUCACGGAUUGUCCGGGCCAUUUGGAGGGUCAAACGAGCCCCGAAGCGAGCAUACGCCUCAUUUCGACGAUUUUCGUGUGCUAUAGCACACCAUUUUUUGGGUGAUCCGGAUUCCGACGUCAAAAAUGCCAAAUUUUUUCGUGGACGUCCGUCAAGACCUUGUCUAUGCAUACGGUUGGCCAUCACGGAUUGUCCGGGCCAUUUGGAGGGUCAAACGAGCCCCGAAGCGAGCAUACGCCUCAUUUCGACGAUUUUCGUGUGCUAUAGCACACCAUUUUUUGGGUGAUCCGGAUUCCGACGUCAAAAAUGCCAAAUUUUUUCGUGGACGUCCGUCAAGACCUUGUCUAUGCAUACGGUUGGCCAUCACGGAUUGUCCGGGCCAUUUGGAGGGUCAAACGAGCCCCGAAGCGAGCAUACGCCUCAUUUCGACGAUUUUCGUGUGCUAUAGCACACCAUUUUUUGGGUGAUCCGGAUUCCGACGUCAAAAAUGCCAAAUUUUUUCGUGGACGUCCGUCAAGACCUUGUCUAUGCAUACGGUUGGCCAUCACGGAUUGUCCGGCCAUUUGGAGGGUCAAACGAGCCCCGAAGCGAGCAUACGCCUCAUUUCGACGAUUUUCGUGUGCUAUAGCACACCAUUUUUUGGGUGAUCCGGAUUCCGACGUCAAAAAUGCCAAAUUUUUUCGUGGACGUCCGUCAAGACCUUGUCUAUGCAUACGGUUGGCCAUCACGGAUUGUCCGGCCAUUUGGAGGGUCAAACGAGCCCCGAAGCGAGCAUACGCCUCAUUUCGACGAUUUUCGUGUGCUAUAGCACACCAUUUUUUGGGUGAUCCGGAUUCCGACGUCAAAAAUGCCAAAUUUUUUCGUGGACGUCCGUCAAGACCUUGUCUAUGCAUACGGUUGGCCAUCACGGAUUGUCCGGGCCAUUUGGAGGGUCAAACGAGCCCCGAAGCGAGCAUACGCCUCAUUUCGACGAUUUUCGUGUGCUAUAGCACACCAUUUUUUGGGUGAUCCGGAUUCCGACGUCAAAAAUGCCAAAUUUUUUCGUGGACGUCCGUCAAGACCUUGUCUAUGCAUACGGUUGGCCAUCACGGAUUGUCCGGGCCAUUUGGAGGGUCAAACGAGCCCCGAAGCGAGCAUACGCCUCAUUUCGACGAUUUUCGUGUGCUAUAGCACACCAUUUUUUGGGUGAUCCGGAUUCCGACGUCAAAAAUGCCAAAUUUUUUCGUGGACGUCCGUCAAGACCUUGUCUAUGCAUACGGUUGGCCAUCACGGAUUGUCCGGGCCAUUUGGAGGGUCAAACGAGCCCCGAAGCGAGCAUACGCCUCAUUUCGACGAUUUUCGUGUGCUAUAGCACACCAUUUUUUGGGUGAUCCGGAUUCCGACGUCAAAAAUGCCAAAUUUUUUCGUGGACGUCCGUCAAGACCUUGUCUAUGCAUACGGUUGGCCAUCACGGAUUGUCCGGGCCAUUUGGAGGGUCAAACGAGCCCCGAAGCGAGCAUACGCCUCAUUUCGACGAUUUUCGUGUGCUAUAGCACACCAUUUUUUGGGUGAUCCGGAUUCCGACGUCAAAAAUGCCAAAUUUUUUCGUGGACGUCCGUCAAGACCUUGUCUAUGCAUACGGUUGGCCAUCACGGAUUGUCCGGGCCAUUUGGAGGGUCAAACGAGCCCCGAAGCGAGCAUACGCCUCAUUUCGACGAUUUUCGUGUGCUAUAGCACACCAUUUUUUGGGUGAUCCGGAUUCCGACGUCAAAAAUGCCAAAUUUUUUCGUGGACGUCCGUCAAGACCUUGUCUAUGCAUACGGUUGGCCAUCACGGAUUGUCCGGGCCAUUUGGAGGGUCAAACGAGCCCCGAAGCGAGCAUACGCCUCAUUUCGACGAUUUUCGUGUGCUAUAGCACACCAUUUUUUGGGUGAUCCGGAUUCCGACGUCAAAAAUGCCAAAUUUUUUCGUGGACGUCCGUCAAGACCUUGUCUAUGCAUACGGUUGGCCAUCACGGAUUGUCCGGGCCAUUUGGAGGGUCAAACGAGCCCCGAAGCGAGCAUACGCCUCAUUUCGACGAUUUUCGUGUGCUAUAGCACACCAUUUUUUGGGUGAUCCGGAUUCCGACGUCAAAAAUGCCAAAUUUUUUCGUGGACGUCCGUCAAGACCUUGUCUAUGCAUACGGUUGGCCAUCACGGAUUGUCCGGGCCAUUUGGAGGGUCAAACGAGCCCCGAAGCGAGCAUACGCCUCAUUUCGACGAUUUUCGUGUGCUAUAGCACACCAUUUUUUGGGUGAUCCGGAUUCCGACGUCAAAAAUGCCAAAUUUUUUCGUGGACGUCCGUCAAGACCUUGUCUAUGCAUACGGUUGGCCAUCACGGAUUGUCCGGGCCAUUUGGAGGGUCAAACGAGCCCCGAAGCGAGCAUACGCCUCAUUUCGACGAUUUUCGUGUGCUAUAGCACACCAUUUUUUGGGUGAUCCGGAUUCCGACGUCAAAAAUGCCAAAUUUUUUCGUGGACGUCCGUCAAGACCUUGUCUAUGCAUACGGUUGGCCAUCACGGAUUGUCCGGGCCAUUUGGAGGGUCAAACGAGCCCCGAAGCGAGCAUACGCCUCAUUUCGACGAUUUUCGUGUGCUAUAGCACACCAUUUUUUGGGUGAUCCGGAUUCCGACGUCAAAAAUGCCAAAUUUUUUCGUGGACGUCCGUCAAGACCUUGUCUAUGCAUACGGUUGGCCAUCACGGAUUGUCCGGGCCAUUUGGAGGGUCAAACGAGCCCCGAAGCGAGCAUACGCCUCAUUUCGACGAUUUUCGUGUGCUAUAGCACACCAUUUUUUGGGUGAUCCGGAUUCCGACGUCAAAAAUGCCAAAUUUUUUCGUGGACGUCCGUCAAGACCUUGUCUAUGCAUACGGUUGGCCAUCACGGAUUGUCCGGGCCAUUUGGAGGGUCAAACGAGCCCCGAAGCGAGCAUACGCCUCAUUUCGACGAUUUUCGUGUGCUAUAGCACACCAUUUUUUGGGUGAUCCGGAUUCCGACGUCAAAAAUGCCAAAUUUUUUCGUGGACGUCCGUCAAGACCUUGUCUAUGCAUACGGUUGGCCAUCACGGAUUGUCCGGGCCAUUUGGAGGGUCAAACGAGCCCCGAAGCGAGCAUACGCCUCAUUUCGACGAUUUUCGUGUGCUAUAGCACACCAUUUUUUGGGUGAUCCGGAUUCCGACGUCAAAAAUGCCAAAUUUUUUCGUGGACGUCCGUCAAGACCUUGUCUAUGCAUACGGUUGGCCAUCACGGAUUGUCCGGGCCAUUUGGAGGGUCAAACGAGCCCCGAAGCGAGCAUACGCCUCAUUUCGACGAUUUUCGUGUGCUAUAGCACACCAUUUUUUGGGUGAUCCGGAUUCCGACGUCAAAAAUGCCAAAUUUUUUCGUGGACGUCCGUCAAGACCUUGUCUAUGCAUACGGUUGGCCAUCACGGAUUGUCCGGCCAUUUGGAGGGUCAAACGAGCCCCGAAGCGAGCAUACGCCUCAUUUCGACGAUUUUCGUGUGCUAUAGCACACCAUUUUUUGGGUGAUCCGGAUUCCGACGUCAAAAAUGCCAAAUUUUUUCGUGGACGUCCGUCAAGACCUUGUCUAUGCAUACGGUUGGCCAUCACGGAUUGUCCGGCCAUUUGGAGGGUCAAACGAGCCCCGAAGCGAGCAUACGCCUCAUUUCGACGAUUUUCGUGUGCUAUAGCACACCAUUUUUUGGGUGAUCCGGAUUCCGACGUCAAAAAUGCCAAAUUUUUUCGUGGACGUCCGUCAAGACCUUGUCUAUGCAUACGGUUGGCCAUCACGGAUUGUCCGGGCCAUUUGGAGGGUCAAACGAGCCCCGAAGCGAGCAUACGCCUCAUUUCGACGAUUUUCGUGUGCUAUAGCACACCAUUUUUUGGGUGAUCCGGAUUCCGACGUCAAAAAUGCCAAAUUUUUUCGUGGACGUCCGUCAAGACCUUGUCUAUGCAUACGGUUGGCCAUCACGGAUUGUCCGGCCAUUUGGAGGGUCAAACGAGCCCCGAAGCGAGCAUACGCCUCAUUUCGACGAUUUUCGUGUGCUAUAGCACACCAUUUUUGGGUGAUCCGGAUUCCGACGUCAAAAAUGCCAAAUUUUUUCGUGGACGUCCGUCAAGACCUUGUCUAUGCAUACGGUUGGCCAUCACGGAUUGUCCGGGCCAUUUGGAGGGUCAAACGAGCCCCGAAGCGAGCAUACGCCUCAUUUCGACGAUUUUCGUGUGCUAUAGCACACCAUUUUUUGGGUGAUCCGGAUUCCGACGUCAAAAAUGCCAAAUUUUUUCGUGGACGUCCGUCAAGACCUUGUCUAUGCAUACGGUUGGCCAUCACGGAUUGUCCGGGCCAUUUGGAGGGUCAAACGAGCCCCGAAGCGAGCAUACGCCUCAUUUCGACGAUUUUCGUGUGCUAUAGCACACCAUUUUUUGGGUGAUCCGGAUUCCGACGUCAAAAAUGCCAAAUUUUUUCGUGGACGUCCGUCAAGACCUUGUCUAUGCAUACGGUUGGCCAUCACGGAUUGUCCGGGCCAUUUGGAGGGUCAAACGAGCCCCGAAGCGAGCAUACGCCUCAUUUCGACGAUUUUCGUGUGCUAUAGCACACCAUUUUUUGGGUGAUCCGGAUUCCGACGUCAAAAAUGCCAAAUUUUUUCGUGGACGUCCGUCAAGACCUUGUCUAUGCAUACGGUUGGCCAUCACGGAUUGUCCGGCCAUUUGGAGGGUCAAACGAGCCCCGAAGCGAGCAUACGCCUCAUUUCGACGAUUUUCGUGUGCUAUAGCACACCAUUUUUGGGUGAUCCGGAUUCCGACGUCAAAAAUGCCAAAUUUUUCGUGGACGUCCGUCAAGACCUUGUCUAUGCAUACGGUUGGCCAUCACGGAUUGUCCGGCCAUUUGGAGGGUCAAACGAGCCCCGAAGCGAGCAUACGCCUCAUUUCGACGAUUUUCGUGUGCUAUAGCACACCAUUUUUUGGGUGAUCCGGAUUCCGACGUCAAAAAUGCCAAAUUUUUUCGUGGACGUCCGUCAAGACCUUGUCUAUGCAUACGGUUGGCCAUCACGGAUUGUCCGGCCAUUUGGAGGGUCAAACGAGCCCCGAAGCGAGCAUACGCCUCAUUUCGACGAUUUUCGUGUGCUAUAGCACACCAUUUUUUGGGUGAUCCGGAUUCCGACGUCAAAAAUGCCAAAUUUUUCGUGGACGUCCGUCAAGACCUUGUCUAUGCAUACGGUUGGCCAUCACGGAUUGUCCGGGCCAUUUGGAGGGUCAAACGAGCCCCGAAGCGAGCAUACGCCUCAUUUCGACGAUUUUCGUGUGCUAUAGCACACCAUUUUUUGGGUGAUCCGGAUUCCGACGUCAAAAAUGCCAAAUUUUUUUCGUGGACGUCCGUCAAGACCUUGUCUAUGCAUACGGUUGGCCAUCACGGAUUGUCCGGGCCAUUUGGAGGGUCAAACGAGCCCCGAAGCGAGCAUACGCCUCAUUUCGACGAUUUUCGUGUGCUAUAGCACACCAUUUUUUGGGUGAUCCGGAUUCCGACGUCAAAAAUGCCAAAUUUUUCGUGGACGUCCGUCAAGACCUUGUCUAUGCAUACGGUUGGCCAUCACGGAUUGUCCGGCCAUUUGGAGGGUCAAACGAGCCCCGAAGCGAGCAUACGCCUCAUUUCGACGAUUUUCGUGUGCUAUAGCACACCAUUUUUUGGGUGAUCCGGAUUCCGACGUCAAAAAUGCCAAAUUUUUUCGUGGACGUCCGUCAAGACCUUGUCUAUGCAUACGGUUGGCCAUCACGGAUUGUCCGGGCCAUUUGGAGGGUCAAACGAGCCCCGAAGCGAGCAUACGCCUCAUUUCGACGAUUUUCGUGUGCUAUAGCACACCAUUUUUUGGGUGAUCCGGAUUCCGACGUCAAAAAUGCCAAAUUUUUUCGUGGACGUCCGUCAAGACCUUGUCUAUGCAUACGGUUGGCCAUCACGGAUUGUCCGGGCCAUUUGGAGGGUCAAACGAGCCCCGAAGCGAGCAUACGCCUCAUUUCGACGAUUUUCGUGUGCUAUAGCACACCAUUUUUUGGGUGAUCCGGAUUCCGACGUCAAAAAUGCCAAAUUUUUUCGUGGACGUCCGUCAAGACCUUGUCUAUGCAUACGGUUGGCCAUCACGGAUUGUCCGGGCCAUUUGGAGGGUCAAACGAGCCCCGAAGCGAGCAUACGCCUCAUUUCGACGAUUUUCGUGUGCUAUAGCACACCAUUUUUUGGGUGAUCCGGAUUCCGACGUCAAAAAUGCCAAAUUUUUUCGUGGACGUCCGUCAAGACCUUGUCUAUGCAUACGGUUGGCCAUCACGGAUUGUCCGGCCAUUUGGAGGGUCAAACGAGCCCCGAAGCGAGCAUACGCCUCAUUUCGACGAUUUUCGUGUGCUAUAGCACACCAUUUUUUGGGUGAUCCGGAUUCCGACGUCAAAAAUGCCAAAUUUUUUCGUGGACGUCCGUCAAGACCUUGUCUAUGCAUACGGUUGGCCAUCACGGAUUGUCCGGGCCAUUUGGAGGGUCAAACGAGCCCCGAAGCGAGCAUACGCCUCAUUUCGACGAUUUUCGUGUGCUAUAGCACACCAUUUUUUGGGUGAUCCGGAUUCCGACGUCAAAAAUGCCAAAUUUUUUCGUGGACGUCCGUCAAGACCUUGUCUAUGCAUACGGUUGGCCAUCACGGAUUGUCCGGGCCAUUUGGAGGGUCAAACGAGCCCCGAAGCGAGCAUACGCCUCAUUUCGACGAUUUUCGUGUGCUAUAGCACACCAUUUUUUGGGUGAUCCGGAUUCCGACGUCAAAAAUGCCAAAUUUUUUUGUGGACGUCCGUCAAGACCUUGUCUAUGCAUACGGUUGGCCAUCACGGAUUGUCCGGCCCAUUUGGAGGGUCAAACGAGCCCCGAAGCGAGCAUACGCCUCAUUUCGACGAUUUUCGUGUGCUAUAGCACACCAUUUUUUGGGUGAUCCGGAUUCCGACGUCAAAAAUGCCAAAUUUUUUCGUGGACGUCCGUCAAGACCUUGUCUAUGCAUACGGUUGGCCAUCACGGAUUGUCCGGCCCAUUUGGAGGGUCAAACGAGCCCCGAAGCGAGCAUACGCCUCAUUUCGACGAUUUUCGUGUGCUAUAGCACACCAUUUUUUGGGUGAUCCGGAUUCCGACGUCAAAAAUGCCAAAUUUUUUCGUGGACGUCCGUCAAGACCUUGUCUAUGCAUACGGUUGGCCAUCACGGAUUGUCCGGGCCAUUUGGAGGGUCAAACGAGCCCCGAAGCGAGCAUACGCCUCAUUUCGACGAUUUUCGUGUGCUAUAGCACACCAUUUUUUGGUGAUCCGGAUUCCGACGUCAAAAAUGCCAAAUUUUUUCGUGGACGUCCGUCAAGACCUUGUCUAUGCAUACGGUUGGCCAUCACGGAUUGUCCGGCCAUUUGGAGGGUCAAACGAGCCCCGAAGCGAGCAUACGCCUCAUUUCGACGAUUUUCGUGUGCUAUAGCACACCAUUUUUUUGGUGAUCCGGAUUCCGACGUCAAAAAUGCCAAAUUUUUUCGUGGACGUCCGUCAAGACCUUGUCUAUGCAUACGGUUGGCCAUCACGGAUUGUCCGGGCAUUUGGAGGGUCAAACGAGCCCCGAAGCGAGCAUACGCCUCAUUUCGACGAUUUUCGUGUGCUAUAGCACACCAUUUUUUGGGUGAUCCGGAUUCCGACGUCAAAAAUGCCAAAUUUUUUCGUGGACGUCCGUCAAGACCUUGUCUAUGCAUACGGUUGGCCAUCACGGAUUGUCCGGGCCAUUUGGAGGGUCAAACGAGCCCCGAAGCGAGCAUACGCCUCAUUUCGACGAUUUUCGUGUGCUAUAGCACACCAUUUUUUGGGUGAUCCGGAUUCCGACGUCAAAAAUGCCAAAUUUUUUCGUGGACGUCCGUCAAGACCUUGUCUAUGCAUACGGUUGGCCAUCACGGAUUGUCCGGGCCAUUUGGAGGGUCAAACGAGCCCCGAAGCGAGCAUACGCCUCAUUUCGACGAUUUUCGUGUGCUAUAGCACACCAUUUUUUGGGUGAUCCGGAUUCCGACGUCAAAAAUGCCAAAUUUUUUCGUGGACGUCCGUCAAGACCUUGUCUAUGCAUACGGUUGGCCAUCACGGAUUGUCCGGGCCAUUUGGAGGGUCAAACGAGCCCGAAGCGAGCAUACGCCUCAUUUCGACGAUUUUCGUGUGCUAUAGCACACCAUUUUUUGGGUGAUCCGGAUUCCGACGUCAAAAAUGCCAAAUUUUUUCGUGGACGUCCGUCAAGACCUUGUCUAUGCAUACGGUUGGCCAUCACGGAUUGUCCGGGCCAUUUGGAGGGUCAAACGAGCCCCGAAGCGAGCAUACGCCUCAUUUCGACGAUUUUCGUGUGCUAUAGCACACCAUUUUUUGGGUGAUCCGGAUUCCGACGUCAAAAAUGCCAAAUUUUUCGUGGACGUCCGUCAAGACCUUGUCUAUGCAUACGGUUGGCCAUCACGGAUUGUCCGGCCAUUUGGAGGGUCAAACGAGCCCCGAAGCGAGCAUACGCCUCAUUUCGACGAUUUUCGUGUGCUAUAGCACACCAUUUUUUUGGUGAUCCGGAUUCCGACGUCAAAAAUGCCAAAUUUUUUCGUGGACGUCCGUCAAGACCUUGUCUAUGCAUACGGUUGGCCAUCACGGAUUGUCCGGGCCAUUUGGAGGGUCAAACGAGCCCCGAAGCGAGCAUACGCCUCAUUUCGACGAUUUUCGUGUGCUAUAGCACACCAUUUUUUGGGUGAUCCGGAUUCCGACGUCAAAAAAUGCCAAAUUUUUCGUGGACGUCCGUCAAGACCUUGUCUAUGCAUACGGUUGGCCAUCACGGAUUGUCCGGGCCAUUUGGAGGGUCAAACGAGCCCCGAAGCGAGCAUACGCCUCAUUUCGACGAUUUUCGUGUGCUAUAGCACACCAUUUUUUGGGUGAUCCGGAUUCCGACGUCAAAAAUGCCAAAUUUUUCGUGGACGUCCGUCAAGACCUUGUCUAUGCAUACGGUUGGCCAUCACGGAUUGUCCGGGCCAUUUGGAGGGUCAAACGAGCCCCGAAGCGAGCAUACGCCUCAUUUCGACGAUUUUCGUGUGCUAUAGCACACCAUUUUUUGGGUGAUCCGGAUUCCGACGUCAAAAAUGCCAAAAUUUUUUCGUGGACGUCCGUCAAGACCUUGUCUAUGCAUACGGUUGGCCAUCACGGAUUGUCCGGGCCAUUUGGAGGGUCAAACGAGCCCCGAAGCGAGCAUACGCCUCAUUUCGACGAUUUUCGUGUGCUAUAGCACACCAUUUUUUGGGUGAUCCGGAUUCCGACGUCAAAAAUGCCAAAUUUUUUUGUGGACGUCCGUCAAGACCUUGUCUAUGCAUACGGUUGGCCAUCACGGAUUGUCCGGCCAUUUGGAGGGUCAAACGAGCCCGAAGCGAGCAUACGCCUCAUUUCGACGAUUUUCGUGUGCUAUAGCACACCAUUUUUUGGGUGAUCCGGAUUCCGACGUCAAAAAUGCCAAAUUUUUUUCGUGGACGUCCGUCAAGACCUUGUCUAUGCAUACGGUUGGCCAUCACGGAUUGUCCGGGCCAUUUGGAGGGUCAAACGAGCCCCGAAGCGAGCAUACGCCUCAUUUCGACGAUUUUCGUGUGCUAUAGCACACCAUUUUUUGGGUGAUCCGGAUUCCGACGUCAAAAAAUGCCAAAUUUUUUGUGGACGUCCGUCAAGACCUUGUCUAUGCAUACGGUUGGCCAUCACGGAUUGUCCGGGCCAUUUGGAGGGUCAAACGAGCCCCGAAGCGAGCAUACGCCUCAUUUCGACGAUUUUCGUGUGCUAUAGCACACCAUUUUUUGGGUGAUCCNNNNNNNNNNNNNNNNNNNNNNNNNNNNNNNNNNNNNNNNNNNNNNNNNNNNNNNNNNNNNNNNNNNNNNNNNNNNNNNNNNNNNNNNNNNNNNNNNNNNGAAGCGUAGCUGGCACGUUGAACCAUGUCUGUCAACGGUGAAAGAUAGCCCUAAAGUGAGGGCCCCAGAGAUAGUAAUUUCAACUGUCGAUCGACGUGACAAUCAUGCCUGCCUUGACAAAGCCUUUUUUUCAUUCAGUCUCCCAAUAAACGAAAAAGGAUUUCUGUGACCACGAAAGCUGUGCUCAACGCUCUCUUUCCUAUUCCGCUGCGCUAAGUGGUCUUUCCCUUUCUUGCUGGAUGACUACUAUGGAAAAAGAUGACGACUACUCUAGUCUCUAGUCAAUCCAUGCUGAUGCUAGAAGAGCUAUUCCCGCCGCCCACCCGAAAGAGACGAGGAAGACUAACCGCCAUCCUCCGCUCGAACCUUUGCUGCUGAGUUAUAUAGCUGACUGCGAGAAGGAAGGUUCAAGCUAUGGCUGCCCCAUGGGAUGCUCAUUUGAACACCUUUGUCCGGUCAAUGCGAGAAAGAGAGAAGUGAUGUAAACAUAAGAAUGGAAGGUUUGCUUGUCAGCUGUCGGGCCAAUGUAUGCUCUUCUAGCUUUACCUACACGGCAAGGGAAAGAUCAAAGGCGAGGUGGGAAAUGCCCCCACGAACUAUCUGAUCAAGUUUUCUUUUUCCUAUCACAGGCAGCUGGCAAAGCCGUGUUUGAUCGUCGCGUACAUGCUCUGUUACAGCUUCGUUCAUGCGCCAAUCAAUUGACAGUGAAGCAGAGAAGGAAGAGUUUUGAUCACCGUGUGGGUAGUCUCUAUUAGGGUUUCCGUUUCAUGUGCACUAAAAAGGAAGGAAGACUGGUGCGACUAUAGUAAUGCCAAGCAUACGAGCAAAGGACUCUACCUACCCCAUACUGACGAAUGAAAGAAGCUCAUCGCGGAUGAUAGGACAAGCGAUAGCGGUUCCAUUCUUGCUCUUCCUAUUCCAUACCAUAAACAGACCUUUGCUUCAUCGACAUUGGCGCAAGAGGCUCUACCCCCGCCACCACCCCUUAUGGAGUUAGCGACCAAGAGAAAAAAUUCCCCGAUAUAAUAAAGAAAGUAAGAAGGGUUCCAAACCAUUGAAACAGAAAGCACUAAAGACUGUUAUGACGUGGCAGAAAUGAUCACCGUCAAGCACAAGAUUCAAAGCUGGAAUCUUCCUACUCUUGUUAGUUGGGCCAGAGCAUCCUAUCUUUGUUGAUUCUCCUUUCCCACCGCCUCGAGCUCUCGCUUUCAGGGUGGAUACGCAAGAAAUUCACUAUGAAGACAUGACACAAUCCCUGAAGAGUAUGAUGUGCCGGCCUUCCUUCUCUUGAUCCCCACCCACCUCUGUAGAGGCGGGUCAAUAUCAAUAUCUAUACCAGAGAUUGCUUUAAGCUUUUAUCUUUUAAGAGACAGGAGAAUUCCCUCCUGUACUUACAAGAAUGCUACAUAGGGAGAAGAAUCUCUUGACUCAGGAGCACCUGAAUCUAUUCUUUCUGUGUCCCACAUCCGCCUAUGUUAAAGCAUCCGCCCAUUCCUCAGUGAAAGGAAAUGCUACUCAGGGAUCAAAAAAGAAAGCGGGUGCCUCGUCAGAAAGACUUGGUUUGUAGAGUAGAGGCCUUUCCCCAGAUAUUGCUUUCUUGCUCCUCUCCUUAGAGUCAAGUGGCUUUCCGCUGCUCUCCGAGACAGUUCAUUCAGCUGGAUUGUGGGUAUAGCAGGACAAUUGCUUUCUCUAGAAGGAAGGCCUUGGUUUGGCUUGUUUAAUUGAUUCGUACGUAAUCCGAGAGCUUCAUACGUGGGAUUUUUUUGGCAAAGGAAAGUCAAGAGAAAGAGUGGUAGCUAUUCUAGCAAGUCUUCUGUGGAGGAGUAGCACUAGGCUAGUCACUUAUUAGACUAGUCUCGAUUCCUCAAGGUUGUACGAGCUGUAAUAGUCGUUGAAAAACCUCCCGUCCCUGAGUGGGCUUAAGCCAUGCCUUUACUAAAGAAUUCUCGCCAUCUCAGAGAAAAUCUGGUGUGGAGCCCACGCUAGCCAACAAUGAGAAACGCCUUCCUCUUUUUUCUUGAUUUAGGUGACGUAGUCUUAUCCGAUGAAUGGCAGUGAGAAGGCGGAAAAGGUCGUAAAGGGCUAAGCUAAGGGAGGUUGGCAUUCCGAAGUCAAGUCUUUCUCACACCGCAUGGGGUCCUUUCCUACGCAUAUGCAAGAAGCUCUUAUUUCCCUAAUCUAGAGGGUUCUCACGCCAAGCUUCCUUUCUUUCGGGCAAGUCCAAUUACAAAGAAAAGAGAAGGUCGGUCCCGUCCCACGGGUUAGGUGCUUAGCUUAAGGUGGAAGUCCAAAGCUUAAUAAGGCGGAAGGCGAAGCCGAGGCAAGAGCAAGGUUGACAGAGAAGAAUUCAAUCUGUGUUCCAUUCUCAAUGGUUGGUCGGUUGGCCAGGAUUGGUCAAGUGCGCUGGACGACACGGCAUUCUCCUUUCAAUAGUACCAUCGACUGGAGAAAGUAAUAGUUUGGCUUGGACGCGUCUUAACAUACACUCCUCUAGCACCAUUCACAGUUGACUCUCAACUUCAUCUCUGAUCUGAGGAUGGGAAGAAAGAAAGCAUUGAUUACAAGUGAGAUGUCCAAGAGAAAGGGAAGGAGGGGAGAUGUCUACUCACUUAAGACCGUUCGUGAUUCCCACCCGUGAAUCACUUCACGAAGGAGCCUGUAGAUUCUUUCAAGCUAUAGGACCAGUCGAGAGCGAUAGAGAAUAAAAGGCUAGAAGUCGACUCAGAUUUAUUUCAAGGUCGUAUAUGUAUGUUUAGUAUAACCGCCACUUCAAAUCAAUUGAAUCAAUGCAAGCAAUGUUGUUCCCACAUGCCUAUUCAUUCAUAACCAAAGCUCUUCAAAUAAAUCUCCUCGGUACUUGAACUUGAUUCUUUAAAGCCGGGAACUCCAUUCAAUUAGCCGGGCAUAAGCUUUGCUCAUUUUCUCUUGAUACGCUUACCUUGACCCUUUAGGUUUUUCAAGAAGUAGACACGGGCAGGGAAAUUCCUAGCUAGGUUCUUCGUCUCAGUGCUCUCUCGCGGCCAGCUCGUCAAAGUACCAAACCCUGGCUUUCUACCCUGAACAUUGGGUAUCUUCUUUUGGCCCCUUGGGGGCAAGUGAGAGCACUAGAUCGAAUACACAGGUUGUCCAUGUUUUUUACCUUAGCUCUACUUCUCUAUUUUUCCUUUUUACGAUUGUUUGCUUCCAAAGGCUUACGCGGGACAGCAAUUCCAUUCAUCAUCAUAAAAGAGGAACGAAGAUUCCCGAUUGGGAGGCCUUGCCGCAUGCUUCGUUUCCAUUAUCGCAAUUCUAUUCAUAAUUUCUUCCUUCACCAUCAGAAAGAUGGACAGAUACGAGAGAAGAGGAAAUAGAGGCCAAAUCUAUUACUAAUUUAGUUGCUGCUGCAACGCUGAAAUAUCUACUGAUAUAAAAAUAUAGAGCUAUAAUGUUGUUUAUACCAAAGGUAUUUUUUUUAUACAAACUAAAAGAAAUCUCAGAACCCUGUAAACACCGUAAAGCCAAAUAUUAUAGACAUCUAUCAUACUCGCUGUAAGGUAUGAACGGGCAGCAGGGAAUCGAGUGAAUGACCUUAACGAUCGUUUUAGAAGUAGCGCUUUACUAGCCUGACGACUCAAAGCAAGGUCGAAAUCCAUCCCUCUUUUUAAAACUGAUUAAUUAACGACCCACCAAGCAAGGGCACGUUGCGCGGUAGUAGCAAGUUCAAGGAAGUGAAACUAAGACAGGAAACUCCCCCUUUUUUUGACUUUUUAGUAAGUAAGACCCUCUCCUCUUCCCUUUCGACAUCAAGAUAAUUGACGAAGGUGGUGCUUUGAACAUUUUCGCUGAAGUCGAAAAGAUAAACAUCUACCCGGUAUACCAGCAAUCCUUCUAUGCGGAUACCCCUUUUUUACUCUCAACCAUUGCCGAGAAGAGAAAAUGCUCAAGGUUCUAUAUAUUCUUUCUUUAUUCAAUUCAUUCCUAUCCUUUUUGUUUUCAGUCCCGGGUUUCCUUUCCUCUCCAAGCCAAUCAAUCGCCUUCUUAGUUAACUGCGGAACCCGCCCUUUAGCCAUCUAUCUUUAGAUACGGAGGGCUUAUGAGUCACAGAAUUUGAAGCCCAAAAAACAAGGUAAGAAAGGUGGGGAACAGCGGCCUCACACAAAAAGAUUUGUCUAAGCAAUCUCUUUGAGAUUUUCAAUAAGUCAAUACCAAGAUUUUCAUUCUGCGCCUGCUGAUGUGAUGAUAAUUCAGAAGCUUUUUUGCAAAGAAGAAGGGCCCUGUUCCUACGGGUUCACGUGCUAAGGCUUCACUAAAAAAUGCUCUUUUUCAAGAGAGAGGUUUAAGGCGCAUUAAUCACGCCUUGAAGGAGGGAAGUAGUAGAGUAGGAGAGGUAAAGAUGGAUGGGAAUAGAUAAGUAAGAGAGAGGGCGACACCAGCUAGCAGAACGGACGGAAUGAGAAGAAAUCCCCAGGAUGGAAAGAAGCUUGAAAGAGAGAACCAGGAAUGAAAUAGCGAGACCAAACGAGCAAAAAGCCAUGAAGGUAGACGAUAAGAGCCUAAGACUUUAUGCGAUAGGGUAGAGCCCUUGAUCCUUUCAAGAAUGUAAUUAUCCUUAAUAUUAAGGAGCCAAUUUAGAACCUUUAUAGUAGAUUAAAAGAAAGAAUAGACUCAUAUGAAAGUUCCCCAGAAAAAAUGGCUGUUGUUGAAUCAGCUGUGAAAUACGCUCUUGCUCACGAAUAUGCUGUUCUAGCUCAGACCAGGCUAUCUCCGAGAAAAUAGGGGUCCCGAAUGGGAGAAGAAUAAGGCAGGCUGUCCUUUGACUAGUUUGUUGUUUUUUCUGGGGAAUUUGCUUGUCAACGAAAUUCCACUCAUAAGUAGGUUCACAUCGUGAUCUAAGUUCCAUUUCCCAUCGAGAGGUUAUGAUACUGGUAAAGAGUCCUAUCCUUCUCCUUGGGUUAUGAAAUAAUUCAAUAGCUCCGGGCUCCCUCACUGCAUUCCAAGGCAAGCUCCUACUAGAUCCUACUAUUCCUGAUAUUCCUACUGGAUUUGAGCAACUCGAGUAUGAACACUGUAUCGCUAUGCCCCUCGCUUAGCCCCGCUCUUUGGUUUAGGAUGGAUCCGGACUGGACUAAGCUUGAAGAUCUAAUUACGGACUGGAAGCGAAAAUACCGUAAAAAUAGCUUCUUUCUUCGAGGACUCUUUUGUAAUAGCUUGAUGAGCCGAACCAACAAGAGAUAUUACGUUCUACCCUCUGCUUCGAGCCCGGCCGAGAGUGAGCUUCCCGAUAGUCUCUUCCUUCCUAGAAAUAGAACUCUAACUAUCAAACCCGUCCCGUCUCCUUACUCGAGAUAUCUGAGAUAGCUCCGUAAACUAAUAACUUAUAAUAGACGAGCCCAUUAUCCUUAUGUUCCGAACUUGCUUCUUGGUACAAGGGGAGGGGCGCAGAAUUCUAGUUAUAGUUCUUCUUCUGCCUAAUCUUUAGUACCGCUUUGAGAUUGAAUCCUUAGAACCAUGUGCCUAAGAGGGCGAGGACCUUUAUAGCCAUAAUUCUUCCCCCGGUUCUACCUCCUUCUGCAAUAGUAAUCUAUCCCGUCAAUCCCACCCGCGAGCUAUCCAUUCUAACCUGUCUUUGCCUAGCAAGAUACGUCUAGUUCUCCCUCCGCUUGCCUAUCUCAGUAGGAAAUUGGAACAGUCUCCGAUUUCAAAGAAAAAGCUGAGGCGAGAGCUAUACCUUCUGGAACCGGAGCAAUAACUGCUAUAAAGUAAGGAGAUGCGCAGGAACGAUCCCUAAAAGCAAAGGCUAGGAAUGCUCCACGACUAAGUAUACCCAUUCAGACUCGCUUUUGUUCAAUUAUAAAAAAAUAAGCACUUUGAUGAAGAUUUAUAGCAUCAUUCAAGUAAAUACAGAUUAAGAUCGUAGAAACAUGAGCUUGUCAUAUAGCUACACCUAAUUCCAGACCGGUUAAUGCAAGAACUAUAAAUAAAGGACCAAGAUCCCCUAUGAAAUAGAAAAGACCAUUCAUACAUAGCAUAGUCCAAGCGAACCCACUUAAAAUCUUUACUGAACUAUGACCGGCCAUCAUAUUAGCAAAUGAACGUAUUCCUGAGCUUAAUGCUCGAAAACAGUAAGGGAUUAGCUCAAGGAGUACUAAAAAAGGUACUAAUGGCAGCGGGACUCCCGCGGGUAAUAAGAAGCUUAAAAAAUGAAGCCCAUUUUUUUGAAAUCCCACUAUAGUAAUGCCAAUAAAAAUCGAAAAUGAGAGACCCAAAGUAAUGAGAAAAUGACUUGUAACUGUGAAUCUAUAAGGUAUCAUACCCUGGGGAUUACAAAAUAACGAAAAAGUAAAAGUGACUGAGAUGCGAGGGGAAAACUUUUGUUUAACAUUUCCGGAAAGACCACUUAUUUGUUCGUUUACCGGGUUCAGCACGAAAUCAUAAAUAAGCUCUACCAAGGAUUGCCAAGCAUUUGGUACUGAGUUUCCUCCUCCCUUUUUAGUAACAAAAUAAACCAAAAGUAGGACCAAACUGAGAGUUAGUAGCAUAAAAAAAGAUGGAUUUGUGAAUGAGAAAAAGAAGUUUCCAAUUUUCAUAGGAAUCAAUGGCACAAUCUCAAAUUGAUCAAGUGGGCUUUCUAAGAGAUCCGCAUUCGUAUUCACUGCAUUAUUCGUAUUCACUGCAUUGGAAUAGGCUGAACCCCCUACAAUCUCGUUAAAUUAUUUUAGGGCAAAGUCAUAGUGCUCACCCUGUUUGUCUUUUAAAUGUUCUAAAAUUUCUCCGAGAAAACCCGUGUUGUCAUCAUCAUUAUGCAAAUUUUCUGUGAUUGCGAGUAAUUUGUUUUCAUCUGAACAAUGAUUUUUGAAGACUUUUUGAACGGACUCAAAGAUUUCACCCCUUAGGUGGUCUGCUAUAUUUUCAAAAGUCGUAGAAGUAGUAGGGUCCAGACCUUCAAAAAUACCAUGAUUAUUCAAAAUACUCGAAACACUCCCAUCAACCUGAGUACUGGAUGACCGAAGACUAAAAUCGCCAAUAGUCGUAGUAGAUUGAUUCGUAGGAUUUAGAAUCCCAGUACUACAAGUUCCGAAUGAACUACUAGACGAAGGCGAAGCUAUAUUACUGGAACUGGAACUUGAGUUCAGACUAGCUUCAUCAAAGCGGAAAAUGCGUCGCACCAUAUUUUUUUUUUAAGAUGAUUCCCUCAAUACAGCUUAAGUCAAGCCUGUACGAGUAGUGAAGAAGUCUAGAGAUUUUAGUUGGUUGUUGACCAACGGAAAGCAUGGGAAAAAGAUAAAGAUUAGUUAGAUCUAGCACACACUUCAAUCCAAAGAAGCAAGACUUUUUCUUUCUAUAUGAAAUUACGUAAUCAGGGUUAAAGCACAUACAUAUAGAAAGGUGUAAAGGACAGAUGUGUCGGUUAAUAAAAGAAUGACUUACGUGCAGUACUGGUACGAAUUACUUUAUUAAAUUAGAAAGCCCCUCCUCUAAUUACGAAUGGAUUCGAUCCAUUAGAUUGACUCUUUUCUUUCUUCUUUAGAUUGCACGAGUUUUCUGUUCUGAGCCUUAGUUUGCGCCUGCCUACCUUUCGCCUUUGUCCACUAGACAAGCUUUCUUAAGGAUCCAUCCCCAUAGUUUAUUAUCAUAUAAGAUGAGUGGAACACCCGUUUAUUGAUCAUUUAAGGCCUUUUAAGGACUUGUGAGGUAUUUAAAAAUCGGAAUUUUAGGUUCUAUCCGUUAGGUUGACUCUUUUCUGUCUUUGUUAAGUAAAUAAAGACAGAAAAAAAAGAGAUUAUUUUUUGUUUUUUCUUUGCUGUUAUUAUAGAUAAGGGUAUGCCUUUUUAUUCUUAUGGCCAUCAAUUGGCCCGCUCCCACAAAAAAAUGUUUCCUAGGCAAUUUGGCCACAUGCAAUCCAUUCCUUUUUCCUUUUCUAUCAAACCCUCACCAUGGCACUCUAGAUCACUUAAGGGGCUGGGCCCACUUAUUCGAGCACGCGAUGUGUAUUACAAUGACCUUCAGUCGACUAAGAAGGUGCAUCAUAUUCGCAGCAAGCCAGCCUCUCUUGCCUACCCCUAAGUCCUGUCUGCAGUAGCUGCUUCGCUUCUAUUAUAGAUGACCGAAGAGCGGACAUCUUUCCAACAAUGAGAGGAAGUUUCGAUUCGAACAGAGAGAUAUGUCGGAAUUAGCUCUUGGGAAAGAUAGAAGGGCAGGGCUUCCAUAAUUAAACCAAUGUGGGAGCUACUUAUAAUAAGUUCCAAAACCUUGAGAUGAAGAAGGGAAAGCGUAACUGAACUCGAUCCAGUGGAGGAGGAAGCUCGGUUCAGUCCUUGCAGAUCUUGACUCACUCACUUCCAGAGUAGAAUACGAAACUCUAGUUGAAGGGGUAUUGGCCAUUAUGAGUAGUAAAGGCUACUAUGAGCAGAAAGGGACUACUUGGCUCGAUCGAGCAGCACCUACACCUUCUCGCGUAACGACUUCUUUGAAGCUAGGCUAGGAUCGGAUCCAAUUCUAAGUCUUUACCUUUUCUUUUCUCAAUAGGAGGUCUUGUGCCGUUGGACCUGCCCUUUAUGCAGCAGUAGUUUCGGUUGAACUGGACAUUGCUCCCGCUAUUGGUAGGCUUACUUGACUAAGAAUUCAAGGAAAUGAACUGGCGGGACUCUGCUACUUACGAGGGUUGAUGUGGAAGAAGGGGCGAAGAAUCCUCUGCUGAUGAAAGAUAUGCUGAGACAAAAGCAAAAUAGGAAGAAAUACCUGCUAGACCAGAGACUGGGGGUUCUUUUUCGCGUAAAAACCUCCGGUAAUAUAGUAUUUCCAAGCUAGGGGUAUUGUUGUUUAUGCACAAGGUUUUUCUCCUCAACCAAAGCAUGGGUCAAAAAGGAAGAACAUGACCAUCAGCAAGAAAGGGCGUCCCGACGUCGACUCCGAAAGGAAGCUCGCGAGAGGGAAAGAGAGGAAAGGAACCAAUGAUUCACCUAUAUGAAGCUGAAGAAAGCAUUAGAGUGAAGAUCCCCUGCUUAACCUGAAAUGAAACCUCUCAAGCCAGGGAAAGAUUGACCAUCGGGUUUAUUUCCGAGUCAGGAUAGAAAGAGUGACUACUCGAUAGAAUUGCCCCUAUGAAUAAGGGAAGUUACUAGCCUUCUUUCUUAGGCCAAGGAAGGAAAGCACGGUAGAACUAGUGUAGCUGUGGGACUCUCGCUAGUAUUGACCUCCUGGACUAGUACCGAUGGUGGCUCCAUACGGGUAGACGUAGGCCCUGAAACCAUAACAAAGACAAGACAAUUACAGGGAGGACGUACGUGUUCUCGGGCGAGUGCGGACUCGGUUAGUAUACAAGAUCAUCAACAGAGUAAUAGGAUGCAUCUGCUGAAGCCAAGACUCAUGUAACAACAAGCUGGACCGAAGCUCAGCCAUAGUUGGUUUUGGUCGUUGAAGCUUCGCCGUAGUGACCUUUCAUAGUCCGAAGGCAGGCCAGCAAGAAGGAAUGUAAACAUAUCAGAUUGGGACACCGGUGCAUUGAUAGAUGCCAAGGAGUCAAAACUGUUCUUGAAUGUACGAAGGUAAGCCGCCAUAAACGGAUUUCCUUUCUUCUCUCUUUCACUAUCAUGUUCCUCACUAACCCGAAAGAAACAUAUUUAUUAUUUUCCGGCGGCGAAUAGUCUGAGAUAGGCGAAAAGUCUCAGAAAAGAUUAGGGGAUUUAUUAAAAUAUCAUAUAUUAAGAAAAUGAAGCAGCUAUACUUGGAAUCAAUGACGAAGCUGUUGUUUUCUUAAAGCAUGGAUGCUUUGUUCCAAAUAGUGAUAGGGCAAAAACAGGGGGGGACGAGGGAAUUAGAAAAAAUGCAAACUGUUUCUACUUUUCGUAGGCAUUUCCUAAUUUUUUUACAGCAAGCAAACAAAAAAAAAGUAAAUCCAACAGAAAUCAGGGAUCGAUUGAUCCAAACGUUCGACUGUAAAUCGAUUAUUAUUGCUCAACGAAAUCAUCCACGGGGCCUCAACUUUGAUUAUAUUAUCGGCGUCAAAUGUACCAACGCAUCAAAAAAUACGGUGAAGCAAACAAUAAGAGCUUUGUUCUUCGAAUUCGAAGGACAACUCUGUCAUCAAUCCUCCAUAUUCUUCUCUUCGGCAUAACUGGUAAGAAGCAUACUACAACAAUAGACCAGUCCACUAACAGCGGUAUACAGUAAGUCAGUAUAAGUCAGUAUAGGAAGGGCACGCGAAAUAGACAACUACUUACUAGGCUAGGGUAGUCGUUUUUUCAUCUUCCCUUUAUUUUACUUUACCCUAGUGGAAAUUCUUUUUUUAAAGUUACUAGGUAAUUAGUGAAGAGGUUUAUAAAAGUGACAAGCUUGGUGGAAAGCUCUUAUCUUAGGAGGAAAAGCUAAGUAUGCCCGAGUAGUCUUGAUAUUGGUUGGUAUGAGGUUUCGUUAGUUUUAUACUAACAAGCAAGCUUCGGCGACCGCUCGACCUAGCGCGUUAGCCCCAGUACUAUAGGGAAGGCCUAUGCGAAGAAAAGGCCUGCCCAUCAUCAAAGCAAGCCCAAGUCCAUGCAAGAAGGCCCUCCAGAUCUGUCCAAAUUCAAAGCCCGUCAAAGGCAUAUGAAAUCAUGCAAAGGAUCCGAGCCCAUCCAAAUGAUGUUCAGCGGGCUAAACCCAAGUAGCUCUGGCCCAUGAUCCAAGAGACCCGAAACUCGUUCAUCAUGCUAUCCUUACCUUCUAACUAACCUCUUCGAUUUCGCUUAUCCUAACAGUGAUUGAUUAGGCCUAACUAUUGAAGCUGGUUAUGCAAAGUGAGUUAGGUUGUUCACACAGGCAGUGUGAUGUGAUUCUGAGGGUGUUCACAAGGUAGUUAGUUUGCUCAUUAAACAGGCAUGAUAGUGUUCACUCACAGAAAAUUAGUGCGGAGAACUAGUCAGAAUUGUGCCUGCCAUCCAAUUCGUGACGUGGAUGAUCCGCCGAAUCCAUUGCUGACUUCACCACGAUCGAUUAGGUGAAACGGUUCUGCAAAGUUAGUUUGUUCAUACAGGCAGCGUGGUUAUAGUAGUCAGAAUUGUGCCAGCCAUGCAAUUCGUACUGCAUGGCGAUAUUACUCUACCACUCUAUAAAUGGAGGCUCGAUAUGUGUCUUCUUCAUCAAAUUUAAACCAAAGAAAUUGAGUAAUAGCACGUAUAGCUAUGGAUGCUGCAAACAAGCUUUCUGCAAUUGCUGCCGAAAUGGGGCAACUCCAAAAUGAAAUUCAACAGCACCAUAGAGUGCUAAACUCUUUUUUGAGAAGUGUUAGAACAAUGGAUCAUGCAAGGAAAGAAGCGCGCAUUCGCGCUACCAGAGAGCGCAUAGAGGGUUUGGAGGAGAGGCAGCAAGCGCUGCGGGCGGAGCAGCAAACGCUCAUUGUUCAUGGAGCACUCGGUCGCCUAGAAGACUAUAAUAUAAGACUUCGUCAACUCUUUUUAGUUUGUUCAAUAAGUGUCUGUAGACGCAAAGUAGUGUGUUUCUUCUUUUUCUUUGUUUGGUGGAGAUCUACUCCUAUGCUCAGUGUCUUUGUUUGCAUGUAUCACUAGUAGUCUUCCGUUGUUCACUUUGUAAUCUUGUUUGGCUGCUUUGUCUAUGUGUGUGUAAGCUUCCUUAUUCCCAUGUAACGGCUAUUAAUGAAUAAAAAGUGCUGGUCUGCUUUGUUAAAUAUUCCUUAUGUAUACGUAAUUAAUAAUCCCAGAGGGAAUCCGGUGAACCUCAAAAACUACUUAGUUAGAGAUUGUUUGCUAUUGCUUAUGCCUCAGCAGAGAAGUAAAGUUCUGCUCUCCUCUCUUUCUCUUACGUAUCUAGUUCUAUAGCUUUACCCUUACUUUUACGAUGUAAGGGCAGAACGUAAUAGAAAAGCAAGGUGUGGGGGUAAGUAAAAACGGUCCCGGAAGAAGCUUCUUUUUAUCGCUAUAAGGCAUAAGUAGUAAGGCAAGUAGUAGACCUAUAAAGAGAAAAGGAAGCGCUAUCCCUCCUACUUAUGAUUCAACAUUUAGCUCGAUCUAUUCUAGAUGUAUUUUUUACAUCAAUGGCAUCAGCUGGAUCUUGCACCGAAUUGCUUACCCGCGGAACUCAUUUAACCCGACCCUACAUAAGUACUUUCACCUCUAGGAAAAACUUCUGGGAUGAGCCCUUCUACUCGUAAUUUUUUCAUUUUGAUAGUAGAGGGAAAAUUAUCGAUCCCAGACCAGGCUCCGAUCAAGGCUUAUAAAAGCGUCAACCUCAUCCUAAAAGGACUCCUUGGCUCAAGACUUUUAGUCAAGAGGUCAGGUGUUAAGAAAGGUGGUGAUGCGGCAUUGGCAUUUUCAGCAAAUUCAUCAGAUAGCUUGCCUUCUUUUCGUUUACGUGGCUACAUACUUGUAGCGAUCAAAGGGCAUAUUUCUUUAUAUAAGGAAAAGGGAAUUGUAUGGGCCUUUGCUUCGAGAACAAUCGCUUCGCAGCCUGCCUUUCCUGUGCUUCGAUCUCUCAUCAGGUUCAGAAGGGGAUGGGAAUGCAGAUUUGGAUGCCUCCUACCCUAUGAUAAAGAAGAGAGUUUCCCUAGAGCGUCAGCUUCUUGAGAAAGUCCCUUUGAAGAUGGGGGAAUAGGAUCUCUUUCUCUUUCUGCGUCUACUGAUGCUUUUGCAAAAAGGCUUUGGUUUGGCUUGUUUAAUUGAUUCGUACGUAAUCCGAGAGCUUCAUACGUGGGAUUUUUUUGGCAAAGGAAAGUCAAGAGAAAGGGUGGUAGCUAUUCUAGCAAGUCUUCUGUGGAGGAGUAGCACUAGGCUAGUCACUUAUUAGACUAGUCUCGAUUCCUCAAGGUUGUACGAGCUGUAAUAGUCGUUGAAAAACCUCCCGUCCCGAGUGGGCUUAAGCCAUGCCUUUACUAAAGAAUUCUCGCCAUCUCAGAGAAAAUCUAGUGUGGAGCCCAGGCUAGCCAACAAUGAGAAAUGCCUUCCUCUUUUUUCUUGAUUUAGGUGACGUAGUCUUCUCCGAUGAAUGGAAAAGGUCGUAAAGGGCUAAGCUCAGGGAGGUUGGCAUUCUGAAGUAAAGUGGGCUUUUCUCGGUCAGAGGGUGGAGAAUUGUGAGGGGCAGGAGCGGCUCAAGACGCAAUGAAACCCGCUUUUGCUAGGCCAAGUGGUCUACAUAGACUAUUUGUGCCUAAUCUAAUAGCUAAGGGCGAAAGAUCUGUACAGAAUGUACCAUGGAAAGUCCUUCUCUUUCGGUUGUGGUCUAAUUGCGCUCUGUCGGUGAAAACCUCCUACUUCACAGCGGGAGAUCGUAUCUUUGCUAUCUUGUUAGGAGGUCGUAAACAAAGGGCUUAGAGCCUUAUGCUCGUCCAAGAGAAAGAAAGAACGGCUGAAAGCGGAAAGCCUAUCUAAUCUAAAAGGGGAAGCAAAGUAGCUGCUCAACAAAGUCAGGCAUUUCGGAAAAGGGCAUAGCUGCAGCAACUCCGCUGGGACUUGAAUUCAUCUUCAACGGACCAAUCAAAGCACCUAAGAUCGACUUGCUUAUUCGUCAUAUCUUUUGAAAAAGGGACCUGUAGAAAAAGAUUUGACGCGAAGGAGGAAGAAGGAAGGGCUGCACUACUAACGUAAAUACUACCGCGAACAAACUCGCAACGGCAUCUUAAGGGCGGUCAAUACUAAUAAAAUAAGUAAGGGGAAGAAGCUUGCUUUUCUACAGGGGCGUCGCGAGCAGCACACAGGGCGAAUCCACUUCUGACCUUCUGAUCUUUCCUGGGGAGAGCAGCAAAGCCCACAGAAAGUUUUUUUAUCAAUUCCAUUUUCUAACUAAGAAAAGCAGUCUACUCAUGUACUCUAGCUUCGCUAAUGAGAUAAGGUAGUUGGCUUACUUGCUUGUUAGAGGAAAGGUAGUGAACUAAUUGCUCUUCUUAGAGAGAAGGAGAUGCUUGAACACCCUAUUCUCAAACAACUUAUUCUAGCAGCCUAUUCUCGGCAUAAGUCUGGAUGGCUGCUAUCUUUCUAAACAGGAGUCGUCAGAUCUUGCCCAGGCAAAGGAGCGAUCGACACUCGCUCGCAAGUUUUAAGAAGUGGUAAGCACAAGGACAAGUUGAUUCAGAAAGGGGAAGAGGUACGAAGUGACUGGUUCUUCUUUGUUUUCCUUAGCGGUAUAGUACGACACAUGGGAAAUCACAAUCAGAGAGAAGUAACGAUACGAUAGAUCCGCAGGAAAUCGCGAAGUACAUGAAUUCUCUAUCUCUUUCCUUAGCUGAGAGAGAGGGAGCGCACUCUCGACAUGCAGGCAUAUCUCGUUGAAUCAGUCUUUUUCGCCACAUCGCGUAUAAGGGGCAACUCUGUCUCCGCCUCUGCUGCUGGUGGGCAGAUGUAUAAUGUACUACUUCGAUCCAGCAAUUUCUUAGGAGUAGGUUUUGGCUUGGGAAAAACCCGCGGAUGAGCGAGAAUAUACGAAUAUUUUUGUUAGAGGGUUUCCCCUUACAGUCUUUUUUGUUAAAAUGAAUGCGGAUGGGUGUCUGCUUUCUUUGAGAAUUUUGAUUGUACAACCAAGAAUGUGGCUGAAUUCUGGGCCACGGUAGAUCUUUUUCUUUGCCUUUCAAGAUAUUGCGUAUAAAGAGAAAGAUAGCCAGUCCUCUUGGGCGGCCGAGAGUGUUAUGUAAAAAGGACCAAGGAGGAUCCUAUCCUAAAGGAGAAGGAGGAGGAGUAGGAGCUAGCUUUAGGGGAGGAAUCGAAGCGAAGAAAUUCGUUCAUGCCACGAUGAUCUAUAUGGAAGGGCAGUUUUGUUGAUGCAUUCCUCUUGAGAAUGAAGAAGAAGAGAGAUCUUCUUUUUAACAGGAAAAUUUGGUCACGUAGAUCUUCUAUUUCGCCAGAAUUCGUUGAUUGCUCUGUACGAAUUUACAAUGGAAAAACUCCUGUUCGUUGUAAGAUUACUGAAGGAAAGGUUGGUCAUAAAUUUGGAGAGUUUGCUUCUACACGGAAACGAAGACCUUCGAGAACAAAUAUUGGACCGGGAAGAAAAAGGGGGAAAAAGUAAAGUCUAAGCGCAUAUGGCACAAAAAGGAAAUCCUAUUUCGGUAAGACUUGAUCUGAAUCGUAGUUCAGAUUCAAGUUGGUUUAGUGAGGGCGACCGUGAAAGUCACCGAAUGGGUCAGUCUUUUAGUUCUCCCAGAUUAGAAUAUCAAAGGAGGACGUUGCAGAUGCCGGGGGCGGACACGACUUCUUCUAAGUCUAGAAGACCACUGGAAGACACCCAGGACUAUAGCAUGUCGUGAAAGAAGCACACUGGAUGGGCGUGCUUCGACCGUGUCUCCGGGGCACAGUUGAAUGUAGAUAUCAUGAACGCGAGGUGCAGGAUACCAGACCGAGAAACCCGGGCAACCAUUCCCCUAUGUGCCAAUCGCUAACGCAUCCAGGGCCCCGGCGCCCAGCUCAGCUGGAGAGGCCUAGCCUGAUCUGAGAAGUGCUAAUUCGGUUCGGAUAGACUUCAUUCAAGAAUGCCACCGCCCCGGGAAUCAAUAAGAAAACAAGUGCUAAGGUUCAGAUCAGUGAAUAAACCGAAAGGAAAGAAGAGACCUUUCUCGCUCAGCGCCUAAAGCGCACUAUGCUCCGCUUCAACAAAUGAGAGUUUUCGGUGGAACCGGUGAACCACGCGAGCUGGUUAGAUGCGUGGGACAGAGGGCUCGUAGUACCUGCUAGCGCGGCUACGCAGUGGAAGGGAAGGAUCCUAAAUCGACCCCCUUCUUUUUUUCUUUGAAAAAAGCAGUAAGGAGUAAGGAGAUUAAACUCUCGGAUGAGACUAUGCAGCUACCGACCGUUCCGACGCGCCCUUGACCUAUUUUGAUUAAGACCAAAAACCUAUCUCUAAAGUGGAGCCUAGUUUAAGCUGUCAAACAAGUGAUGAUUGAAUGAAAGAAAAACCACUAGUAGGGAUAUGGAUGGAGUCUCGCUCAGUAAAGAGAGUUGUAGGAUUCGUAAAACAAGAGAAGAGCAUCUCAAAGUAUGGGGCAAAGUAUGUUGCGUUUUGACUUUGUCUCCCGGGAUCCACCACAGGUUGGGUUUGAGAGCCGUGUGAUGGGUGACUAUCCAGCACGGUUCGGAGAGCACUUUUAGUCUGCGCUGGUGAAUGGAAGCCCCCCCUAUCAAGCAAGAAGGAAGCGGCUCUUCCCACGGCGGAGUCACCAUUGACUCUAUUUAUUAUUAUGGUAAAUCAGUGUAUCAAGAUGUCAAUCUGAGAUCUUAUUUCGGUUCGAUACGUCCACCUACGAGACUCACCUUUGGCUUUCGUCUCGGUAGGUGUAUUAUUAUACAUUUUCCCAAAAGAACAUUCAUUCAUUUCUUUCUUCCCCGUUGACCACGACGACUGAAACGACGCGAAAAAUCCAGACCCGUAAAGGAGAAGGGCCGGUGGGGGGCAUUUGGGAAAGUCGGGCCGAUCGGGUGUCUUUAUUCAAGCGACGGUACAGAAGAAGAACGAAACGAAGUGAGAGGCCGGGGGGCAGGGAAAAGAGUCGAGUCGAUCAGGCUCGACGAUCGGGAGAAGCAAAACGAAAUCAGGAUUUGGCCGAAAAAGAAGCAAGGCUAUGGAUACCAUGACCGAUCACCAUCGAUAAAGAAGAAUCUUUCUAAAUCACUUCGUGUCAGCGGGGCCUUCAAGCAUCCGAAAUACGCUGGGAUUGAAAAUGACAUAGCGUUCCUGAUAGAAAAUGACGACUCCUUCAGAAAAAUAAACUUAUUCAAGUUCUUUUUCCCAAAGAAGUCCCGCUCCGACCGCCCGACGAGUCAUCUACUUAAAAGGACCCUCCCCGCAGUCCGCCCUUCCUUGAAUUAUUCGGUCAUGCAAUACUUAUUGAAUACAAAGAAGAAAAUGCAUUUCGACCCCGUCGUAGUUCUCAAUCAUUUCGUGGCACCGGGCGUGGCUGAACCAUCUACGAUGGGGGGAGCUAAUGCACAGGGAAGAAGCUUAGAUAAAAGAAUACGUUCUUGCAUCGCUUUUUUUGUAGAAAGCUCGACCAGCGAGAAAAAGUGUUUGGCCGAAGCCAAAAAGAGGGUGACCCACUUUAUUCGCCAAGCGAAUGAUCUUCGCUUCGCGGGAACAACAAAAACCACCAUCUCGCUCUUUCCUUUCUUCGGUGCUACCUUUUUUUUUCCAAGGGAUGGGGUUGGGGUGUAUAAUAAACUUUUUUUUUAGGAUGCCCGGGAACAACACCUAGGUCAAUUAAGGAGAAAAUGUUGGAACCUCAUGUGUAAGGAUAAGAUAAUGGAAUUGAUAGAGAAAUUCAUAGACCUAAAUAGGAUAGGAGAAUUGAUAAGGGGAAUAGAGAUGAUGAUAGAGAUAAUACUGAGAAACAGAAGAAUUCCGUACGGGUACAACUAUUAUUUGAACGAAGUGCAAAAAAUGCGAUCUUUGUUGUAUAAUAGAACAAACACUAAUACCUUAAUUGAAUCGGUCAAGAUCAAAUCUGUUUAUCAAAGUGCUUCUCCGAUUGCUCAAGACAUCUCUUUUCAACCGAGGAACAAAACAAGAUCAUUUCGUUCCAUUUUUAGUCAAAUAGUGAAGGAUAUUCCAUUAGUAAUGAAAAAGGGGGUGGAGGGGAUCCGUAUAUGUUGUUCAGGUCGAUUAGAAGGUGCAGAAAUAGCUAGAACAGAAUGCGGAAAGUAUGGAAAAACAUCUCGUAAUGUAUUUAACCAGAAAAUAGAUUAUGCUCUUGCGGAAGUAUCUACUCGUUACGGAAUCUCAGGUGUCAAAGUGUGGAUUUCAUAUAGUCAAAAAAAGGGGGGACGUGCUAUAUCUGAAACGUACGAAAUAUAGUAAAUAUCGUAAAGGCAGAUGUAGUAGGGGUUCCAAACCGGACGGUACACAACUUGGUUUUGGAAGAUAUGGCACUAAAAGUUGUAGAGCUGGUCGUCUUUCAUAUCGAGCCAUUGAAGCAGCGCGUCGUGCUAUAAUCGGACACUUCCAUCGUGCUAUGAGCGGACAAUUCCGAAGAAAUGGUAAGAUAUGGGUAAGAGUUCUCGCAGAUAUCCCUAUUACCGGGAAACCUACAGAAGUAAGAAUGGGAAGAGGAAAAGGAAAUCCUACGGGUUGGAUUGCUCGUGUGUCCAGGGGACAAAUCCUAUUUGAAAUGGAUGGUGUGAGUUUGUCAAAUGCUCGACAAGCCGCUACAUUAGCGGCGCAUAAACUAUGUUCGUCAACCAAGUUUGUUCAGUGGUCGUAAGCUUAUUAAUCUGACCCAAAUUGGUACACGCCAAUUCCAUUUCGCCGGAUUGAAAGAGCCAUCAAUCACUAUGAUCUCUUUCUUAGAAAAGAAAUUGCGUAAAUUCUGCCUUUUUUGAUCCCAUGCUUUCCGUUGGUCAACAACCAACUAAAUCUAUACUUCUUCACUACUCCUACAGGGAAGGUGGAAGAAAUUCAGUCGCUCUUUUUUUUGGGGGGAGCAGAGCAGUCAAAGAAUGAACCAAACCAAAUGAUUGUUCUAGAAUGGCUAUUCCUCACAAUUGCUCCUUGUGAUGCAGCGGAACCAUGGCAAUUAGGAUCUCAAGACGCAGCAACACCUAUAAUGCAAGGAAUAACAGACUUACAUCACGAUGUCUUUUUCUUCGUUAUUCUGAUUUUGGUUUUCGUAUCAUCGAUCUUGGGUCGCGCUUUAUGGCAUUUCCACUAUAAAAAAAAUCCAAUCCCGCAAAGGAUUGUUCAUGGAACUACUAUCGAGAUUCUUCGGACCAUAUUUCCUAGUAUCAUCCCUAUGUUCAUUGCUAUACCAUCAUUUGCUCUGUUAUACUCAAUGGACGAGGUAGUAGUAGAUCCAGCCAUUACUAUAAAAGCUAUUGGACAUCAAUGGUAUCGGAGUGCGCCUCUUCACGAGGGUGAUUAAAGUGCAACGAAAUGCCUUAAAGUUGAAUAGGGUUCGCGAAGCAUCUGGCUUACCGGUAAUCUCCCAUUCCCGCCGUCGAGAGACUUUAAUAACUAUAGCAUGCCAGAAACGGGUAGUUGAGGUGGUUAGACCUAUACCCCGAAAUGCUCCCAGCAUAGGAGCCUAUGGUUCCAUUCUUGUUGUUGCUGGAGGUACACAUCCCUCUUCUCGGUGUGGAACGAUAUACGAGAAAUAGAUGCUCAGCCUGCAAUGUCCGAUAACGGCGCUGAUGUAGUGAAUCUAUCGGCACCAUAGCAGUGGUAUACAACUUUGGACCUAACGGCCGGCCUAGUAACCUUUCGGAAUGGGGGAUCCCCGUUGGCAACAACCACGGUAGUAGUUGCGGAACUACUGGGCCGGGAGAGGAGCGGAAAGCCACUUGACUGUAAGGAGAGGACAACUUCUUGUUCCUGCUCCUCUUUCUUCGCUUCGGGGACGGAGGUCCUACGGUAGGUAACAGCAGGCACAAGCAAGUUGACCGAAGGGGACCAGCGCUUCUACUCCUCCACCGAGGAGCCGUUCUUGCGAGAAGCAAGGGAUGUCGUGAACGGUGGGAGGUCACAGAGAAUUGACCUAUUCAUAGAGUGAUCCUAUGAUCGAUACAGGAUAUAGACUAUCUCAUUCUUUAUACUAUUCUAUUUCUGGAAAAAAAAGAAGGGUGACUCAACUUCUCAGCUAGAGUUGGUGGUGGGACCUGUUGGCAUAAUGCAUGCUGGAACGUGGGAAUUCGAGGUCUCAUGAACUACUACUAAAAACCAACCUUGUUUUUGUUUUGUUUGUGGACAAACGAUAUCCGGUCAGGCCUAUGGCUGGAUCCUUUUAGAUCUACGGGCCGGCCGGCCCCGGCCGUUUACAUGAGCAUAGGGAAUCUAUACUCGAGCGUUCCACUGGGCCCCUGACAGGAUAGGUGAGGAAUCACUCUGGAUCUUCUUUUUUUGGGCUACAACUUCGCCGAGCCGACUAGCAUCCCUUUCCACUGUGCAUUUUUCGAACAAAGAAGACGACUAUAUGAUCGAAUUCGCUCUUCAAGAAACUGCUCGUCCCAUACCUUCUGCCUGUCUCAUAUGUGUGGAACCUGGUCUUUUUCGGUUCUAGCCUCUCCCUCGAAUACAUAGGGUAGGUAGGGCUGGGUGAGAAAUGGUUCCCUCUUGCCAAUAAACUUUCCCCGGCCUUCGAUUAACCUUACUCAUAAAGGGUCUUACGGUCGGGAGAACUACCUAACUAAAGAAAAAUAGUGUUCUUUCUAAGAGUAGGCGUGGAGAGCUUUUUGCGGGGAAACUUGCAAGUACAGUUUGGGGGGAGGCGGGCGUCGACCCUACCUUAUGAGUAUUCGGACUAUAACAGUUCCGAUGAACAGUCACUCACUUUUGACAGUUAUACGAUUCCAGAAGAUGAUCUAGAAUUGGGUCAAUCACAUUUAUUAGAAGUCGACAAUAGAGUGGUUCUACCAGCAAAGAGCCCUAUACGUUUUAUUGUAACAUCUGCUGAUGUACCUCAUAGUUGGGCUGUACCUUCCUUAGGUGUCAAAUGUGAUGCUGUACCGGGUCGUUUAAAUCAGACCUCUAUUUCGGUACAACGAGAAGGAGUUUACAAUGGUCAGUGCAGUUAGAUUUGUGGAACUAAUCAUGCCUUUAUGCCUAUCGUCGUAGAAGCUGUUCCUAGGAAAGAUUAUGGCUCUCGGGUAUCCAAUAAAUUAAUCCCACAAAGCCCCGACAAAGAGCCAAUACUGGUCCCCUCUCCCUCUGAUGACCGAACGCAAUCGUCUUCGUGGGCUUCCACGCUUGCAGAUUGGGGAACUUCUCGCUCGAAAUCGGAAUUGAGUGUGAACGAAGCCCAACAAAAUGCCCCCGCAGCAGCAGCGGUUGGUGUUGGGGCGGAGAUCCAACCAUUCCCAUUGUUACAGGAUGCCCUAAGGCGUCAGGAGCUAGAUAGCCGGCUGUCGUUCCACUUGCACUUGAUCGGAAAAAACUGGACAGAAGGGAAAAUAAACGCUACGUUGGAACAACAAUUCUUGUUAGAAAAACAAAUGGAGAGCGCUUUACUGGCCAAUGGCUUUUGCCUAGAAUCGAUUCUCAACAAAAUGGGAAAAAUACGAGGGAUCGCUUUCUAUCCGUAUGGGCGACCCCUCGCUGCCACGACAUACAAGAGCUAUAUAGAUAUAAUUGAAAGGGUUGGGCCAGACCAGAGCCCACCCUACAAACGCAUUAUAACUGCUUUUGUAGACUGCAAGCUUCGCCUUCGAUUUGGGAAUUAAGGGAAAAGCUAUAUAAAGUAAAACUAAGGUAGUCGCCAUAAGUCAGCUUUUCUUUUUUUCGGUAUGCCGCUCCGCGAGCAAGGAGUGCCACGCACAAGCGGAGCAAAAAGAAAGCAAGGGAAAUUCUUCUCUUUUUUGGGGAGAAAUCCUUUGAUUGCGUAUUGAAUAUAGAUCCAUGUCUUUCUUGUUCCACUAGCUAAGACCAAAUUCUCACAUGUCCCAUUCGUCAUUCCAACCUUCUUUUUUGAUGUCAAAGACCAGAAGCUACGCGCAAAUUCUCAUUGGAUUGGGGUUGUUCUUAACAGCGAUGGCUAUUUAUUUAAGUCUUCGGGUAGCACCACUAGAUCUUUUACAAGGUGGAAAUUCUCGUAUUCCGUAUGUACAUGUUCCUGCAGCUCGGAUGAGUAUUCUUGUUUAUAUCGUUACGGCUAUAAACACUUUUUUCUUCCUAUUAACAAAACAUCCCCUUUAUCUUCGCUCUUCCGGAACCGGUACAUAAAUAGGUGCUUUUUCUACGUUGUUUACCUUAGUUACUGGGGGGUUUUGGGGGAAACCCAUGUGGGGCACCUUUUGGGUGUGGGAUGCUCGUUUAACCUCUGUAUUCAUCUUGUUCCUUAUUUACCUGGGUGCACUGCGUUUUCAAAAGCUUUCUGUCGAACCGGCUCCUAUUUCAAUCCGUGCUUGACCGAUCGAUAUACCAAUAAUCAAGUCUUCAGUCAAUUGGUGGAACACAUUGCAUCAACCUGGGAGCAUUAGCCGAUCCGGUACAUCAAUACAUAUUCCUAUGCCCAUUCCAAUCUUGUCCAACUUUGCUAACUCCCCCUUCUCAACCCGUAUCCUAUUCGUUCUGGAAACACGUCUUCCUAUUCCAUCUUUUCUCGAAUCUCCUUUAACGGAAGAAAUAGAAGCUCGAGAAAGAAUACCAAAACCUAUUUCACUCGCUUCGCAUCCAUGGCUGAAUGGUUAAAACGCCCAACUCAUAAAAAGAAUACAUAAACCUAUUUCACUCGCUUCGCAUCCAUGGCUGAAUGGUUAAAGCGCCCAACUCAUAAUUGGCGAAUUUGUAGGUUCAAUUCCUACUGGAUGCACACCAAUGGGACCCUCCAAUAAGUCUAUUGGAAUCAAUAAGUCUAUUGGAAUUGGCUCUGUAUCAAUGGAAUCUCAUCAUCCAUACAUAACGAAUUGAUGGGGUAUAUUCAUAUCAUAAUGAACAGUAAGAACUAGCAUUCUUAUUGAGACUUUCACUCAUAGGGAAGAAAUUAGAUUUAUAGAUGGAAUCAAAUAUGCAGUAUUUACAGACAAAAGUAUUCGGUUAUUGGGGAAAAAUAAAUAGACUUAUAAUGUCGAAUCAGGAUCAACUAGGACAGAAAUAAAGCGUUGGGUCGAACUCUUCUUUGGUGUCAAGGUAAUAGCUAUCAAUAGUCAUCGACUUCCGGGAAAGAGUAGAAGAAUAGGGCCUAUUAUGGGACAUACAAUGCAUUACAGACGUAUGAUCAUUACGCUUCAACCGGGUUAUUCUAUUCCAACUCUUAUAAAGAAAAGAACUUAAAUCAAAAUACUUAAUAGCAUGGCGAUACAUUUAUACAAAACUUCUACCCCGAGCACACGCAAUGGAACCGUAGACAGUCAAGUGAAAUCCAAUCCACGAAAUAAUUUGAUCUAUGGACAGCAUCAUUGUGGUAAAGGUCGUAAUGCCAGAGGAAUCAUUACCGCAAGGCAUAGAGGGGGAGGUCAUAAGCGUCUAUACCGUAAAAUCUCUUUUCGACGGAAUGAAAAAGACAUAUAUGGUAGAAUCGUAACCAUAGAAUACGACCCUAAUAGAAAUGCAUAAAUUUGUCUCAUACACUAUGGGGAUGGUGAGAGGAGAUAUAUUUUACAUCCCAGAGGGGCUAUAAUUGGAGAUACCAUUCUUUCUGGUACAGAAGUUCCUAUAAAAAUGGGAAAUGCCCUACCAUUGAGUGCGGUUUGAACUAUUGAUUUACGUAAUUUGAAAUAAAAAAUUUUGUUUACGACGAAACCUAGAAAUCGAUCACUGAUCCAAUUUGAGUACCUCUGCAGGAUAGACCUCAACAGAAAACUGAAGAGUAAGGGCAGCAAGUGAUUGAGUUCAGUAGUUCCUCAUAAAAAAUUAUUAACUGACGAGAUAUAGUAAUAUGGAGAAGAUAAAAUUCUUUCAAGCACCGACAGAACCGGAAGCGCCCCUUCUUUCAAAGAGAGUAGGACGGGUUAUUCACAUUUCAUUUGAUGGUCAGAGGCGAAUUGAAAGCUAAGCAGUGGGAAUUCAAAAGAUUCCCCCGGGGAAAAAUAGAGAUGUCUCCUACCUUACCCAUAAUAUGUGGAAGUAUCGACCUAAUUUCAUAGAGUCACUCGGUCUGAAUGCUAGAUGAAGAACAUAAGUCAGAUGACGGAACGGGAAGACCCAGGAUGUAGAAGACCCAGGAAGUAAGCUCCCCCCGAUACAAGCGAGCUAAGGGGCUUGAAGUUAUCCCAAUACCAGAGAGACACUUCACAGAGUGUGAUACUAAUGGUUAGGGGGAUGGUAGUAACCCAACUGCAAGCACAUGAACUCUCUAUACCAAUAGUUCUCUGCCCGCAACCCCAGCUCCUACUUCGAAUGAUAGAACGAUUCGAAAGGGGCAUACGUACGGCUUUGACUAAACGACUAACUAAGGCUAACGGAAUAACAGAAUCGGAAGCAGACGUAAUCGAAAGAAAGCUUGGGCCGAAUGGAAGGGGCUUGCAACGAUGGAAGGCUUACGGGAUAGGGGCAUACUCAUAUAAAAAAUUUCCUAACAAAAUCAAUUGGGGUGAUAGACCCGCGAAGCAAAAGCUUUUUUCCUAGCAUUGAACCUUACUUCAAAGACUGGAAAGCUUACAACACAGGUAAUAGAGCGAAGCCUUAGGCUGAUAAACUGAUUGAAGGCAAGCCAAAAGCAUUACCUACGAGGAUUUAUUAGGAUGGCUCAAAGACUUAUUCGGUCUUUUCCUCAAAGGCGGAUACGAUUGAAUUAGCUUUGGACUACGAGAGAGCUAGACAGCGGGGAUGAAGGGUUUGCGAGGAAGAAUCAAUGGCCAAUGGUUCUACAACUGCAACAGCACUUACUGAAAAGACUAUUCUACGACCAGCCGCCUACUUAAUUACACUUCCGGCAUGGCAUUAAGCAAGUUCCUUCUUCUGCGAAUAUGAGAUAGACCGACAGCCAGUACGGGACUAAGGGACUGUGGGAAUAGCGAUAGACCGGAUUCAAAGAUAUAGGCCAAUCAAAACAAAAGGAAGAUGGUGAAAGACCACCACAAAGAGACCCUCGCUCACGCCUUAGUCUUAUUCGAAAACAAAAGUGGAUGAACCUUCCUCAAGAAAAAAGCCAAUCUGAUUUCGGGGGCAUGUAGGCGGAGAAAGGCUGGGAAACUAUAAGGUCUCGUAGGAAAAAGAAAAAACAUAGGUAGGCUGCCACGCGGAGUGAGGGUAACUAGCCAAUUCCCCAAAGUCUAGUAAACUAAGGUGGUAGUGCAGACAAGGUUAAUUCACUCUGGGAUUGGUAGUCCCGUCUGCUCUGACGUCGGAAUAAUCAUUAUAAUACGAUGAUAGCACCUGAUUAGCAAGAAAUUCCCAGCUCUCCUCUUAGCAAUGAUCUGUCUAGGGAGACUUUCUAAACUGCGGAUUCUGUAAUAAGACCCUAUUCAUGGGCAUUCUCCGACUUAGAAUCGAAUUCAUACCCAGCAAUCUACGAUCUACCCAACGCCUUAGUCUAUAUUGAAUAGGCAUACCCGACUUCCAGCUAAUUGUCAAAUAAAGCUAUCCGUGCUUAAAUUCCUAGCUUGAAAGCAUUCUUUGAAGCAAAAAUUCCGGUAAAUCAAGCCUGCGUAGAAUACUUGACUUUUCCAUGUGCAAGACCACAAAAAGUAUUACCCCCUAAAGCUCAGCUCUGCGAAGGCCUUUCGGAGAUUGACCUUUCUUUCUCUUCUUCCCGGUCUGAUCGGUCGAGCUCUCGUAAUUGAUCGCUCAUAUGUCCAUUUCGUUCUGGCUAGCGAAGUCGGGAUAUUCUACGUUUAAUGAUAAAUAGUAAAGUUAUGAACUCAAGCUAGCAAAAAACAAGACUGAGGUCGAUAGGGGCAUUACUGGUAAUUGCUAAGGUGCUUUCUGAAGUCUUAACCAUUGGCUAGCGCUCAUCUCCAGCUCUGUUUCCAACCUUUCAUUUCAUAUAUCAUUACCGUAUGCAAUACCUCUUAUUUAAUCUUGCUAUACGUCCAAGCCUUCUCCCAUCGGUAGUUGGAAGCAGAACUGAAACUGGAUAUAACUGAAGGAAAGGCUAUAUAGGUACGAUAGGAGGGUACGGUUAAGCAGGUAAGCGAAGGCUCUCUCUCUCGCUCUGUGGUCUUGUGUAAAGCCUUUCCGCCUAUCUAUUCUUUUUUUUUUCUCUUUAUUCAAAGUAAGCAGAUCGAAAGCACGAAAAGGAAUGUCUUAGCGUGCCCUUACUCUAAUUCGAAAUACGUCUCUUUCUUUCUAUUCAAAUUUCUCUCCCUUCAUUCCUCGAUCCGCUUGUAAAUUCUUGGUGUAAUACCCACUCGUAAAUGAUUGGUGUAAGAAUUUCUCACUAAUCAGGUGUGAUCAGUCUCAUCCGUGUAAGAAUUAGGAAUUCCUCUUCCAACUCGUCCCAGAAUGGGCGUUAUGGCAAAGAACAAGAAGAAAACUAAAGGAGAAAUUUGUCC
rnacentral:lncRNA from 1 species